rnacentral:lncRNA from 1 species
ACCCUAAACCUUGAGGCAAUGAGUUCUCUCACUUAUAAAGUUCUCAACCUUCACUUUUCUAUUCGAUGUGGGACAUAUAACUCACACACUCUUGAAACGGUUGAGCAAUCUAUCCAAGAGGCUGCUCCACCACUAGAUAAGUACAAUACCUCUUUUCACAUGUCAUUACUUAAUGUAAUUGAUGAAAUUGUAAGGCCAUACGUCAAUGAGCAGCGUCCAAGUUUGGAAGGAGUCACAAAAACUAUACCUUUGAAAGCAAACAAUAGCGAUAUCAUUAAUACAUGCGAGAUUAUUGUGCAAGCUCCUCCUGAUUUUGAAUCAAAUAUGACUAAUAUUCUUGCGCACUCUGAAGAUCUGGUUGAUCCAAACCUUCAUAAAGAACUGGAUCUUGUUCAACACAUGUUGAUUCAAGGUAAAUACGUUGACGUCUCUAUUACGCCUUAUCUAAUGAAGAAGUAGAAAAAACAACUCAGCAAACACAAUUCCUAUAACUCUAAUAUUAGUUACAAUCCAAUGAUAUAUCAUGGUAUAGCUAGCUAGGCCUCCUCCGCCCCUAAGUAUAUAAGCAUUUCACCACUCAGUGAAAAAACUGUUCCAAAUAUAAGUUCUUAAUUUUAAAAUAUGAAAGUCAAUAUUGGAUGAACACGUCUAUAAACAAUAAUUUAAUAAUAAUUACAUACCUUGUCAAAAAAAUAUAUAUAUAUAUAUUACAUACAAAAUCUAUUUAGGUUGGUAUGGUAGUAUUGACUUGGGAUCUGAAAAUGUGCUUCUCUUCAAGGUCAGGUAGAUUCUACUCGGUGUUAACUUCAAAAAAAAAAAAUUACAUACAAAAAUUACAUAUUGCCUUCACUAUCAACCUUUUUUAAUAUAUAUAUAUAUAUAUAUAUAUGUGUAGUAAAAUAUAGCAUUAAUGUUUAUAAAAAAAUAAAUAAAAAGAGAUGGAAAGAAUGUUUAGUAAAAACAAUAAUGUCAAUUUUUUUUAGGUGUGGAAGUUAGUCAAUUUUAACACACAAAAAACUAAUUUAUAUGAACGGAAUGAAGUUCCCUUACUUGUCGUCCUUGCAGGGCAUUUUUAUUUUUAUUAUAGAAAAUCAAUUCCUCGUGGAACGCAUGGCAUUAUUUUACCCUAGUUUACAUUCAUUUUGAUCAAGUCUCAUAAUUUAUUUAUUUUUUGGAAAAAAUUCCAUGGACACAAACUACAAACACAAGUUUUAAGCAAACUUACAUAAAGUCAAAACUAUUUUUUUGUUACUACAAGUUUAGGUGAGUUGAGAAAUAUAAGGGUUCAUCGAAGUUAAUCAUGAAGGUUCAACGAGCGUUAUAAAGGUAUUUCCAGAUCACCCAUCAAAUUAGUCUAAUGCUUGUAGAGUAGAGGGAGUUGAAAUCAUAAUUUUACGUCAAGAAAACUUACGUAGUCACAAACACAAAUAUAAUUAGACACACACAUAAAUUGAAAAAAUUAAAAAAGAAAAUAAUUGAAUGAUGUGAUUAAAUUAUUUCUUAUUUAUUUUUCUACAUUUAUGUGAAUGUGGCUAAACAUUUUUCAUUUCUAUUUUGUGUUUAAGUAAGACUUGCUCACUUUAAUUAUGACUAAACUCCUUACCAACUAAACAUGGUACCGUUUGACCAGACUUUUUUUCGGUCUAAAAACUACUUUAAAACAAAGUUAAAAUAAAGCUCUUUAAGAAAAAAGUUAAAGCUGUUUGGUUUCUUUAUUUUUUUUAAUUCUAAAGUUAUUUUUAAGUUAAAAGUUGUUUGGCAAAAUAUUGUACAAAACUUUGAAUUUUUUUUUUUUUUUUGUGGUGUUCGGGGUUCGAACCCGCGAUCUUGCAUAUAUUUAUACAUUGUCUAUAUCAACUGAGCUAAGCUAGAGAAUAGUUUGUUUUUUCUUUUCCAAUUAUACUGUAUAACAAAUUUUGUUAUAAGAAUAUCAUAUUUUUGGUAUCAUUUAAAAAGAUAAGAAUUUAUAUUAUAUGAUAUUAUAUUUUGUUACAUUGUUGUUGUCAUUGAAAAAGAUAUGUUUAGUUUUUUUUUUUUUAUAAGAAAAAGAUAUAUAAAUGUGUAAAAUAUAUAUAAGUAUAAUUUUUUUAGGCAUCUAUACUAGUACUUUUAAUUAAAAUCAAAAUUAUAGACAUUAGCGUAACAAGAAAAACAGACAUACAAACAUAAAAUAUUACUCUAAACGCUAAUGCGUGUGUGUAUAUUUGUGAGGUUGAAGAAAGGGAAUAAAAAUAUUUGAUGUCAUUCAAUGACAACAUGAAUAAAAAUAUUUGUGAAGUUGUGAUAAUUAAACGAUAUUAAAAUUAAAUAUAUAAGUGAUAAAAAGAUAAUAAAAGAUUAAUUAAAACAUUGAACGACCAUUUUAGUUAUUUUUAAAAUAAUUAAAGAUUAAUUAAAAGGUAAAAUUACCAUUUUGUGAGUUUGCAAGGAACUUAUUAUACUUUCAUUUCCUUUUACCCUUGUCUAUUAUUCAUUCUUCAACCACCACCACAUAUCAUCACCUCUCCUGGCUAUAUAUUAAGCUCUUGCCCAUCAUUUGUUGCAAUUAGCUAACCCAUCUUUUAUUUUUUCACUCACUUGUUUCCAAUUUUCCCCAAAAAAUUCCCUCCUUAUUUUUCUUUCUCUAUAAACCUCUUGUUUAGAAACACACGCAGAGAGAUGAAGAAGAAGAGAAAGAAGAAGAUUACACCUACCAAGUAAUAUAUAUUUUAUUUUCUUUUUAAUUCCUCUUGUUGAUCUGUUUUAGUUUAUCACUUCUUAUUUCAUUCUUCUCAUGAACAUUAAGAUUCUAGCAUAAAUACAUGUUGGAAUAAUUGAUUAAUUAAUUAAUUUGAUUAGCAUAACUAAGAUCUAGCCUCCAUGAGUCAUCAUAAUUAAUAUAUUAAUUAUUAACAACAACCUUAAUCAUUACAAUUUGUGAUAUCAUUACCAAUAACAUACUACAACACAUCCCCGUAAUUUAAUUUGUUAAGAAACCAAAGUGAGAAACACAACAUGAUGAUAAAUAGAACAGAAUGGAAGAGGACAAAUACUAAAGAACAGUAGCAAACAAGGACCUCCUGUGCUGUGGAUUUUUAUGAUCAAAUUCAAAGCCAUAAUCACCAUUGUUGUCUCAAGUUAAUUAAAGUUUCUUACAAAAGAUUCCAUUUCAAUUUUAGGUACCAAAAUGUGCCCUAAAUUUAAAAGUAAAAUUUCAAAUAAAUUGACAUCUUAGCUACCCUACCAUUCAAUUUCAAUCUACAUUAAUAGCUUGUGGAAGGCCUUUUAAGUCUGAGUUACUAAACAAGUCUUAAUAUUGCAUUGAACUUCUUUUUUUUUUUUUUUUUUUACAAAUUAAUGUUGCAUUGAACUUUGUUUAUAUCAUUAUGUACUUAAUCAUAUGAAACAUUUAAUCAUUUUGAUUUAUAUACUGUGAGUCUGUUAUUACUAUUUGGUCCACAGUUUAUUGUUUUAGGGGAUCACGGUGUAAGUAUAUAUGUCACAUGAAGUCAUGUUUUUGUUUGCCUUCAAUUGUAUACUGUUAUUAUUUGUCCUAUAACAACAAUGGUUUUUGCUUGAUUUCAGUGCUGUUUUCUACAUAUUGUUUGGUCUUAGCACAAAUCUACGGCAUAAUACCCACAUGCAUUAUUACUAAGGGAUUCCAUGUGGGUCAAGUAAGUAGAAUUUUUAUUUGUUACUUGUUUUUCUUUUUCAUUUGAUAAAAAAAACUUUUUAGUUCAAUUUUCUGCAUCCCCGCCAUACUUUCGGCUCUCAUUACAAGUUUCAACUAGUGAAGUCCGCAUACUUCAAACAUGUAAUUAAUAUUAUUAUAAUUAAGGGUUAAUACCACUUUUGGUCCCUGUAAUAUUAAUAUUAGCGAAUUCUAGUUUUAGUUCCUGUAAAAAAAAAGUUUAAAUUAUGUCCGUGUCAUUUUAAAUUCUUCCACUUUUAGUCCCUCAAUUGAACACAUCAGCAGAAUCUGCUGACGUGUAAUUGAUGAUCGUGUAAUUUUAAUAUUUUUUAAUCCACAUGAUAUUUAUAAUUAUUUUCAUUAUUUAAAAUUCUAAAACAUAAAACAUAAAUUAAAAAACACAAAUAUUUUCAUUCCCUCAUCUCUCUCUGCGAUCUAUCUUCCCCCUCCUCCGACCACCAUCUCGGCCGCCGUCCAUCACAUCAUUGAAGCGCACCACCCUCGUUCUCCCUCUCCUUCUACACCCUCCACUGUCAUCUCUUUGUCCCUUUUCCACAUCUCUCCCCUCCAUCCUAAUCUCUCCCUCAUCAAUCAAUCACCACCACACCCUUCCUCCUCAAUCACCACCACCAUCCUCGUCGCCACCACCAUCUCACUUUAAUUCUAAAUCGUAAUUUUCUUUUAAAUUUUCUGGUGUUUUGAUUUGAAAGCCCCUAACCUUAUAAGUUUGCAUCAGAUUUGUUUAUACAAUUAAUUCAGAUGCAUUUGUCAAUUUGUUUCUCAAAACUUCAGAUCUGAAAUCUAAAAUUUAAGUUGGGGUUUCAUUUGACUUGUGGUGUUAAUUGAUUUAGGAGUUCAAUUUGAUGUAGGGUUUUGCAUUGAAGAAGAAUAAGAAAGAGAAUGUUUAAAAUGGGAUGGGUUGAAACAAGAAAAUGUGAAACAUAGAAAUAGAUGAAGAAGGAGAUCAAGAGGGUUAGUAAAUUUUUUUUUGUUGAAGAUGAAGAGUGUUUGGAACGAAAAAAAGCAGAUGAAGAGGGUCUGUUAUUUUGUUUCAAUUUUUAUAUUUUUCUACUUUAACAAUGUUUUAAAGUUUUUUUUUAAUAAGUAUAAAUCAUAUCCCUCAAAAAUGAAAUAAUUAUAAAUCAUAGAAAAGCCACAUGAAAAUAAAUUUAAUAAAAAAAAUAAAAGAAUUACACAGUCAUCAUGACAUGUCAGCAGAUUCCGCUGAUGUGUUUUAUUGAGGGACUAAAAGUGGAAGAAUCUAAAAUUACAGGGACAGAAUCUAAACUUUUUUUUUACAGGGACUAAAACCGAAAUUCGCUAAUAUUACAGGGACCAAAAGUAGUAUUAACCCUAUAAUUAAUUCUGAUAUAGUUCUUUUGUGAAUAAGUUUUUUUUUUUAAAAUGGAAAAUAAUGUUUAUGAAGUGAUUAGUAAAAUAAUACAAGUGUUGAUGUAUAGACUUAUGCGAAAGUAAGGAGUGGGUCAAUAACUAUUACAGCACCAACUUUAGAUCUCUACUUGAUCUAAUGGCUGGUAGUAUACUUUGGUACACCCACGUAACAAUGAAGAACAUGAAUAUCUACCAAUAUCCCAUUGAAAAACUGAGGGUGCAGCCGGUAGGCCUAAUUGUCGCUUUUGCUGUGAUGGCCACACUUGGUGAGUCAUAUUGACUUAAACUAUAUUACAAGCUUCUAUGGUCUUCAUUCUUUUGAUUGAUUUAUAUCAUUAUUUUGUCAUUUUCCUUUCAAACGAAAGGUUUCUGAAAUCAUAUUACAUUGUUGGGCUUGUAUUUUAAUAUAGUUGCACAUAUGCACCUUAUGAUUAUGGUUAUAAAUUUUCAAGAAAACAUUCAGCUUUACGCUUAAGAUUGAAGAAUCUGUUUAUUUAUUCUUUAGGCCAUAAAUCAAAAGAUCCUAUUUUGAGAAAUGAGGUAUGGUUAUUUAAUUGAUCCAAGAAUGAAUAUACCAACAAUGGAUUUGUCCAAUAGUAAAAGACUUAAAAAAAUCUGGUAUGGUUAGACUCCUUAAACAUGUGGUCAUGAGUUUGAUUUUGACUCAUGCUUAUAAAAAAAUCUGGUUGAAUGGAGAGAACCGACCUGCAUGCUGGUUUAUCAUAACCAUUCUUGCGUUUUAGUGAAUAUUCUUAUUUUAGGAAGGGUUUGAUUCCGACUCAUGCCUAAGAAAAAAUUUGGUUGGACGGGGAAACUCCACCUCCCCACUGGUUUGUAAGUAAGAUACGAUCAGCUUUUACUGUUUAGUCCAAAGCAUUAACUUUUAUUAUUUCAAAAAGUUUAUUUAUAUUUUUUAAAAUUUUUGAAAAUUAAUUUCCAUAUUUUUAAAUUUAUUAUUUAUUUUUAUAUGUUUAUUUUAAUUUCAAAAUAUAUUUUUUGUUUUUAAAAAAUGAUUUUAAAAUAAUAAAAUUACAAAAUCUAGUGAUGAGGGAGUAUGGUAAGGAUGUGUUCUUGGUUUGAUCUAAUGGUUAAAAACUAACUUUCCCAUGGUGGGAAAAAUUAGCCUUUCCCAUACUAAACUUCACCUAGAAUAUGAGUUGAAAAUAUAGUGUUAGUAACUAUAAAUACCCACUCAUACACAACAGCAAAAGUAGCAUAACGUAAGCAAUAGAGAGAGAUAGUUAGUUAGUUAUCCAUCGAACUAAAAAGAAGUGACCCCAUCACAAACUGUAAUUCUCAAUCAUUUGCAAAUCCAAACUCAUGGCAUAGUACUUAGUAGCAUACCUUAUUACCACCUUCCAAAACUUCAAUCAUGCUGGCAUGAAAAGUACCAGUUUUCCAUUCAUAUAUAUAUAUGUAUUUUUUUUCUUUUUUAUUUCUUUUUCUUAGUUAAAUAAUUCUGGAUUUCCAAAUAUCGAAACUGAAAGAGUUGACUAUGAAUUUGAGCUGUAUUUUUUGUUUUUCAUAAUAAGACUUUAUUGAGCUGUACAUUUUAAAAAUAAAAUAAAAAGAAAAAAAUAUCGUCAUUUAGCACACUGAAAUCAUGUUUUUCCCUCCUAGCUUAUUGUCUUUCUAUGCUUAAACACUUCAAAACCAAUGUCCAAUACACACUUAUGUCGACAUUUUACGACAUUGUAUAGUCUAAUAAAAUAAAUAACAAGCCAUAUGAACGGAAACAAAUUCCAUCUUUGUUGCUGUCAGUAUGUGCAUAUUAUAAUGUAACAUGGAAAUAUCAGAUUAAAUAUUCAAUCACAAUUUUGAAAACCUACAAAUUCAACUAACAAAAUAUCCAUAUAAACUCAUCUUUGUUAUUGUCAUUAAGUGCAUAUCCUCUUAAAUCUGAAUUUCUAACCAUUGAAAUGGGAUUCAAACUCUUUGUUCUUUCGAUCUUCAUUCUCUUUAUAGUCCCAACUCUAAUAGCUGCAGAGUGCACAUGUGACGAAGAAGAUGAAGAAAGGGACAGAUCAAAAGCUCUACGCUACAAAAUAGCGGCUUUAGUGUCAAUAUUAGUUGCAAGUGCAAUUGGUGUUUGUCUCCCACUUCUUGGGAAAGUGAUACCGGCAUUAAGCCCUGAAAAAGAUAUAUUUUUUAUCAUCAAAGCAUUUGCUGCCGGUGUGAUACUGUCCACCGGUUUCAUUCAUGUGCUUCCUGAUGCUUUUGAGAAUCUUACUUCUCCAUGUUUAAACGAACAUCCUUGGGGUGAUUUUCCCUUCACUGGUUUUGUAGCUAUGUGCACCGCUAUGGGGACUCUUAUGGUUGAUACUUAUGCAACCGCUUAUUUUCAGAACCAUUAUUCUAAAAGGGCACCGGCACAGGUUGAAAGUCAGACAACCCCAGACGUGGAGAAUGAAGAACAUACACAUGUUCAUGCUCACGCAUCACAUAGUCAUGCACAUGGUCAUAUUUCUUUCGAUCAGUCAUCAGAACUUCUUCGUCAUAGGGUCAUAUCACAGGUAAUAAUAAUAUAAAUUUAAUCAUAUAAAGAUAUUUGUGCAUGAGAUGUGAAUAUGAUUUUUUGAUUUUAUCAUAGGUGUUGGAGUUGGGAAUUAUUGUUCACUCUGUUAUCAUAGGAAUUUCUUUAGGUGCUUCAGAGAGUCCUAAAACCAUAAGACCAUUAGUGGCUGCGUUGACUUUUCAUCAGUUCUUUGAAGGCAUGGGACUUGGAAGUUGUAUAACUCAGGUAUAUCAUAUUACAUAUAUAUCAUUCAACUAGUGUGAAUGAAUUAUAAUCAAGUUAUCUCUGACCGUUCAUGGGGACCAUGAGUUCGAUUUGGUUGAUGUGAAUUGUGAAAUAUUAACUAUGGAUUAGGAUUUUUCAAAUAUAAGUGCGGUGAACUAUUGGUCACACUUGAAUCUAAUAUAAAGAUAAGAUAAUUUAUGAUUAUUCUUAUAUAUGUUGAUUUUUCACUAGACAUCUUGAUCCUUUCAAGUGUUUUGUGGCCAAUGUAUUUGUUUGUUUGGUGCCCUUGUUUGUUGUAAUAUGUUCAAAAGAUGUCAAAUUAAAUGCAUGAUCGUUUAUCCAAAAAUAUUAUGUAAUGAAACAUCGUCUUUUCAUUACUUUUUUUUUGGUGGUACACUUCUUUUUUAGUAUGCAUUCUUUGCUCUAAUUUCUUAAUUAAUCGGUGAAGGAUUGCUUUAUGCAUAAACAAUUUCACAUAUCAUCAUUAUUUGUAUUAAACUUUAAGUUUUUUAAUAUAAAAUAUAGAAAUCAUGAAAAUUGUAUCUUCAACAUAAACUAUAAAAAUGUCCGUGAGAAAUUCAAUAAUCACCUUCAACCGAAUCUCCAUAAACAAAUAAAAAAAUUCAACUAACAAUGUUAAACUUUUCUAUAACAUUUAGUUAAUGUUUGAUUAUGCAAAACUAAUUUCUAUAAGUUAUGUGUUUGUUACAUUUCAAGAGAUUGUGCACCUUAAUUGAAUGUAAAACAAGAAAACAUCAACCAGCAGCAUUGUUUUUGACUUAUUGAAAGUGCAACCAUUGCAGGCAAAUUUCAAGAGUCUAUCAAUUACUAUUAUGGGAUUGUUCUUUGCUUUGACAACUCCAGUAGGAAUUGGAAUUGGCUUAGGGAUCAGCAAUGUUUAUGAUGAGAACAGUCCAACUGCUCUUAUUUUUGAAGGAAUCUUCAAUGCAGCUUCAGCUGGGAUCUUAAUCUAUAUGGCACUUGUAGAUCUUCUUGCUGCUGAUUUUAUGAAUCCAAGGAUGCAAAAGAAUGGUAGGCUUCAAUUAGGAUCCAAUAUAUCUCUUCUACUAGGAGCUGGUUGUAUGUCUCUUAUAGCCAAAUGGGCUUAGCUAGGUGUUUGUUUGAGUAUUCUUAAUUUUCAUUUCCUUCCAAAUUGUUCAUUUGAAGUCCUUGAUAAUUUCCAAAUAUGCCUAUAACAAUAGACCUACUAUCGAAGACGACGUGAAUAUACAGUUUCACAUGACAUUCAGCUUGAACUGGUUUAUGUUUAUCAAUUCUGGCAUUUUGGUGGACUAUUUGGGAUUUGAGAAAUGAGUGAUCUCAUUUGAUAAGUCUGAUUUCUGUGUUAUUUUGGGUUGGAUUAUGAUAUUGUCCAUCUUGACUUGAUUAAAGCUGGACCGAUGUCUAUAUUAUGAGUGGUGUGUUGAAUCUCUAUGUUGUAUUCGAAGAGCCUAGUCGCUUCGCCUUGCUGGUUUUGGCAAGGGCUUGGUUCUGGUCUUGUGCUUCUUUUCCUGCGUGAUUAUAGUACUCAUUGUACUUUCAUCAUAAUAUAUUUUAAAUUUUUUGAUUUGUUUGUUCAAAAGUUUACAUCCAGGAAGAUUGAUAGGGUUAGCAAAAUUACCGUUCUCAAUAAGUAUAUGAUUAUAUAACUUGGCUUUGUUUAUUCUAUAUCAACGUUGUUUUUUCGUCUUGCAAAGGUUCUCUCAACAUUAUUGAUGAAUAAUUCACUAAAAUGUAAGUUAUGUAACGAUUGUUAUAUCAUUCUAAACUCUGAAUGUGCUAUCACAUUCAUACCAUCAGAAUAUAACAUGUAUAAUAUUCAUCGAAAGAUAUUGAAUUACAUUAUUUGACAUUUAAAGUCAUUUGUUAUUUUUUGAUUUCAUCAAAAAAUCAAUGGUGAACACUCUAGUAUUUAUAGAGUUUGUUUGGGUAUAUGUACCUCAUCCAAUUAUUAAAAUAAAUUUAUCAAUUUUUUGUUUUGAGAAUUAUUGAAUAUGAAUCCUUUUUACCUAAUAGUUUAAAAGUAAAAUAUGCAUUUCGUUAGUAAUAUAGUUUUUCUUGAAUAUCAUUUAGAUGAAAAAUUCAUGAAUAUCUUCUAGAUAUAAAUUUUAAAAAAUUAUAAUAUACUAAUUAUAAUUUAUUAUAAAAAGUAUACAUAAGACCCUUAAAAAAUGUACAUAAGACAAAUUUUUAUGACUGGUCAGUUAAUAUAAAUUUUUUAACAAACUAUGUCGAGUAGCGUUUAAACCUACAAAUUGCUUAUCACUUUUUUUUGAGGGAAAAUUGCUUAUCACUCUUUAUCUCAAUUUUAAUCAUAUUAGUUUAAAUAGUAGAAAUCAAUUUUUCAUAUCGGUAUCCACUAAUUUAUCCACUUAUACUUUUUAAGAAAAUAGAGUCUAUUCUCUCCAAAAAUAAAAUAAAAUAAAGUAGAGUUUAUAUUAUUUUGUUGAGGUUGGAUUAACAUAAAGAAAAUGUAAGGAAAAGUGGUGUUUCCUGUGUCUGUUUAGAGCUUCUCAUAUAUGCACGUCCAAAAUCCAAAUUAAAUGACACCACAUGAUACUUGAGAGUUGGCACACAUGUAAUGUAAUAGUGUGGGACAUACAUUAAAAAUAGGUUUAAACGCACUCUCCUAUCCUCUAAGUUUGCAAAAGUUGCAAUUUUAGCCCCCAAUUAAAAAAAAUGGUAAAGGUGACCCCCUAUAUCUACCCAUUUUGUAAAACGCAAUUUGGAUUUGGUCAUGCCUGCAUGGCAUGCCACAUGUGUAAUUAGUUAUUUAAAGAAAAAUAAAAAUGUCAUGCAUGUAUAUAUGAAAUUAAAAAUAAAAAUAAAAAAUAAAAAAAGCAAGAGGGAGAACCAAGCACAGGAAUAACAGCAACUACAUUAUCAUUCAUCUCCAUUCAAAUAAUAUGUUCAUGGUAUCAUUCUCAAAAUUUUCAUUACAUUUCUUUUUCAAUAAUUAGGAAAUUCUAUAACAUUUGCCCUUUUUCUUUCUUCAACAGCGAGAAACCAUAAGCAACUUUUUCUUCUUUUUUUGUCAUAUAUUUUCCUUCCCAAUCGCAUCUAUUGCAACAAUUAAUUCAAGUUCUCAUCAACAAGAUGAAAACCACCAACAACAACAUCACGUUUUUUAGAAAACAAAAUUUGUAUUCAAUCCCUAUCAAAUACAUCUCCCAAAAACUUAAUCCAUCUAUCAUUUUCCUCCUCUUACCCGGUUCAAUUGUCCAACUAAACAACAACAACACUGACAUUCUCACUCUUCUCGUUCCUGACUUUUCUCUCUCUCCCUGAUCUAGUUGUGGCGAAACAUGGUGGAAAUGAUGGUUGUUGUAGGAGGUCGUAAGUGAUGGUGGUUGUCAGAUCUGAGAGUAUCACAGGUGGUGGUGGUUGUGACCAAUGGUUGUCAGAACUGAGACUCAUCUCUCUCAAGCAGUAGUGGAUGUAGAGAGAUACGGUGGUGGAGAGGACGGUGAUGAGAGUGGUUUUGGUGGGUGAGAGAUGAAUCUGAGAAGGUUGGUAUGGUGGUGGUGGUGCUGUAAACAUAGAUUAGAGACGAUCUUGUGGUGGUGAUAGGAGAAUAGCGGCGGCGGUGGUGGUGGUGUGAUAAGUGCUUAUUGAUCAUUUAAUAUAUGGUUCUAGCUAUUUAUUCAAUAUUGUUGUUAUUCUUGCAUUUAAUGUUUUAUUGAGAUUCAAAAUGAUAUGGACACAUAUUUUUGAAUCUAGAAAUAGAAUAACAAUCUAUCUUAAGUUAUCACUCUAGACAUGGAUGUUGAUAUUUGAUAAUCACUUUUAAUCUAUAUGAUUUAAUGCUUUUGGGUAAUUUAAUCGGUUGGGAAAUCGUCGAUAAAACUAUCCAAUCGACUUUGUGAUCGUUUAAAUGUUUGGAAAAACGAUGUUUAAACGAUCCCUUAGAAAUAACGAUAUCAUUUGGACACGGAUGAUAUUGUCGAGUGAUUGUGAUAAUAUCGUUUAAAAAGUUAGGAUCCGUUAAUCGAUCGAGAGAUUGCAGCUGUUACGCUUGGUUGAUGUCUCUGACCGCAAGCGAAAUAGCCCUAUCUCUUCUCAUUUUACUUUUAUGUCGAUUAGGAAAAUAGUUUUACGCAAACAAACAAUUUAUACCCAAACACUUAACAUGACAAAUAUUGUGAAAAUGCUUAUGAAAUAUGUAACUCCCUGUGGACUCGAUCAUAUUAUACUUACGUGUAAAUAGUUUUAUGAGAUGUAAAAAUCUUACAUCAUGGUGGUGAACAAGAUCGGAGAUGAAGGUUGAGGUGGUGUGGUGAUGUAAUAUUCUGCAUUUUUUAAAAAGAAAUGGAUGAAAAAGAUGAAGAAUUAGGUGAAGAAGAUGAAUGUUAAUCUCUUCAAUUAAUCCUUUCAUUUUUCAUUUUUUUUAAUUCUAUAAAUACACAUGUGGCCUUUUUCAUUUUUUUUAAUUAAAAAAAUACACAGUUGGCAAUUUUUAAGUUAAGUGGCAUGACACAUAGGUUUGACCAAGUCAAAAUUGGUGUUUUGCAAAAGGGGUUAAACAUGAGGGGGGAACUUUUGCCAUUUUUUUUAACAGGGGCCAAAAUUGCAACUUUUGCAAACUUAGGAGGUAAAAAGUGUGUUUAAGCCUUAAAAAUAUUGUCGUCGAUUGAUAUAAUAUUUGCUUCUCAUCUACAAUGUGUUCAGUUUGAUUGAUCAAAAUCCACCCUAAUUUUCUUGAUUAAUCAGGUGGAUGAGGGUGAUAGAGUUUCAAUUUUGUUAGUAUCAUAAUUUUGUUUUUUUGAUACGUGUAUGUCGUUGUUGUUGGAAACUUUGAAUGUGUGUUUUGGAAUUGAAUAUUGCUUAGCUAUAAGCAUUUCUCUAGACAAACAUUUCACAUCUCACGUGAUAAAAUAUGGAGUUAUUUUGGUUUUAUAAAUUAAAUAUGUUGUCUUCAUUUUGACAGAAUUUCAUUGAUUAAUAUGUAGUGAUUUUGAUAUGGAUUUGGGUGUUGCAUGAAUCUUCAACGCGGCAUUUACAUGAAUAUUGAUUUUUUGGAUAGUAAUUUUUUGUCUCCGAGGUUGCAGACGAGUAGGAGACUGCGAUUAGAAUGCAAUUUAUUUAUGUCUAUAGCAGGUAGGAGCUAAUUGUAUGUCCAUUCCAGAUAAAUGGGAUUUGGUUAAGCUUUUUUUAUGUGAUAAUGACCAAUUUUUUAUUUAUUACCGAUUUGUUUUUGGAUCCUAUAUGAUGAAUGAAACAGUGUAUGUACUAUUUUAUGGUUAUGUUAAUCUCAACAUAGGGUUGCUAGAAAUUAUAUACUAAUCAACUAAAGCUUUUAAGUUGAAUAAUAUCCAUUAUAAAUGGGAGUGGAGUUUUUGUAUAGGGGAUCAUGAAGCAAUCUGUGCAAACUACAGAUUAUAAGCUUAACUCAUUGGUAUUGAACCAAACAGAUUAUGCAAAGAUGAAUGUGUGAGGAUACUUGAUCAGGCAAGAGGUUUCUAGGAUAGAUCAUGUUACAAAGAUAAAUUCUGCAGCAAAUAAACAUGUAAUGGAAGGAGAUUUAUAUGAAAUAUGAACGCGACCCAUUUCCCUCAAUCAUAUAUGUAUUGUUGAAUCUGGAUCAUCAAGGUGCUCUAUCAAAACAAUCAACAAAGGUAGUUUCUCCUUUGGAUUAUUGGGGGAAGAUUGCUUGUUGGUAUAAGAACAUGACCAACACCAACAUUGGUCAUGUUGUAUAUGACAUGAUGCACCCCCAAAAUAUUGUGUUGGUGAAAAUUUUCAAUGACAUUUCGUUUAUCUUAUUAAUAAACAUAACUAAACGUUUUCAAUAUUCUCAUACAUAUACUUGAACUUAACAACAAAAAGAGAUAAACGUGGGAAUAGACAGAGUGCUUUGGUUAUUGAUCGAAUACCAAUAUUACAAUAUUUAAAAAUCUCCAUCUUUGAAAGACAUUGGUAGCAUCACAUGAGCAAUGGGGUCUCUCUUCACCUUCCAUUUCUUGAACUGUUUUGAAGCAGCUUUCAAUGCCCUGCCCCAUCUCUGUAUCAAAUAGCACCCACAACCACAAGUUAUCACCAAUAAUUACUUCAAUUUCAACAUUUUACUAAGCUAAUCAAUUCAAUUAAUCUACAUAAAAAUCUCAACAAUAGUAAAGUGACCAAAAAGUUUUCAAGGCUCUAAAUACUUAUUACAAACUAUCACUGUGUGUUAAAAAAAAAAAAUAAAAUAAAAUAAAAUUUUGAUGAAUACCCAUUUUCAUAAACCAGAACACAAAAUAAAAGAUAUGCUUAAAAAACAUAAACCAAUUGAUAAAUAAAUGUAAUAACAUAAAAAGUAACAAAUAAGUUAAAAAGAAAUACCUUAUUAUUGAUGAUGGGGUUACAAGCACAUUUGAUCCUUGAAGGUGUUGGAGAGAAAUCAGAAGCAAUCUUCUUGUUCUUAAUGAAACCAAAUUUGAGAUUGAAGGAAUUAGAAGUGAACUUCUUCCUAAGCUUAGAACCAACCUUGUUGACACUGCAUCUAGCUCCUAAGGCAAUGUCAUAGGAAAGUUUCUUUGGAGUAAUGAGAUCCAAAUCCAUGGGAGAGUAGGGUCUUGGAACCAAAGGGGACCAGAUUGUGCUUUGAGAGUAGUCAAAAUCAUAAGCAGAGUUAUCUGGGAAUUUGCAGAGAAGCUCUAGUGACAUGAAUGGUUCUAAAUAUUCAACAACUUUUGUAGUGUUCAGUAACAAUGGUUGUUGUUGUUGUUGUUGUUCUGCUUCUUCUACAGAUUUCAUUGCUGAAUCAAAGUGUUACUGUUUGGUUAGUUACUUUCUUUGUUUUCUUCAAAAGCUUUGGUUUGGUUGGAUUUGUUUUGCAUUGUAAUCCAAUAAAGGAGGAGAGAGAAAUAAACGACAAAAAAAGGAGCCGUUGUAUGUCAUGUCACAACUUAUUUUAUAUAAAUAAAAGUAGCAAACAAAUAAAUAAAGGAUAUUAUUACUUCCAUCAACGUUUAAUACCAAUAUUACAUAUAAAAUACCCUCUACGUUCUUUUUUAUAAAAAGUAAUUAGACUAAUUUUUGUCCCAAUUAUAAAAAGGAAACUUCUACGAAUUGAGGUGCACUGAUACACUCAAAUUUUUGGAUGUAACAUAGAAUUUGCUUUAUAAAAAAAUAUAAUAUAUAAAAACAUUUUCAACAAAUCAGAGAACUGUGAGAAACAUGGGUGGAGAAAGAGUCCCAUUUUCAUGGUAUGUAUCCUUGAGAAAGUCCAAUAGCAUGAAUGCUAAAACAAGUUAAUUAAUCCGCUUGUUUUCGGUAGUUGUUUCUUUCAUAGCUACUCGAAAUUAAAACCAUUUGAUUUUUUUUUAUUAUUAAAAAGUUUAUGUGAGUUAGAUCUUGAAUUAACUAGAACUGAUAUAGACUUUAAGGUUCAAAAAAUUGUUGAUAAAAUAUUAGAGAUUAUCCACCAACAAGGUCAUUACAAGAAUUGAAGAUUUACCCUUGUUUUUUGAAGUGCGUAUUCAAAUUGAAUAAAUUAUUUAAAAGCACUAGAGCACGUAAAUUUUCUAAUUUUCACAGACAUGUAUGGCAUAAGUGAUAAACACUUGAGCCCAUUAACCAUUUGUUUUUGGCUUCAGUUCCUAACUCGGAUGCAUGGAAAAACAUACGUCUGCACGCGCGAGAAUAUCUUGGUUUACCAAAAUAUACUACUACUUUUCUGUGUGAAAUGACUAUAUUUGAACCGAUUCCUAAUCACCUAAGAUUGAGCACAUAAAAUGCCGUUAAAAAAAAUUAAGUACAUAUAAAUAUGACCAUAGAUCUAUCUCAUAUAGUUCUUUGAGUGCAUAGCAAGCAAAACGAAAGUGCAUGUCCAAGCAAGAAUAUAUUCCUCACAAAAUAAUUGAUGAACUCUAUUUUAUACGUACUAAUAGUAUCCAAAUUCCAAAGAAAUGCAAUGCACCACUUAACCUUUAUCCUUUUAGAAAAUUGUUAGCUUAUAAUUAACAUAUCACAAAGUGACAGCAACAAAUUAAAGCGACAGCAGAAUCAACUUUAGUUUAUAUAUUCAUGCUUUCUCACUUUACGGCUACCAACUAACUAUUUAUAUUACAGUCCAUUUCUCUUACUCUCCAUCAGCAAAAUCUGUGAGGAUAUUUUCAAAUUUCAACCUCUAAUUUUGUGCAUUAGUGUUAAUCCAAUUCCAAUGGAGUCAAGAGCUUACAUCCUUAGAUUCAACAUUGCACAUCUUUGCCUCUUGAUGCUAGUUUCCACUCUUUUCCCUUUGUGUGGUAAACCAUGCAUAUAAAUUAUAUGAUUAUUUCAUAUACUAAUCUAUCUAUGUAACUUCAGUUUAAUUUGUGUAGUAAUUAAUAAAACAUAUGUAACUUUUGUUAAAUUUGCAGAUGCUAUAAAUCAUGGAAGAGGUAGUAGAAGCUACUCCAUCAAAUCAUGGAAGAAACUCAAAUUUUCAUCAUUUGGCUACUCAGACUUAGAUUCUUCAUAUGGUACUCCUUCUUCUCAACCACUUCCACCUUUCAAUUCACUUGCUCCACAACCUACCUCUCUACCACCUUAUUCACCUGUUCCAAACCCACCUCAUGAUGUUUUUAGACCACCACCAAGUCCUAAAACCAUUGUUACAAUGUCGCCGCCGCCACCUCCAAGCCCAUCAAAACAUGUUCCAAGCCCACCUAAAAGUGUUAUAGGCCCACCUCAAGUAUACUUGCCACCUAUUGUUUAUCCACCACCACCUUCAACUCAUAAGAAGCCACCACAAUAUGCUAUUUGGUGUGUGGCAAAGCCUACAGUUCCUGAUCCUAUAAUUCAAGUGGCUAUGGAUUAUGCCUGUGGGUCUGGGGCUGACUGUAAAUCAGUUCAGCCUAAUGGGAUAUGCUUUCAGCCCAACACAGUGUUGGCACAUGCUUCUUAUGCAUUUAAUAGCUAUUGGCAGAACACUAAGAUUGGUGGGGGGACUUGUGAUUUUGGUGGUACUGCUAUGCUUGUCACUGUUGAUCCAAGUAAGUUUGCACUACGUACCAUAUUUGAUUACCUUUGUUAAAGAGAUUAAUUUUCAUAUAUUUCAUUUUUUUUUGUAAGUAAUUUUUCCAUGUAUUUCAUGUUCUACACUGUUAGCACAUUUACAUGUUGAUCUAAUGAUAAAAAAAAAAAAAAAAUUUUGAAUCGGCAAAAUAUUAUAUGUAUGGACCGUAAAAGUUGAUUAUGAUAAAAUUUAAACAGUUGAUUAGGAUAAAUAAUUUAAUUUUUUGGUACAAAUAAUAAAAUAAAUUUUAAUGAAAUUAUAUGACAAAAUUAACACUUCACAUGUUUCAUAUAUAUCGAGAUUCUUUUUUUGUUACAAUGAGAUCCUUUUAUUUAGCUGUUAGUUAAGUCAUUUCACAUCACAUCACAUACUAUAUAUAUCCACACAACAGGCAUAUGCCACUUGAUUUCUUUUAAAUUGGAAUCUAUCCGGGUAGAGAAAACAUGAAUUCAUGACAUCGGUAGCCGGCGUCUGAUUAAAAAUAAAGGUUUUUUUUAAAUUACCUUUAAAGAAUGGUGGGUAAUUUAUCCACCAACCAAUGAAAAUGAGCAAUUUAUUUGUGGAGUCAAGAUAGUUCAUGAAUAUGUGUUUAUGUGGCUAAUGUGUAUUGGUUGGGGUAAAUUACCCAUCAUUCUUUCAUGGGUAGCCUAGUUGCCACCAAAAAUAAAUGGUUCAAAUAAAUAUAUAUUUUAAUUUAUAAUUUAAAAAAAUAUCAAAUUUAAAUAUGAAUGGUUUAAUCUUGAUCAAACAACUAUUGAUGUGCUAUUGUGUGAUGUGUGCUUGAUCCCCUUUCUUCUUUUGAGGUGCAUUCUUCAUUGUCACACUCGGUGGUAUUAGAUUCGCGCACAGUCACUUAAAGCCCACAUUCACCUAUUCAAAACGUUGUUGACUUAUAUGGAUCAAGAUCUAAAGGAAUUUUAAGCUGGUUUUUAAGAUAAAAAACAAAAAUCAAACCUUAAAACCUGCAUUGUUCGAUCUAGAGUCAACGAUCACCGACAUGGUGAAAGUGAAUUUUUGUAACUACAUGGAAUGCAUAUUUCGUAGUCUUUUCAAUUUAGAACUAUGGAUUAUUGCUUCAGACUAACAUUUCCCUCAAAUCCUCGAUUUAUUUGGCAGGUUAUGACAAGUGCAGCUUCAAGUCGACUUAGCUCAUUGCUUGCUAUAAUACAUAGCAUUUGGAGACUUACCAAAUAUUGAAAACUUCUUGUUCCAAUGUAAUUUUUUAUGCAACGAUAAAUUCCCUUACUUAAUUAGAUACAUUAUUUGGAGUUACCUUGAUCAUAGUAUAUUCCGCCCUUGCUUAAUUUUGUGUAGUUCUAUAUAUUUCUAAAAUGGUAGGUUUAAUAUAUAUAUUCAUGACCAUAAUUUGAUAUUUAGAGAUGUAUGUAGCUCUAUUACGUUUCUGGUUCUUUAGUUUAAAACUUAGAUAAGCACCCAUCUUUUGUGUAUUACUAUCAGCGUUAUAAUCCUUGAAAACUUAGAUAAGCACCCAUCUAAAUGCAUAUAAGGUUAAGACAAUACCGACAUCAAAAUGCAGGUUGAAUACAUUAUCCGACUAAAAUCCAUUUCGCUUUCUUCAUGCAUGUGCUCUACAGUUAUCUUCAAUGAAUAAAACAGUAGUUACCUUCAGCCAGCUUGUAAUAUGUUGUCGCACCUGCGAAGCUAAUUUGCAUUCAAAAAAUAAGUGAGAAACAUUUUCCUGCGAAGCUAAUGAAGUGUACGGAAAAAUAAAUAAAAAAUUUACAUUUUAUUAUAACAAAGCAAACAAUUUACUCUAUUGCUUUUUUCUUUAAAAAAAAAUAAAAAAUUUACUUUAUUGUUUCGUGGUGUUUUUUUUAUUCAUUUACUUACUGAUAAAAAACUCAUAUAGACAAAAGAACUGAGUUAAGUGAGAAAAAAAAUGAGAUUAUAGCUAGUAUUGAUAUUUUUACUAAUGUAUUUCGAAAAAUAUUUCAUUCUGUUGGUGUAUAAAAAUUUACAUUAGAAGCAGGGAGGGAACCAUAUUUAACGGUAUAAGAUAGGAAAGAAAAAACAAAUUACUUUACCCAAAAAAAAAAAAAAACAAAUUUUUAUUUGCAAAUAUAAUGCACACAUGAAAUUUAAGAAAUUAUAUGUUACUUCCCUCAUUUCCUUUUUUUAAGUGUUUUUUUAGAAAAUUAACACAAAAAUCACGAAGUGUAUUUUUUGCACAUUUUCUUCCUAGUAUACCCUCAUUUUAAUCCACUAAUAAAUUUCAAUUGUUUUGCAAACACUUUAUCUUUCCAAUAAAUUUAAUAUGUUAUAUUUCUCUCAUUGUGAGUUACUAUUAUCUUUUUCUCCAACAAAUUCCUAUUUUUUUACAUGCACUCUCUCAUAACAAACAAUUGUCAAUUUUCUAAAUAUUGUGUACAUCUUUUCAAUUAUUUUAAGUCAAUAUAAAAAUUAAAUUGAUGAAACUUCUUCUUCUUCAUUGUCAUCUUGUUCUUGUUCUUGUAUCUUGUCGAAUGAGUUUUCAACUAUUGCUCCCUCUUCACAUCUCAUCAUCAAUUUCAACGAGUCUUCCACUUUUUCAUCCUUUUGAGCAUACUACAUGGAGUCUUUUAUUUUUCUUCUCUCAAAUCUUUUAUUUUACUUUGCCCUUGAAAUUUUUAACAAUUGAUACUCAUCUUAGUUAUCGAAUUUUAACUCUUCUUGGAACCAUUGUUUGUAACAAAAUUUUGUUUAAAUUUGAAGAUAACAAGAAACAAACUUUGUUUAAAAAAAAACUGUGUUCCAAAUAGAUAGCAUUAAUUAGUUUUAUUGAAAAAGCUAAAAGUAAUUGGCAAAGGGUAUAAUUGACAAAUCGUAAUUUAAAAUACCAAAAAGACAGUAAAAUAGGAACGGAAAAUUCACCAUAAAAAGACACUUAAAAAUGAACGGAGGAAGUAUAUCCAAAGUUAAUAUGUAUCGAAAAUUGUGUUCAUGUGUAAUUUAUUUGUUGUUUUUUGUUGCCGUUGUUUCUUUAGUGGCACUUUGACUCUGUAAAUACUUGUCGGUGGUUCUCCUUUUGCAUACCUUAUACAGGUUGAACCACUCUGAUUUUAUUAAUAUCUCAUUUUGAUUUGUUAAAAAAAAAUGUAUCUAAAAUUAUAAGAAAUUUCAAAGAUGUUAGAAAAAUGAGUUCCUUGAGGCUUCUUUGAGUGUGACCAAAGAAGAUUUUUUUAAUAGUAGAGAUAGGAAAUAAGAAACAACAAGAAUGUAAAUGUAGGAGAAGAAAUUCAAGAUAAUAUCACAAACAUUAGUAGUGACUGAAAGGGCGCAAACAACACCGCGUGCAAUAUUUCUUACAGUUUGAGUGAAAUUGCAACAAAUAAUCACAAAUUAAUAUUCUAGUUAAGGUUCUUCUAAUUGCAUAAAAAAAAACUCACUUUAUUUCUCAAUUUCUCAAUGUUAUGCAUUCUAGUUAAGGAUUUGUGUUAUUAAAAUUUGAAAGUUAUACAAUGCUAAAUAUACUGAGUAAAAAAAAGUUCAUUAUACAAAAUCAUAUUAAGUUCACAGAAAAUAGUAUAGUGACAAAAAAAUAAAAAUAAUAAUAACAUACUAAUAUGAAGGGAACCAUGGCCUAUGUUAGUCUCCGUUCUAGUUUCAUCCCUGAUUGCAAAGUAUAUCAUAAUGCAAUCUUGUGUAGCUACGAUAAGAAUUAAAUAUUUUCAAUUAUCUACUAAUAGUAAUGAUUAAUUGACAAUGCAAGUACUCUUUACACCUGCAUUGCAUAUGAAUUAGAAGUCACUUUGUUGGCAUAUCACUCCUCAAUCUUGUGAUCCUCCGUUCAAAACUAGCGGUAUGGUAACAAAACCCAUAUAUGUGGGUAUCCGUUUGAACCAAACUUAAAUUGACGGGUUUUUUUUAUUUUAAUUGGGUUUGGGUUUGUCUCGAUUUCAAAAGAUAGAUACGGGACGGGUAACAGGAAUAUAGGUACUCAUCUCAAACCCAUCCUGAAUGUAGAAAAUUAAUUUAUUACCCAUUUUAUAUAAAUAAAAACUCAAACCCUAAAUCAUUUCACUCAUACAAUCAGAGUCUCGGUCUUUCAGAUGACACAAUUAUCAUAGUUCUUUCUUUUCUCCUUCAAUAUUCCACACUCUCAGCCUCUCUCUUCUUCAUCACCAUAGUCAUCGAUCGUCGUCAUCUUUUUACUGAAUAAUGCAUUAGUCAUUACAACUUUGCGCUCGGGGAUAAAAAAUACUUUUAUUUUUAAUAAAAAAAAAUUAUCCACUUCGGGGAUGGGAAUGAGGCGGGGAUGCCCAAACCCGUCGGGGACAUGGAUGAGAUUCGAUUUCUCAUCUCCGCUGAAUAUGGGUAUGGUAACGGGUAAGUAUUUGAAAAUAUGGUAUGAGGACGGGGAAGGUAAAACUCAUCCUCACCCUACCCCAUUGUGAUGCCUAUUCAUGAAGCACAUAUAUUUAGGUAAAUAUUAGAAUAGAAUAACAUUGGAAUGAAAUAAUGACAAAAUUAUCUCUUCACAUGUUUCAUAUUGAGACUCUUUUAUUUACAAUGAGUUCCUUAUUUCGUCGUUAUAGUUUAAGUGAUUUCACAUCACAUACUAUACCCUAACAACAAAGACAUAUUAUGCCACUUGGUUUCGGUACACAUUUCAUUGUCACGCAUCGUCGUCUUAUGGUUGUUGUGCCUUCAAUUUAGUUAAAACUAUGGGCUAUUGCUACAGACUGACAUUUUCCUCAAAAUCAAAACCACCGUUUAUUUGGCAGGUUAUGCAACUUCAUGUUGACUUCCUUCUAUUGAAAACCUCUCUUUCCAACGUAAUUUUUACGUAGCAAUACAUCCCCUUUGCUUAAUUAGUGACAAUAUUUGAAGUUACCCUACCUUGAUCAUCAUCAUCCCUUGCUUAAUUGGUGACGAUAUUGGAAGUAACCUUCAUCAUCUUCUUUGUGGUUUUUCUAGGAAUUCUUUAGGUGUCUUCGAGUUUGGAAGCAUACAAUCAUUUUUGUAAUAAUUAAAAAUUAAAAUUGUUACAAACUUCUAAAACACGGAAGGGUGAUUGAGUUGUCCUCGUGGAGUCAUGUGUCCAAUUGGUUAUAUAUACAAUCAUAUUAUAAUAGUCGUAUAUACGUAAACAUUUUUUAAAAAAAUAUGUACCACACUUUAAAAAUUCACAUAUGCAUUAAUUAAUUUACUUUUAACCUUAUCUUCUAAUAUAUUAUUAUAAAUUAAUUAAUAGUUAUUUUAAGAAAAACCAAUAAACAAUAUAACGCAAACUUGAAACAAAGAGUGAAUCAAGGAGAAUCUACAAAAUAAGUAGAGUAAUGUAUAAUUAAUACAGAAAAAAAAUUAACAAAUAAAAUUUAUCUCACCUUACCAAUGGAGAUUUUAUCUAUUGGAAAUGGUUGAUAUACUUACAAUUAGUUUUCGACACACAUCGAAUAUGAUUAUCUCCAAUUUAUGUGGCGGAAAAACUUAUCACACACGUUAGAAAAAGAAAAAAGUGUUUAUUUUUCUAGUUCCAUGAGUUUCUACAAGGUUUUUUUUACUUCACUAGCUAGUGAUGACUCGCAUGUGAGAUUUGCGAGUGCAACUUAACAUAUGUGAUUUUGAGACCACGAGAGAAGCAUAUAAUUUUUUUUUUUAAAGUACUAUAAAAUAAUAAUAAAAUUUGAACAUAUAUAUGAAAUGUGGUUGUAUCUUUCAGCAUGGAUUAGAACUUUGUUUGUCAUGUUUAUGAGAGUUUAAUCUCUUGCGCUAAAUUCAACCUUAUUGGUGAAUCUAGAUUUUUUUUUUUAUGUAUAUAUGUAUAUAUAUAUAUAUAUGAUGUUUCUAACCUAAUUAAGAGUUAUAUGUUGUAAUAAUAUUAUAUAAUUGUCUUUUUACUCCUUUUCGAUCUUGAGUUAUUUUGGGACGGGAAAAUAUCUUUAUUUUGGUUUUCAUAUAACUAUUCCCCCUUUUUUGUGAAUCCAAAGCAUUGCUUGAAAACUUUUAUUAUCAGCAUUGCUCGAAAGUUGAAACUAUUCCCGCUGGAUUCAAAGUUUUCAACUUCACUAAUUUCUUUGAAAAGAAAAUACUAUAAAACUUCACUGACAUGUUACGUUACAUUUGGAAGCCAGUCAUGUACCGUAAUAAUUGAAGAAAAAAUAUUAUCAGCCGACACUAAAUGCAUAAAAGGUUAAGACAUUACCGAUCCAUGUUUUGUCGUUGAACAAUUAGUCAAAUGUUAAUUGGUUUCAUUCAGAAUUAAGUGUAAAAAAUUUGAUGAUGAUAAUGAAAGAGACUUGAGUGUAUUACCCGACUAAAAUCCAUUUCGCUUUCUUCAUGUGCUCUAGAUCUACAAUUACCUGCUACACAUUCCAAUGGAUAAAUUCUGGUAAUUAUAAAUGUGAUUACUUAAAAUAUAUAUGGUGGCUUCUUAAACUAAAUUAUAUAAAUUGUUAUCGUUAAAAAGCGACUUUUAGAGUUUAUAGCAACAAUCGUAUCUAUUUGUUCACGGGUUUUUGGAUUAAGUUAGAUUUAGGCUAUUGGUCAUUUCAGUCCACUUAUAAAAAUGGAAGGAUGGAUAUUAUUUUAUUAAUUUACACCAUUCGGAGAAUUUCCUUAUUUUGUAUCAAGUCAAAUAAAAAUUAUAGCCUCAACUCUGGCAAAUUAUUUGCAACAUGUUACCCAAUAGUCUACAUUAUAUAUCUAUUAAAAAUCUUAAUAUCUUGUACAAACAUUGUGUAUAAAUCUUUAUUCGAUCAGUUAUAACAAAUUACAUAGACAUAUAGUGUGUUCGAUCGAGAAAAAUAAAUAAAAGAUUGGACAUGAUAACUACAUUUAUACUAUGUGAUUGUAAAACUACAUCAGGAACUAGAUAAACUUAGAGGGUAAAGGACACGAUAAAAAUUGAAAUUAUUAUCAUUUACUAAAUCAGAAUACAACUUUUUGCCUCAAAUACAAGUGAAUAAAAUACCCAAAUAGACUUUUAUCCACCAAGGAUCGUCGUCUAAGAUAAAAAAAAUUGUUCAAUAUAAUUAAAGUUAGUAAUGUGUCUUAUGUCUUAUUCCGUGUUCUUAUGUCCAAUACUUACAUUUUUAGAUAAUCAAACGUAUUCAUCCUGUUGAAGUACAUGGAGUCGAUACAAGUUAAGAACACAGUGGCUUGGGUUAGGUGAUAGAUGUACAAUCGUAUAGCUUAUAGGUCAAUUCUAACAUGUUUCUGAAAGUCAUUUUGUAUGGAGGUGUGUUAUUUGAACAAUCAUUUGAAUGAUAACUUUUGUGACAACCACUAAUUUACAAAGGAAAGUAGAUAGUGACACGGAAACCAAAGUAAUAGAGAGAUAAAGUAAAAAAAUAAUGUGAGUAUGAAAAAUAAAAUUGUCACAAAAUGGUUGUCAAAAUAUCAUUUCUCUUUUGUAUAACAUGCACAAAUAUUUAAAAGAUAAAUGAUAUUUGUAUAACCAUUUUUUUGACAACUUUUAGACAAUUUUCUCUCUCAUAUUCACGUUAUAUUCUUAACCUUUCUUUUCCUUUUUCUCUCUCCUUUGUUUUUAACCAAUAAAAAGAGAGGAAAAAAAAGUUGUCAAGAAAGUUGUUAGCAAAUAGUUGUUCAAAUAUCAUUGCUCGAGUUAAAAUCGUGCUCACUAAACACAAAUGAUUUUUGACGAAGUUUUGUGUAGGCACAAGCAUUUCGGCGCACAUACAUAAAUCAAAAAAAUUAAAAGAUAAAUAAAACAGUCACAUCAAUCAAUAUCAUUUUAAUCAUUUAGUUUUUAAUUUUUUUUUAACUUCAUGGAUGCGUACCUAAAUGUGAGGUGUUGGUCAUAUGACCAAAUAAGAGAUUUUCAUGAUUUUUUUACCAUAAGAUCAAAAAGUUAUAUCAUAUCUCAUUUUAUUACAUUUUUUCUUUAAUGGUGGGGUUUAUUGGUUUCUAAAAAUAUAUCAAUUACCACCCUUUGUUUUCAAAUUCUUUAACCCCGUCACUAAAAACAUAAAAGUAUUUGGAGUAGGUUUAUUUUGUGAAAACAUUUUAAGUUUUCUAGAAUUUAUAUUUUUAAGCAAAAGUGAAUUGCAAAAAUUUAAGCGAGAUUUUUUAUCACAAGUUUACAAUUAUGGUGAAAUCGAAGAACUUAACUACUUAGGUUGUAAACUAAGAACAUUUUAUUAACAAAGAACCAAAAACAGGCAUGAUGGAGUGCAUAGACCAAAAUCUAAAGAAAAAACAUCAAACAGAAAUAAAGGGAAACUAUGUCGAUUAUUAUAACAACAAUCCUCUAAAAUAAAUCUAGGUGGAAGAGUCCACCAAAUAUAACGUUUAGAUUAAAAACCAAAUCCCGCUAUAAAUAUGAGAGAUUACAAUUAAUUGCAUUUGAGAACACAAUGACAAAGCAUUGCGUUGUCUUUUUUUUUUUUUUUUUUUGUCAUUUAGCUUAAUGGCUAUAGAAAUUCACCUUAAAGAUGAAUAAUUGAAGUGUCAUGCAUCGUCUGUUUUUUAAUCUCCACGUGAUAGACCGAGAAUUCUAAAAAGACUUCACCGAUAAUGACGGUGGAGAUUAAAAAACGUUCAUAAUUGCGGCCAACAAAACAAUUUGUGACUAAUAAUUCUAACCUUUUUAAAGAAAAACACGAAGUAGACAAGAAAAAGGAUGUAUCAAUAUGACAAUCAAUGGAAGUCCAAAGUCAACUCUAAAUGUUAACAUCAAAUUGAUUAACGUUGUAACUUGUAACACCUCGUUUUUUCAACUUAAAAAUUUCACAUAUAAAUUAAAGUAUUUCAACAUAAACAGAAUGUCACACUUCUUUUCAUAAAAUCAUAAACAGAAUAAAAUAACUAUUUAUCCUUCAAAUUCAACAGCAUAUCAUUUAUUACAUCGCAACGGAAUGUAUUCAACAUUUAAACAUCUUUUGCACCAAGGCCUCAACAUAAAAUCUCUUAAAGUUAUUCCAACAACAUGUUCAUGAAAGUUCAUAAAAUAAUACGUAAGGAAUAGAAAGCAACAACAAAAUUCUCAUCCCGUUACGUAUCAGGGCACCUAAGACACACGUGAGAGAUAGUCCACUCACGACAACAACUAACAGCAACUAUUCUCGAUCACCUGCAGGUUACCCAUAUGAAGGGUAACAAUUCCAAGCAGAAGGGGUGAGAUUUCAUAUUCAAAUAAUAAUAAGCAUAUAAUUCAUUAAAUGCAUUUAACAACUUAAACUUCAUCAAUUAAUAACAUUAACUCUUCUUAUAAUACUUCGUUAAUAACUCAAUCAAUUUCUAAUCAUCAUUAACUUCAUAUUCAUCACAUUAUAUACAACAUCAUAUAGCACAUAAUAAUCAGAUCAUAAACAUCAUCAUAUAACGACAUAAUCAUCACAUCAUAAACAUCAUCUUAUAACAAGAUAAACGAUACAUCAUAAACAUCAUCUUAUAACAGCAUAAACAACACAUCAUAAACAUCAUCUCAUAACGACAUAAACAACAACGAUUAAUAAAUAUUAAUACUUCACUUAGUUCUUUAUUAACAACUCAUUGACAAAUGACAACUUAACGACAACGACAAUGCGACUUCUACAUCUUAAACUCAACAUAUGCAACUUCAACUUCUUAAUCAUGCAUGUGGUACCAACCAGAGCAUCAAGCCCUCAACAUAAAGAGCAUAAAUACACUCACAGGGCAUCAAGCCCUCAACAUAAGAGCAAAAGCUCACAGAGCAUCAAGCCCUCAACUUCAAAUGAUUAUGCAUGGACUCAAAAACGUACAACUUAGACAAAUUCACAACUUAUAUGAUCCAAUAUCUUGGAAUAACAACUUACAACUUUACAACUUAGACCAACACUUGCAACUUAAUGACAAUAAUGGUUCAACAACAACAGAAACAGCAACAUAAACAUCUUGCAACAUAGCAACAUCAAUAAUAACAAUUUGAAUGAUAUAAACAAUAAUAAUUUCUAUAUCAUACAUUUUCAACACCUUAUAUAAAUAUCUUAAAUUAACCAACAAUCAUUAAUCAUUUGAUUCAGGCUCUCUUUAACUCUAUAACUUAAUAACAACUUCCAUUCUUAUCCAAAGAUCAACUCAAAACAUAGGUUAAAUACUCUUAAACAUCUUAAUUGAACUCAUAGUACUUCUAGUUUUGAGGUUUUGAAUUAUCCCAUAAGUUUUGGAUUAACUUAGAAAUGGUUAUGCUGAAUUUUCAUAAGAUUUCACUAAGACCUCUCUGGAGUAUUUUUUAUCAUAUCUCAAAAACCAAAAAUCAUUUUCAAAUCAAACCAAAGCCAUUGAAAAGCUAAUAAAAUUAUCUAAAACUUUCAUGUUUACAACUAGACACAGUUCAAAGCGGAAAGGGGUGAAAAAUAGUAAAAUAAGAAGGAUCUGAUUCACAAAAAUCGUGCCACGUUUUUAUGCCCAGAACCAUUGAACUUUCGGCCAACAAAAUUGUGCCACGCUUGCAAAAUCGUGACACGUUUUGACAGCAUCAGGUCCAGAAAUCUGCUUUUCAAAAAGUGCAAUUUUCACCAUUUCGCGCGUAAAAUUCAAACCGUUAAUCGGAUUUUGAUGCCGUUUUCGCCUACACGCUCCUGAAACUUGGCUCUAUCAUAAUCUACAGCUAUUUCAAGUCUCAACCAUCCCAAGAAUCAUUUUCCAAAACCUCACAUAAUCCCUUAUUUGCAAAAACGUUUAGACACCGACUUUUCAAGCGAAAAUCUCAAUUUUCAUCAACUCAACCCCAAAACUGGUUCUAAUCAUUGUACUGUGAAUAAUCUAAGGUCUGAACAUCGUUUCUUCAUUAAUUCAACAGGUUUCUAUCAUCUAAUCAACCAAUUACAACUUUUAACCCUAAUUUCCCAAAUUCCCAAAACUACAACCUACAACAUGUUAAAUCCAAUUUUCAGAAUUAUACAACUUAUAAUUAAAGAAUGUUAUCAUUCUAGGUUCUUCUCUUCUAUUGUUUUCUCCCUUUUUCUCCAAAAACUUGUUUUACGCGAUCCUUAUUUUCUAAUUCUAACUCUCCCCUUUUAUAUAAAUCCUUAACCUACUUAUUUUCUCUUAUUUCCAAAUCUACCCCCAAAGUCUCAAUAUUCUAUUCUAAUAUAUAUGUAUAAUAAAAUACUUCUAUAACAAAUAACAAAUAUAUCUCUAUAACAAAUAUAUUUAUGUACCAGAUAACAUAUAUAUUUCUUCACCAAAUUAGAUAUAUAUUUCUACACCAAAUAACAUAUAUAUUAUACUAAUAAAUACCAACAUAUAACAUAACAAAAUAUCACUCAUCAAAAUAAAUCGACUAAAUUAUAAAAAGACAUCUAAAUUCAAUAAAAUAAAUAAAUAUUAAAAUAGGGCGUUACAAACGUGCUUUCUAUCAUCGAUGAACCAGAGCAAAAUUACCAUUAGAUUCAAUCAAUGGUCAUGAUUUAUACAAAAUAAAAAUAAGAACAUUUAAGAAUUGCCUCGCACAAUCUUGCCCCUAUUAAACUUUUUUAUUUUUGGUAUUCAUCAUCUUCAACCUCCAUUCCAAUUUUUUCGUAAUAAAAAAAAAAAAAAAAACUCCAUUUCAAUUUAGGAGCAAUGCUACAAAAGAGAAUUUGCACAAAAAAUUGAGUGUGUCUUCAAAAGUUUACGGGGUUUGCUAAAAAUCUAGUUUAUGGGUUCAAUUGGAGGUGGUGACUAAUGAAAUUGGAGGUUUAACUCAUCCUUAAAAACCAGUUCAUAAGGUGAGUCACGCCCAGCACUCUUUGGGCUUACGUGAAUCGGUAGGUAUUUGGGCUUACGUGAAUCGAUAGGUAACUCUUGAAUUCGACAGGUUCUGAUACCAUAAUGAAAUUGGAGGCCUAACUCAUCCUUAAAAACUAAUUCAUAAGGUGAGAAUUGUCUCCUCUAUAUUAACUCUUAUCAAGAGUCUUAUCUUUUCGAUGUGGAACAUGAGUUUUUUUCAAUAAUGACCUUUAAAGUUUAAACACGCGGCAUCUUUGAAUUCUACAUAGAAAAAAAAAAUAGAAUUAUAGCGUGUUAUGUUUGUUUCUCUAGAGCAUGAGACAUUUCAUUGUUCAGUUUAUGUUGUCAUGGAAAGGCAUAUGAGUGAUGGGUGUACAUCAUCGAUCGGUGGUUUGAUUCUCGUGAAUAGAACAAAAAAAAUCUGAGCUCAAUGGUACAAAUCCUUACGAUGAAAGGUGAGAUAUAGUAGGAUUGUGUGUGGAUAGUUGUAAAUGUUAUCUUUUUUAAUUCUAGUAGAUCAAAAUUGUUAAUCUCAUUUCAUGGUAAAAAUUAAAUAGUCCAUUUGUGAGGGACUCAAUAGCUCCUUCACCUUAGACGUCACCCUUAAUUAAUAAGAAACUAACGGCGAGGGACUCAACUCCCUCACCUUAGACGUCACCAUUGAUUAAUAAGAAACUAACGAUUGAAGUAAAUAAACGAGAAAGAAACUCAAACUUCUUUCUAAACUUUCUUUCUCUUUCGUUCAUCAAGGAGGGGUGGUUUUUGACCUAGAAUCACCCCUCUACAUCUUUUUUCCCAUUUUCUUUCAAUCUAAAUAAGUGGUUUUCACAUACAAGUGUUUCCUUUUGUGUUUUUUGUGAUUUUGUCGUCUAAGUACAACGCUGUGUUGGUCGUCGUCUUGUGCGGCGUUUGAUUUCACGUCUUGUCGCGGCGUUCGUUUAGUUUCUAUUGAAAGAUUGACAUCGGUCAAUUAUAAAUCCAAUCAAUGAUUUGGGUGUGAAUGUUGCCGAUCUAGAAACAUGAGUAUUUCGGUGACUUAGAUUUAAUCAUAUUAGUUGUAGCAUUUUGUCAUUUUAUGUUAUUAACUUGGGUGCUGUGAGUUUGUUCGCAGUUUUACCCUUUACGUUUCUAGCGAUUUUUGUAUCUGAUGUACUCUAUCAAUCUGAAUGAAUGAAUAUCGUUUUGUUUUUAUUAAAAAAAAAAAAUAAAAAAAAAACUAACGGUUAAAAGUUUGCUCUACAUGCCUACAAUGAUAAUAAAUAGAGAUAAUUUACUACAACUUUUAAAACAAUGAUGCUCAUUUAUAGGAACUUUACCAUAAAUAAGUCUCCAAAGAAAAAAUGAUUUGGAUUGAGGAAUUGAAGGUUUCCAAAUAAGCUAUGUCCAUGAUUGAUCAUAUGCAGAAACUUGACAAAAACUAUCAGCAUCCUAAACUGAAAGAGAACCUGAUGAAGAACCCUUCUAAGCAAGAUAUUCAGUGGAAAACUAUACCCCGAUAUUUAUCAAAUUUCAUAUUUCACCAAUUCAACUCUCUCUAUCAAUAGUAUAUAUAUAAAGUAAGAUUUUUUAUGACACGUGUCACUUCCACGUUUAUUCGCAAUAUUUUUAUUUUUUUUCUAAUUUUUCAAAACCAAUAUUUAAUUUGGCAUAAAUAUCUCAACAAACUUUUGAUCUUAUCUAUUAAAUAUUUUACUUAACUAUUUAUUGAAUUCCUAAUAUUUUAUGUAAUAGAAAUAUCUCAACAAAAUUACAUACGAUACCCUUCAAUUAAAAAUCAUCAAUCAAUCAAUAGUAUAUAUAGUAAGGUUUCUUAUGCCACGUGUCACUUUCAUGUUUAUUCGCAAUAUUUUUAUUAUUUUUAUAUUUUUUAAAAUCAAUAUUUAAUUUUGUAAAAAAAAAAUCAAUAUUUAAUUUGGCAUAAAUAUUUCAACAAAAUUUUAACCUUAGGGAUGGCAAUGGGUACCCUAUCCCAAUGGAUAGGGUACUAUAGUACCCUAUCCAUUGGGUACUCAUUGCCAUAAAUGUAUUGGUCUAUUCUCCACUAUCAUAAAUAUAAAGUGAAAUAUAUUGAAUUGGAAAUGAUGAAAGUAGUAUUAAUUAGAGUUAUAAUUGAAAAAAAAAGUAAUUAAUAAUUGUAUUGAAAAGUUAAAUGCAUCAAGAUUUUUGAGACAAUAUUUUUUACAAAUAACUUAGUUAUUAUGGGACGGAGGGAGUAACACUUUAACAUGACAAUGAAAAGUAAAUUUAAGAAUUAAAAUGCAAGAAAUGAAGAGAAUGUUUCUCUAACACAAAACUAUUUUUUUUUUCUCUUUCACUUAUACACUUUUUUAAUGUGUAAAAUAAAAAAUAAAAAAAACUUAUGUAUAAUGAGACGGAGGGAGUAGUUAGUAAGAACAAAGUCGUCAAGGAACCAAUUAACUCUUGAUUUCACUUCCCAAAAACGUCUUGAUAGUGCUAUACUCCCUCCGUCCCAAAUUAUAAGCAAAAAAACAAAAAUCACACUUAUUAAGAAAACUAAAACAUAAAAAUUUGGAGUAUAGUUUUUUGUGUUUUCGUUGGAAAAAGUUUUAUAGGAAGAUGUAAAAACAAUUUUCAUUGGCUAUUGAUUAUGGAAAAAAUGAAAGAAAGAGAAAAUUGAAUGUAAUUUGCAUUUAAUUUUAUGAGAAUAACAAAAAAAAAUCUUGGAAAAGAUUAAAAUUUGUCUUUUUUCCUUAUAUUUUGGGACAAAGAAAAUGAAUUUCUUUUGCUUAUAUUAUGGAACGGAGGGAGUACUUGGUUAAGCUGGAUUGAGCAUUCAAUUCUAAUUUAAGGGCCUUUAAUUUACCUUAAAGAAUAAACAUAGGACAACCAACCACAUAAUUAUUUAUACCAAACAUUUUCCACCACGUGGGUGAUAUCUGGAAGAUGAGAGUCCAUUUAAGUGAGUCAAUGUGACGAAAAAAAAGAUAAAAUGGCAAUUUUAGGAUCGUAAAUUUCUGAAAAUAAUGGAAGUAGUAAUUCUUUUAACGUUUUCAUUGUUUUAAAAAAAUUAUCCAAUCAUAUUUUAUAUGCAAUUUUUGUUUUUUAGAUUAAUUAAACAAUAAAUUUUGUUAACCAGUGUCCUAAGGGUGAUGAUUAAGGAAUUCAAAUGUAAAAGUUUUGUCUUGUAAUUGUAGGAUGUUACAUUUGAUCAAGUAAUGAUUAUACUACUUUUUAUUAAAAACUUACUUGAUUUAGUUGUUUAACCAGUGUGAACACUAGUUAACAUUCUCCUUAAAUAAUUGAUGUUUCUGAAAUAUAAUAUAUAUAUAUAUAUAUAUAUAGCUCAGAUACAUCACUUAUUUAAUGAAGAGUUUUUUUUUUUUCCUUCUCUUAAUUAACGAAUAAAACUAACACUUAUAUAUCUACCAAAAAAAAAAAAAAACUAACACUUAUAUAAUAUAGUUCGGAUACAAUAUAUUUAUAUAAUAUAAUCCGGAUACAUCACUUAUAUAAUCAACAUUGCUAUUUACCGCGACAAGUUUUGUCCCGAAUGCAUCAAGAAUGAAAAUAAGCCAAUUAAAAACAGCUGUUAGUGGAAAUCAUGGGAGGUGGGGGAGAAAAAGAUGGAAAUCAUAAACUAAUGGAUGGAUGGCAUACAUGCCACAUGUGUCUGGAAAAUCUCGGGACAGUUUUAUUUCGUGUGAAAUAGCAUUUUUCCUUAUAUAAUAUAGUCCAGGUACAAGGCAACUAUCACCGGAUGAGGUUUUAUCUUUUUAUUAAUGAAUAAAACUUUUUUUAAGAAGCUAAAUGCAAAAUAUAUUAAAAACCAAAUUAGUUAAGCACAAGAUGUGCCAAACGAAAAACUGUGUAUAACGUCAAAGUAACAAACUCGAUAAAGAAAGAAACCACAAAUAAUAAAAAUCAAAAGCGAAAUUCAGUUUAUGUGUCUUUAGCCACCACAAAAAAUGAAAUUUAAUAUUGUCGAGAAGUUGAUCCUUAGAAGACACGUUGUUAUUGAAAUUUCUCGAGUUUCUCUCCUUCCAAAUUCUCUCCUUCGAAAUAACUCAAAGACAUGUCAGCACACCACUUUAAAACAAGAGCUAAUGUCCUUCCUGAAAGCAUGCGCGCCAAAAAAUUGUUGUGCGUGACAACCAAUAUUUGAUGGAACGACGGUAGUUUUACCCUACCAGAUCAACAAACACCCUACCAGAUCAACAAACAGGGAAAAUAAAUAAAAAAUAUUUUUGCAAAGUAAUUAAACGGAUUCUAAUGUUUAAUAGGAACCGAUCGAGGACAACAUAGAAAUCAUGCUGGAAUUUGAAGAAGAAAUACAAACCUAAUUAAAGAGAGGGGCUAAGUAUUUCCAAGCUGGAACUUGAAAAAGAAAAACCAUGCUCUAAUUAAGUAACUAAGUAAGGUAGUACAUUACAACAAUUGAGAUAAGUACGACACAUUAUGAUGAUUAUGACUUAUGAGCUGUUAAAUGAUGUUGUAGGAUUACUUUUUUCUUGUCAAAAAUAAAUAAAUGAUGUUGUAGGAGAAACAUUAUUAUAAACAUUAUUAUAACUUACAAGGACUAAUGUUUAAAAAAAAAAACUUACAAGGACUAAUAAUGAGACAGAACGAAAGUGUACGUGAGUGUAGGAGACACGUUAUUAUAACAUUUUAUAAAUAUUUAAACGUUGAUAAUAAUUUUGUCGAUCUAUAAACCACUACCAAUUCCUAGUUAAAUAUAUAAUAAUUUUUAUUAUAUUUGUUAGUUGAUGGUAAAAGAUGAAUAUAAUUUGUUACUAUAUUUUUUUUUGACAAAAUAAUUUGUUGCUAUUUAAAAUUCAUAAAUAUAGUCUAUACAUAUAAUUUUAAUAAAAAUAAAAAUUCACCCAAAAAAAAAUCAAAAAUUUCAUAAAAAAAUAAAUAUUGUUUAUAAUUCACGAGCGUUGUCGCAGUACAAAAAUGGAUAGAUGGAUACCCAGUACUAGUAAUUAAUGAAGUUAAUUGGUAAAAUUUCACUCUUACUGGUGGUUGAUGGUAGGGGUGUUUACGGUGCGGUUUGGUUCGGUUUUGAGAGAAAAAGUCAUCCAAACCGCAAGAUAAAAAAACAUGCGGUUUGUGUAACACCCACAGCUGACGAGGGCAGGGGAGUGGUCACCGGUGCACAAGGCACGCCAAUGAGCGGCUCCCGACAGCUUCUAGAGGAACCGAAUCACAUCUGAAUGAGAGGGAUCCUGAGGCCGUGUAGGUGUGGGACUACAUGAAUGAAGGAAUGCUUAUAAGAAUUGUUUGGUAAUACCUAUAUCAACAAGGUGCAUCUUCUUUUUGGUACCCUAUUCCAUAAGAACUCCACAGUUAAGCGUGCUUGACUUGGAGUAGUCUUUGGAUGGGUGACCUACCGGGAUUCCCGAUAAGCAUGCGAGUGAGGACAAAACACGCUGAAAAGACUCGUGUUGGUUUGUAGGGUCAGUCGACAAUGCUUAAAGUCGUCUGGGAUGUUACAGUUUGGUUUGGUUCGGUUGGCUUUAAAAUAAAAUCCGAACCAAACCAAACCAAUAUGGUUUGGGUUGUAUCGGUUGGUGCGGUUUUUUUCGUGACGAUACGAUUUUUUGUUUCCAACAUUAAAAUCAAGAUAAAAAGCUGAAACACAAUAUAUUUUCAACAAUGUUUUAAAUUUCAUCAAACAUUACAAUUUCAUUUUCAUUACAAUGUUUCCAACAACAUAAACCAAAUUAAAAACGCGGACAAAAAGUAAUCUUAUUUUGUAAGAAAUGCAAAAGACUGAGAUGUUCUCAUUCUCUAAAAGUUAAGUAGCACAUAAAUACAUUUUUAAAUAAAAAGCAAAUAAUGAACUUAACAAGAGAAAAAAAAUAUGACAUUUUAUAAAAGUUUUCAUUGAGUUUCUAUGAGUAUUGGUCUUGAUGACAUAUGUUUAAUUAACAUUUUUCUUAUGUUAUGGUUUGGUUUGGUUUUGUAUCUAUUUGACAGUCUCUUUGUACUUUGAGCGACCUCUUUAGUACGCCUUAUGCUAAAGAGGUGUCUCUCUUAUUGUGAAUAUAUAUCAUUUUACCUUCUUAAAAAAAAGUUAAUUGGUAAAAAAAAAAAAAAUUUCUCUCUUGAUUUAUAUGAAAUGACAUUUUUUUUUGGAACAUGGAGGGUAUUGAUUUUUACACCUUUUCAAAAGCCACUCAAGGAUGAAUAUAGAUUUUUCAUGCAUCAAACACAAGAAUCAUUAGCAUAACAUGCUUUGGAAAACACACACAUAUACUUAAAUUAAUGGUUGGAGUAUCAAAUUUAAAAAUAUUGUUGUCAAUACAUACCCCGUCAAUCCUCCUUUUUUACCCAAUAAACAUUGAAAUGUUGCUUCUUUCGUUAAGCAUAAAAACAUCAAAGUCUAGCAAAAUGUUGUUUUUGCGAUGACACAUUUCAUAUAGUUUAAAGGAUGCAUGAUUCGAUUACAAAAACAAAAUACUAAUAAUUCUAGCACAAAGUUUAAAGCUAAGAUUAUAAAGCUUCAUAGCAUGUGGAUAUUCAUUUAGAAAUAUAGGAUUAGGAUUGCCCCUUUCAUCACGGGUCUAAUAGCACCACUUGUCACUACAUGUUAAAAAUGUCCUCUAGUACAACACCGCUUUUUACUUGAUUCCCCUUGUCCAUGAAAAAAUCAAACAAUAUUUGGACACAAAAAUUUGCCCCCACUUUCCUUUUUCUUCUGCCCUAGUUUGUUUGAAAACUCAUAUUGAUCAAAUUUGGCUAUGAAUUCAAACAAAAAAUUCACUCUGCCCAUUGCAUGUGUGGGACCCACAUAUAAAUCCAUGAAGGAUUUCAAUGUCCAUCCAAGUCAAUGAUUCAACAUAUAACAUUGAAUAAUUUAAUUCCAAUUUGCAGUAUUAUGAUUUAGAUUGAUUGCUGCAAUACGGUCCGUGAAUGUAACUCACGAGAAAGAGGUAUCAAGGUAUUUUAUUUUAUUUUUAACAAAUAAAAUUUCAAGGUCUUGUUCACCAUAUAAACCUCCUCACUCUCACUCAAUUCUCUUAAGUGUAUGACUUCAUAGUAAACUACACUACUUUCUUUAAAACAUGGCUAACUAUGCUAUAGCCAAUGUUUUGAUCCUUCUCUUGAACUUGAGUACCUUACUCAAUGUUCUUGCUUGCCCUUAUUGUCCUUACCCAAGCCCUAAACCACCUUCACACCACCCUCCUAUUGUUAAGCCACCAGUUCACAAACCACCAAAGCAUUCUCCUACUCCUAAACCACCAGUUCAUAAACCACCAAGAUAUCCUCCUAAACCAUCACCUUGUCCACCCCCAUCAUCAACACCAAAACCACCUCAUCAUCCCAAACCCCCAGCAGUACACCCACCACAUGUUCCAAAACCACAUCCACCUUAUGUUCCAAAACCACCAAUUGUUAAACCUCCAAUAGUACAUCCACCUUACGUACCAAAACCCCCAGUUGUGAAACCACCACCAUAUGUCCCUAAACCACCUGUUGUGAGACCACCCUAUGUUCCUAAACCACCAGUUGUACCUGUAACACCACCUUAUGUUCCUAAGCCACCAAUUGUUUUCCCACCACAUGUUCCUCUACCUCCAGUUGUACCAUCACCACCACCUUAUGUACCAACACCUCCAAUUGUGAAACCACCAAUUGUUUUUCCACCACAUGUUCCUCUACCUCCAGUUGUGCCUGUAACACCACCUUAUGUGCAACCACCACCUAUUGUAACUCCACCAACACCAACACCUCCAAUUGUGACACCACCAACACCACCUAGUGAAACACCUUGUCCUCCACCACCACUUGUACCUUAUCCACCACCACCAGCACAACAAACAUGUUCCAUUGAUGCUUUGAAGUUGGGUGCAUGUGUUGAUGUGCUUGGUGGACUCAUACAUAUUGGUAUAGGUGGAAGUGCUAAACAAACAUGUUGUCCAUUGCUUCAAGGACUUGUUGAUUUGGAUGCUGCUAUAUGUCUUUGCACCACUAUUAGACUUAAACUUCUUAAUAUCAAUCUUGUUAUCCCCCUUGCUCUUCAGGUUCUCAUUGAUUGUGGCAAAACUCCACCAGAAGGGUUUAAGUGCCCAGCUUCUUAAUCAUAUAUGCACAAAGCUAGUACAUUUAUAUUUUGAAGGUAACUAUUUAAUUCAACUUUAUAUACUUUUCUUUUAGUAAAAUUUGUGUACAUGCAAUUUUAUUAUUUAGAUUAGAUUCAAAUAUAUUUUUAGUAUUUACAAGUAUACUGUUUUUUUGCCAUUUAUUGGUCUUCGUAAUUUUUCUUUUGUUUUUAGUCUUUGCAAUAUGAAUAAGGACUAAAAUAAAUAUUGUAUAGAUCAAUUCCAACAUAACAACUUUGCAGGGAAUGUAAUAAAACACCAAUGAUCAAAAGUAAAAAGUAGUAUAUUUAUAGGGAAUAAAAACAAAAAUUUCAUAUAUUUGGAUGGACUAACUAAAAACGAAAAAUUGGUAUAUUUAUGUCAUUAGUUGUGUUCGGAACUUUUCUAUUGCUAAAAUCAUAUUAAUAAAAUUUGUUUACAUUCAAUUUCAUUGAUUAAGAUUUUAUACUAUGUGAUUGUGACCUAGAUGUGUUAAUGUUUACAGGAAUUCCAUGAAUAUUAGUUAGCUCGGAAUAAGCGUUUACAAGUUGAAAGAGAUGUAGUGAAAAAAUUGUCAUUGUUUCUCGUUCAAGUUGGUGUAGGGAUACCAGAAAUGAAGGACAAGAACGUAGUAGAAUUGUACUUUGAUGGAAAUUAUGUAACUGGAAGAAGACCAAAAAAAUAUUCUGCACUUCACGUAGUAGUCGUCGUCAUGCAUUAAUAUGACAUAAACUUUCAAUUUAAUUAUUUUCUGUUUCUAUCUUUUUGUCACUUUCUUUCAUUGCGUAUGAUGCUGUGUGUGUAUGUCAGCGUUUGUAAGUUCAACCCGUGAGUGCUUUGGGGAAAUGUAUAAUAAGUUCUUUUUAUAUUUUCUUCAAAAUGCUUGAUUCUCAUCUAACACAUUUCUUCGUAUUAUCCGGAAUAUUGUCCUUUAAAAGAAAAUUACAAACAAAAAUCUUGAAAGAAAGAAUAAACAGUGUGAUAAUAUUUCUCCUUAUGAUGAUUAGUAAAUGCUUGUUUAGCAUAACGGUCUCAGUCAAAUUGGAGGACCCGCUCGAAUAUUAAAAAUAAAACCCUAAUAAAAAAAUUAGUGCUAAUUUAAACAAUUAAAAAUUAACAACAAACUUUUUUUUUAUUUGAAUUUGUUCUACUGAUUUUUUUGUUGGUGGGAUGUGUGAGUCGGGUCUAACUUAUAUAAUAUUUUCUCUUUUAUUUUUAUCAAAUAAUAAGAGUUUGGUUUAACCUAUCUUCUAUUAUAAUAAAAUAAAAUUUUACUAUAUAUCUUCCACAUAACUUUUUGCUCAUGUUGUUUAGUAUUGUGAAUUAGAGACAAAACUUCUCUUUAAUGAUUUUGUUUGGAGAGCAUAUCUGCUAGUUUUCGCCGAUUUUCCCUAAUUUGCGCCAAACGUACGUGCAUGUUUUUUAAUAUUCUUGCUAAUUACACAUAUCGCCAAAACUAUUUCCUUAAAAUUAGGAUAAAGUUUUUUUUGAAGAACAGUAGCACUGUCAAAAAAAAAAUGUCUAAAACAGUACAUUAUAGAGUACUAUACCUAAAUUUCCCCCCUCAUAAAAAAUUGGUCUAUAUUAGUGUGCAAAGUGUACACUAUGCAUUUCAAUUUUGAAUUUUCAAAAAAUGGACUAUAUGAAUUUCACAAAACUUCCGUUUUAAUUAAUAAAUAUUGCUCUUAGGAUAUUCAUUAGUAUUUUUCUAUAUUAAAUUCAUAUAUAAUAUGUCAUGUAAAUAUGUCCCCCUAAACACAAUUGACGCGGAAUUGAACCCACAAUUUCACACUUUAAGUUAGAGGUACUUACAUCCAAAAAAAUCCAAAAUAAAACCGUAAAUCAAUUCAAAAAAACAAAAAAUUGUGCCAAACCAAAUUUUAUUGGAUGUCUUAAUUAGGAUGUACUUUUAUAACAACCGUUUUGAUCGGAUUGAAUUUUGAACUCAUUUUUCAAAACAGACCACAUACAUAAAUAUUAAUACUUAUUUAUUUUUAAUUGGUAUAAUAUAUUGCAUUAAUCCAUUAUUUGUAAAUUUCUUAUUUUCUUUUAAUAAUACUUAUGAGUUAAAUUUAAUUUGUUUGUUUUUAUUAUUUCAUGGGGUUAAUAGUGUUUUACCCCAUGUAAUAUAAGUCAUUUCCAGUUUACCUCCUGUGAUUUUUUCUUAGAUUCCAUCCUUGUAAUUUGAAGAUUUUUUAUUUUAGACCUUCAUGAAUUUUGACUAUAAAAUCGAUGACAUGGUAGAAGGUAAAUCGAAAUUUGCUCAAAUUACAAGGGGCGAAAGUACCUUAAAUUUUGUAAUUGAUGUCAAAGAAUGUCCAAAAUCAAAGAAUCUUCAAAUUAUAAGGACAUAAUCUAAAAAUAUAUAUAUAGGGGUAAUCCAGAAAUGACUUAUAUUAUAGGGGUGAAACAUUAUUAACCCUAUUUCAUAUCUUUCAAACAUAAUCGAUUAUUAUCAUCCAUGAUUGUUAAAUUUUAAUAUAUUAUAGGCUAUAUUUUGCAUCAAACUUAUUAUUUUACCGUAUCUUUAUAGCAUCAAUAGAUUUUUUUCACAAAACUGUUAUUUAAAAAACCUUCCGCUUUGUUUUUUUUUAGUCUUUUUCGCGAGUGUUUUGUACGUUUUCCAUAUACUCAACGAAAAUAAUAAUUGUCAUUUAAAAAAAAAAAAAAAAACCAAAUACCAUAAAAUUGAAACGGAUCUCAUCAUCUUUUUUAGAAAUCAUCUAAAUCGAACUAUGAGUAUUUUAAUUUUUUGAUUAAAAGAUAUUUUGUUGGAUCAUACUAACUAUAUUGGUUUUAUUAACUAGUGUUCUAAGACACUAAUUAACAUUUCUCUUUUUACUUCAUAAAUGAUUCAAACUUUAACGUGAACGCAUCUACUUCAAAUCACUUUGUGUGUACGACUAACAAAUGAAGUUCAUAUAUAAUAUGAUUUCUCAGAGCAUAAAUCUCUAUUUUGCAUUCAUGUGUAUAUAAAUUAAUUCUUAAUGUCUAACUAUUAUUUUUUAUUAAAGUCGAACUACUUUUUUUUUUUCUAAACAAUGUCUCUAACUAUCUUAAAAAUUAAUAAUUUCUCUUUCAGUAUUUGACCCUUUCCUUGAUCAAAAAGAAUUUGACCCUUUCCUUGAUAAAAAUAAAAUAAAAUAAAUUGACCCUUUCACAUACUAUUGUUUAUAAUGCGUAUGGAAUAAUUGACACGACACAUUAACUAAGCGUACUUACUCCACUAGUGCAAUAUUAAAAUUACAGUCUGAAAAAGAAAAAAAAUCAUGUACCAAUUUCGACCAAUAAAUUUAAUGAUGAAAUUAAUCCCUACAUAUGAAAAAAAAUAAAAUUUGAAGAAGCUAAACUAACCCCCUCAAAUCGGUGCAAGAGAGAAUCGAACCUGAGACUUUAAGGAGGAACACACUCCCAGAUCCCAAAUCAAUAUCACUAAAUCAACCCAAGUGGGUUCAUAUGAAAAAAUAUUUGUUGAAAGAGAAAGGUCAUUUAAUUGAAUCUUCGUACUUUAAAAAUUCCUAAUAUCUAGCUUUUGACUAUAAGAUACUUUUGGCAACCAAAUAAUUUGAUCCCAUAGAUUUCAUGCUGCCUUUGUUUUUAACAUUAAUUUUCGAAAAUCAGAUGUUUCUCUCUCCCCCUCUCUCUUUUGUGAGCCGUCGGCCGAAACUCUAAUUUCUUCUCUUUCAUCCACCAAAGAGGGAUGAUUUAGGGUCAAUUUUUGACCCUGAAUCACCCCUCUAAAUCGUUUUUCUCCUUCCCUUCUAUUUAAGUAAGUGAUUUUCACAUCGAAUUAGGUUUUCCUUUUGUGAUUUCGUCGUCUUAGUGCGACGUUGUUUGUCUUUUCCAUGGUUCAGGUGUUUGCUCGAUUCAGAUUGUCAGAUCAGUUUCGAUCCAGUGCAGAUCCAACCAAUAACUUUGGCGUCAUCAACGUUGCAGAUCCGGAGGCAUAGCUAUUCCGAAGAUUUUAAUAUAGUCAUAUUUGUAGGCUUAUGUACUUUGCCGUUUUAUGCUAUAUAUUAACAUGGAUGUUGUGAGUUUUUUCACAAAUUCAUCCUUUUUGUUUUUAGUGAAUUUGUAUUGCAUCGAUGUACUCUGUCAAUUUGAAUGAAUGAAUGUGUCCUUUGUUUUGUGUAAAAAAACAUUAAUUUUCGAGAAGAGUUGCGCAAGUUACGAAAUUGAGUGUCACGUCAAUAAAUGAUGUUCGGUUGAUGUAAAUUUUGGAGAAAAUCGGGGAGGAAGGCCACCAAAUUAAAGAAGAGAUGAAAACAUAAGAGUGUGUUUGUUUCAAGGAAAGAAAUUACAUUCCUUGGAAUGACAUUCAUGGGAACAAAUUUUCAAAAUUUGAAACAAGCACGGGAAUGUUGCAUUUCCAAUCUCACAUUCCCGGGAAUCAUAUUACAACCCUUGAAACAAACACACUAUAAGAUGCCGAAAUCGCUCAAGGAAGAAUGGAAGGUCAUGAAAUCGCACAAUCGUGAUACUUAAAGGUCAAAUAUGCAGUUAAACCUAUAAUUUUUCUCUCUAAAUUUAUUUAAUUGAUUAUAUUUUUAAGAAAAUAAUACUACAAAAUAAGUGUCAAGUGUUGCCUAAUUAAUGAAGAAUUUUGUAUCAAAAUAAAAAAUACUCGAUAAAGGAUUUGAUCUUUUGAACUAUACGUUGAUAAAAUAGUUGAUAGUUGGAUUUGGAAACAUGCUUCAGAAACUCAAACUACUUAGUUAAAUGAUUUGAUCAUAUUUUGACUCAAGAAGAGCCGGUCCAUGCACCUUUUACGUAGAUUAUUUAAAACAAUGCAAUGCCUCUUAAAGUGUCGUUUUUUGCGUGGAGAGUCUUCAAUAAGAAAAUUUCGAUAAAAGGCAAUUUGGGUCUUUGGUUAUGUAUAUGUUGUCCCAAUGCUUGACAAAACAUAUCCAAACAAUGUAAAACACUGUGAGCUUGCUCAAUAGAAACCUUCGCAAAAAGAAGAUUAUCAUCAACAAAAAGCAAAUGAGAGGUUUAAGGGAUAUGCAUUUUUUCUCUCUGUCACCAUGUCACCAUGUAAAACACUGUCACCAUGUCUAAUACCACUUAUGAGAACGAAAGUGUCAAUGUUCUCUCUGUUCGACAAUAUUUUGUAUGAGAGAGAAGAAAUACAAUGAUGAAUUACCUAAAUGAGCUUAGAAUGAAAUUGCACCCCUUUAAGCAUUUUUUCACAAAAUUCUAGUUUAGACGAUCAUAGGCUUUUUUCAGUUCAAUUUUAAUAGACAUAUACAGUGUGUUUGGUAGAGGUGAAAUUGCAGAGAGAGAGAGAGAUGCAAGCGAGAGAAAUAGGAUUGAGAUGCAGAAUCUUUUAGUGUACCAUCUCCCAACUACAAUGAUGUUAUGAUGGGUACUUCUUUCAAAAAUAAAAAUAAACUGAUAUGGAUAAACUAUCCCAUCAAAUAAAAGUUUAAUUCUAUUAACAUAAACUUUAGAAAUAACAUUAUACAAAACUUUGAGUCUAAAUUGAGAAAAAAUUAUUCAGGUUUAUCAAUUUUAUGUUUAUGUAUUAUACCAUACGCUAGUAAUACUAUCUUUUAUUAUGUUCACGCAUGUGUCUCAAGCAUAUGGGUAUAAUGUGUAAGCUAUGGGAAAAUGACUCAAGCAUGUGUCUCAAGCAUGGAAUAUAGUGUCAGUAGCAAAUAAAAAGGUUAUAAAGAACAAGAAACGAUCUAGACAUCAUACUAUCUUUUAUGUUCGUGUGGUUGGCUCUGAUUAAUCUAACAAGUAUGGGAUGCUUGACCUUGAUGCAAUAAUGUUUCUUUAAACACCGACGUAGUAGUAAUAAUAAUAAUAAUUUAAAAUAAUGUUUAUUUAUAAAAAAAGUAAUAAUAGUAUGUUUUUUUAUAACAAUGAGGGCCUAAGAUAAAAGAAGAAAGAGAUAACAACGAGAUUAUAGGUGGAGUAAAAUUCCCUAUCAAAUCAAAAAGCAACAAAGACUAAUAUUGUUAGGACGAACAUCAAAGGAACAGGUCCCUAAAUCCAUCGAACAAGCUAAAUUGUUUGCGCAUUGAUUUGCUUCAUGAUAAGAGUGAUAACAACAACUUCUCAAUCAAGUGAAAGGAAGCGAUGAAUCUUCUCAACUAGCUACCUCCUUCUCUAGCUAUCAUGCACAUGUGAAGUGAUAGCUUUUACAAUAACUAAGGAGUCAACAUGCAACUCAAUAAAUCAAAAUUGCAACCUUCUAACAUUACAUGACCCCUUCCAAUAAUGAUGUGUUGUUGCCUAUAAACAAUUUUCUACUUUGUAGAGCUUUAGUACGAUGUAAAAUGAGUCGAUGUUGUGAAAAAUAAGUAAGAAUUGACAUACAUAGUGAAAAUAAGCAAGAUUAUACAUUGUUUUGAUUUUUUUUUUUUAAGUUUUAAAUAAGCUUUACUACGUUAGUAUAUAAGACCAUCUUUAAAUGAGGAGUCUUGUUUUUAUUUUUUAUUUUUUUCCUUUUUAAAUUAAUGAGGAAUCUUAGAGUGUGUUUGGAUGGGGGAAUGUUUUAAGGGAAUGUAAUGUUUUGAAGGAAUUCAAAUACCUUGAGGUGAAUUUCAUUGUUUGGGUAAUAGUUUGAAGAAUUUUCAAAAUGAUGGAAAUUUAUGAAGUAUUUUGUUCAAGUUAAAUGUAGAGAAUUUCAAAUGACACCUAAAAGUUAAGAAUUUCAAAAAUCUUCAUUGUCAUAUUUUUUCAAAUUUUACAUUUUGGUCCUCAAACUUUCCAAAAUUUUCAAUUUGACCCCAAUAAAUUUAUAAAAAUUGCAAAUUGACCCCUCAAAUUUUCCAAAAAUUAUAAUUUGGCCCCUCAAAAAAUUUGAAAUUUACUAAUUGACCUCUAAUUUCAUUUUUCAAAUUUGGCCCAAAAAAAUUGAAAUUUAUAAAAGUUGCCCAAAAAUGAUGACAAUAAAUUUUUUUUAUUACUCCAUCCAAACAAUAAUAUUUAAGAAUGAAAGCAAUUUAAUUGAAUCAUUUGAAUUACCUAGAAUUCUAAAUUCUUCAAAAUUUCUCAAAUACUCCAUCCAAACACACUCUUAGAGAAUCUAUAAUGAAUAACUCUGAAAAUGAAUUUUUAAGUGUGAUUUAUGUGUACACAUUACACAUUUGUAAUUUUUAAAUAUCAAUUUCUGAUAACCAUUGAACCCUUCCAUUAACUUCAUCCAUAUUCUCCUAGCCAUUAUGUAUAAUUGGCCCUCUAACAAGUACUUGUUUGUACUGUAUUCCAAAAAAUGAUGUUGAUGAGAGACUUACUAAGUAAUGUUUGACAUAGUCGAGUAUUAUUAUAAAAUAUUGAUAAAGUCAAGGACAUUUAUAAGCGCGACUCGUAGAGUUAGAGACCAACUUGAUCAUUUAACUAGCCAUGUUAAAGCUAUUAAUAGUGUCAUCAAACAGUGUUGAUCAAAGGAAUUAACUUAAUAUAACGUUUGAUAAAGUUAGAGACUAUUUUAAAAUAGGAUUUUUCUAUCAUGUGAAAAUUUGCACAUAUUAAGAAGUUUAAAAUAGUAAAGUUGUAUCGGAACUUGUGUUUUUUAUAUUAACUAUAAAACUUUUUAAUAAAUAAUUGUUCUUUUUCAAUGUAAAGUUACUAUUUUUAGUUCCUUUAACAUAUGCAAUAUUGUACAUGUUAGACAAACCCUUUAAAAUAUUAAUAAAAUCAUAGGCUUCUUUUUUCUUUUUUUUUUUAGAGAUCCAAUCUAUGUCUACUUUAGUUGGAUAUCUUUAUCAAAAGUUAUUAGAUACCCAUGGCAAAAAAAAAAUUAUAAACAUUGUAAAAUGUUUACCCAUGAACAAUCACCACUAUUUGGAUAAAAAAAAAAAAAAAAACUUAAGUUUUACACAUCAUUUUUUGCUGAAACUUUUUCACUUUCUUAACUUUGGGGACCAAGGCUACGGUAGGUGACCUCCUUAGGUCUCCUACUAUAGAAGACUUGUUUUUUUUUUUUUUAAACGAGAUUUUUAAAAAAAAAAAUAGGAGGAAGUUUUUGAAUGGUUGGGAUUUCAGGUAAUGUGAUUCACUAGAAUUCUAUUUUUUAAAUAUAUAGAAUGAUUUAAAAAUUCAAUUGAUUUUGGAAUCACAUUUAACAAAGGGUGUUUUUGACAUUGUUGGAAAAAUUAUAUGACCCAACAUGCCAAUUUUUUUUCUUCUAAGGUCUAAAAACAAUAUUCAGUAUAUUUAUUGGGACUAAAAAUUUAUUCAACCUUUCUAUCUAUUGACCAUUGAACUAAUAACAUUUGGAUUGCAUGGAAUGAACACAAUGGUAAAUUAUUUACAAAUUUAGAAAAUACCAUUCCACAGUUAUUAGAAAAAGUAAAAUAUUUAUUGUUAUGGUGGCUUAAAGUUAAUAAGGUCAAUUUUGUUUAUGGCUCGUGGUUGAACCCGUUUAGGUGCUUGGAUAUCGACUCACCUUUUAGUGUAUUCAUGGAUUGACAGCUUGUAAUUAUUUUUGGUUUCAUUUAUGCUAAGGAGAUUACACUGUCAUUGUUAAUAUAAUUUUUUUUUUGUAUCAAUACAAUUUAUUUUUUAUUGUUAAAAAAACUAAUAAUAUUCAGUUAUUUAAAAAAAAAAACUCACAUAUCUAUAGUAAAAACCUUAAUAUAUUUUCAACUACCUCUCAUUAUAUAAAGUCAUUAUAUUAAUGUCUUACUGUUGAACGAGUUGGAAAAUAUUGAAUAUAUUGUCUAUAAACUCUAGGUGGAAAAAUAAUACUCCAUCCGUCCCAAAUUGUAUGUCGCUUUAGGGAAAAAAAAUUGUCCAAAAUUGUAUGUCGCUUUACAAUACCAAUACAACUUUAAUGUUAUUUUUCCUAUUAUAACCUUAACUAUUUAUUAGUCUCUUAUUUCAAUUCUUUCAUUUAUUUUUCCCAUAUUAUUUAUUAAGGACAAUUUUGUAAAACAACUCAUAAUAUAUAUUUUCCACACAAUAUUAAUUGCAUUUCUUGAUAUGUGUGAAAUGCCAAAAACGUCAUACAAUUUGGGACGGAGGGAGUAUUUUAUUUAAGAAGGAAAUUUCAAAAUUGACUCAAGAAUUAUUUAAGAGUUGUGUUAUUUGAACAUCCAUUUAUAUGACAACUUUUGAGACAACCAAUAUUUUACAAAGAAAAUGAGGUAUUGACACAAAAACAAAAACAAUAGAGAGAUAAAGUAAAAAAUUAAUGUAAACAUGAGAGAGAAAAUUGUCAUAAAAAUUAUCAAAAAAUGGUUGUUCAAAUAUUAUUUCUCAUGACUCCCGAAAAAAAAUGCAACACUGGUCACCAUUCUGCCAACCACCUACAAACACAUGUCAAUAUAGUUGUUAAAAAAUAAAAACCCUUUUAUAUGAUCUCCUACGGUAGGAGACCUAUACCCCUCUCCUACAGUAAACGCCACCAACUUUGGGAACCAAACUUAGCCUAAACGUACGCCACCAAAAAUUGCACAGUGACACAAUUAGGGGUGUACAAAACUCAGUUUAUUUUGUCUCCUAGGCUAUGGGUCAUGUCUGACUCUAACCAAUAAAAAGAUAAAAAUAAAAAGGAGUCCAAAGAAUUUGUCCUGGUGGCCGGAAGCAGGGGCGAAUGCUUGUACAGGAGAGGGGUAGCUAUGGCCACCCCAAAAAAAUAAAUUUUAUUGAGUUAGUAGGUAUAUUUUUAUGUUUAGCUACCCCUAAUAAUAUAUAUUUGGCUACCCCAAGUUCGAUUUUAGGUGCAAUAACUUUUUAUAACUUUGGUUACUUUCGGGUGGUCACCUCAUAAAAUUAUUGCUAGCUUCGCCGCUGGCCGGAAGGAUGGACCGAGUCUAGGUUGACAUGCGGAUCACCCAUUUUACCCAUUAGUUUGUGAGGACAUGAACUUUUUUAUUACUUGCAACUCGUCUCACCUUCUCUUCCCUACUCGAGUUACACAUUUGUCGAUAUAUCUUCACUUCCCUACUCGAGUUACACAUUUGCCGAUAUUUUCUUUUGUUUGUUUGACAAAACAUUUGCCGAUAUAUGUUGUUUCAUACGGUUUGACUCUAACCAAUAAUUAGAUUUAUGAGAAAUGAUAAUUUAACAAUCAAAAAGUUGUCCCACACCAUAUAUUGAUACGGUUUUAUGUACAAACUUAAUUUUUUACUAUUUCUUACAAUCUUGAAAUCUGUGCAUGCUUAGAAUUGCUUGAUGGAAUCUAUACGGUGGUGGAAGCAAGGUUGUAGAUUUUUGGUUGUUAAUAUAUCAUUGAUCUAGAUUUAUUGGAUGCGACUUACAUAGUUACAUUAUACAAUAUAUGUUAUAUUCUCGUAUCAUUGAAACUUUGAAAGUAGUUUAUAUUUCAAAAUAUUGGAGUUGCAUUGAACCUCAUGUAUAAGACUGGAGUAGUUUUGACAAAUAAAUUUGUAAAAAGAUUAUGUCAACAUUAUUAUAUUUGUAAAUAUGCUUUACUAUUUGGUGACUUGGGAGACUAACUCGGUCUAAUCCUGCAUGGAUCCGUAUCAAAUUUUAUCUGGUCAAUGAUCGAGUUCAAUUUAAUCUGGUAACUGACAUAAAGAAGAAUCUUGAGGUCUGAAUACGCGUAGCAUUAGCGUCAAGCAACAACUAACUUGAUAGCAUGUUUGGUGAUUUGAAACCUGUCUUGCACUUCUCACGUCAAGGACCACUUGAACUUUAUUUUACGGACAAUAUAUUGCACAUGUUUUCGGCUUUUGGGCCCAUGGGCUUAUUCUCAUCUCAUGCCUUCGGUUGAAAUUUGGGAUCUAACUCAUACUCAUAAAACCGGCUUAUAAGGUGAGGAUUACCUCCUCUUUAUAUACUCUUCUCAACUCACGCCCAGCACUCUUUGGGCUUGGUGCGUGAAUAGGUUUAGGCGGCCCUUGAAUUCGACAAGCUCUGAUACCAUGUUGAAAUUUUGGGCCUAACUCAUCCUUACAAAACCGGUUUGUAAGGUGAGGAUUACCUCCUCUUUAUAUACUCUUCUCAAGAGUCUUGUCUAUCUGAUGUGGGACUUGGGUUUUUCCCAAUACCUUCAUAAAGAAAAUUGUUCUUCUUUCUUUUAAAAUUGUUCAUUCUAUUAUUCGGUGGGAGUUAACUCACGCUCGAUAUUUUUUCAGCGGAAGUUAACUAACGCAAACACUUUUAAGAUCGGUUGAAUCGACUUAAAAAAUGAUUGAAUCGAUCUUAAAAAUGUUAAAGUGAGUUAACUUCCGUUAAAAAAUGUCGAGCGUAAGUUAACUUACGUUAAAUUAAGAUAAUGUACAAUUUUAAAAGUAAGAAGAAUAAUCUUCUCUCGUAAAUUGCACACAGAACAAAACUUCACCGCUCCUAUAUCCAUAUUCCAUCUUUUUCAUAUCUUUAUUUCUUAUGAAUAAUUCUAACACAAUCCUGAAAACAUACUCUAAACUUACUCUAUUUUAUUGGUUGGAUUCAUUUAGGUCUCAACAAAUUAUGUAGGUUCAUACAAAUUCUAACCAAUAAAAAAAAUUUAUUAGAAAGUACUAUGUUGUUAAUGAUCCUAAGCUUCUUUUUUUUUUCUUUUUGUAUUUUUGUUAUCAUCAUUGAGGAAUAGAUCAUGCUCCAAAACGUCUUGUGAAUAUAAAUCACUUGGUAGGAUAAUGCAUUAUUAUAUGCAGGGGCUGGAGUUCGAAUCCCGAACACCUCACUUAUUCAUCUUAUAAGAUGAAUUCUAACCACUAAACUACCUGACAAAAGAAAGAAAAAAAAAGAACAUGCUGCAAAACCCAAUUAAAUCCAACGGGUCAGUUUGACUCAUUCAAUUUAUCAAAAUGUUUAAUUGUUACUCCAAUGUGACACAUCUAUUUAAAACCUUGAGUGGCACCAGUUAUGAUUUCACUGUCUUUAGAUCCUACCUCCAGGUUCCAAUGGAAUUAAUACAAAAACGUUGAACCAUCCAUAGGAAGAGUAGGUGUAACGAUGGAUUGGGAUUAAUUAAAGAAAAUUCUAACCCGAAGAUGGGCUCAUCAUCUGUACGUACUGCCUAACUUGGUCACAAUUUCUCAAUUCUCUCUCUCUUUUGCGGUUGGAAUUCGUCUACAGUACUUACAUUGUUGAUAUAAUUUUUUAAUCUCAGUUCCUAUGAAGUAGGAACACUCUUUAGAUUAGAUGUAUUUCGUUGUCGUUGCGGCGUCAGUAUCCAACAGUAACAGAACAUAAUGUCGUUGUCGUCGCGGCAUAAUUUCGUUGUCGUUGCGGCAUCAGUGUCCAACACUGACAGGACAUAACAUCUAAAAUUACACCGAAUGAUGUCCUUCUCUCAAGUUAUUAUUCAUGUAUGCGUGUGUCUAUGUCUGUAUCGUGUCUGAUAUCUUUGUUAGCAUCCAUACUUUGAUUGCACCGUUGUAAAUGGGUCAAAUUGUACGAUUUAUUCGUACAAAUGAUCAACAUUACUUAAAUUAGGUUAUCUCUUUUAGUGAACAAAGUAAUUGAAGUUGCCCUACAAGAUCUGAAACCUGUAGCUAGCAUUUGUAUUGUUCAUUAAUGCAAAUCCAUCAUGUUAAAUUUCUCUGCAAAAAUCUCGAGAAUGGGACCCACCAUCCUCACGCUACUCUGUCAGUCACAAUGCAUGAGCAAUGAACUCCCUUGGAAUUGCUUUCAUAACCGACACACACCAUCAAUAGUAAACCCUUCAUUUCUUUUGUUAGAUUGAACUCUGAGAACUGAGAUCACAAGAGUCAAUGCAGGUGUUAAGACUCAACCAGUGUUAACUAUUCAUCCAUUAAGGAGAUCUCCGAUUUUAUAGAUGAGUUAACUUUUUAUUAACACAGCUCCGGAAACUUUUCAACAAAUAAUACUACAAAAGUCCAAAAACUAAUCCCAAAGUUCCCAAAACAUCUGUACUGUACUGUCAUUUUUCCAAAAGUUUUCUCAUCACUUCUGCUUCCAAACACACUCACGAAUGGCAACCUUUGUGGCUCUUCUUCUUCUACAAGUUCUACUUUUCACACCCCCUUAUGCUAAUUCUCAAAAAAUGAACCCCUUAGAUCUCAAAGCUCUUCUUUCCAUAAAAAACACUCUCACCUCAAUCUCACCCACAAACUCCUUCUUCUCAACAUGGAACUUCACCUCCCCAAAUCCCUGCACCACUUUCUCCGGCAUCACCUGCACCUUCAACCGAGUCACCAUUCUCUCACUCGGUAUCGACAGACACCCCCUCGCCGGCUCACUCCCCUCCUCCAUCUCCUCCCUCACCGAGUUAACCCAGCUCAUACUCUCCCCCGGAAUCGUAACUGGUUCCAUCCCACCUCAGCUCGCUCAACUCACCAACCUCCGUGUCAUCUCCCUCCCCAACAACCGCUUCACCGGCACCAUUCCCGCCACAUUCUCCUCUCUCACAAAUCUCCACACACUCGAUCUCAGUCACAACCAACUCGCCGGAACAAUCCCACCGUCGCUCACCGCGUUACCACAACUCCGAAUAUUAAUCCUCGCUUCGAACUCCCUCACCGGAACGUUACCGGAAAACGUUUUUUCACCGCUACUUCAUUUGGAUUUGAAAAACAACGUACUAACAGGAACGUUACCAACGUCAUUUCCGUUAUCUCUACGUUAUCUUUCGUUAUCACAGAAUCAAAUGUGGGGUCCACUUACCAACGGAACACUAGAGUCGCUUUCAGAUUUGGAGUUUCUUGACCUGAGCAUGAAUCAAUUUACUGGGCCUAUUCCAGCCCAGCUCUUCUUCAGGCCCAUGCUUUCUUCACUCUUCUUACAACGAAAUUAUCUUUCUGGUGGGCUUCCAUUAAAGCCUGAAGAUGGAGAACCGUUGGUUGGAUCAAACGGUCAAGGUUCGAUAGUUGAUCUAAGUCAUAACUUAAUCAGCGGAGAAUUAUCAACGGUGUUAGAUGGAGUUGAGAGUUUAUUUUUGAAUAAUAACCGUUUGAUGGGAAAGGUGCCUGAAGAGUAUGUCAAGAGCGUGUGUCGCGGUAGCACUCGAACACUCUAUCUUCAGCAUAACUACUUCACGGGGAUACCGUUGAAUGAAGGAAUCGUGCUGCCUGAUACGGUGUCCUUGUGCUUGUCGUAUAACUGCAUGGAACCUCCGGCGAAGCAAAUGACUUGUCCGGCGAAUGCCGGAGAAGAAUUGUCGAGGCCGGCAGCACAGUGCUCUGUGUUUAACAAUGAUGACAGUGGUUAAUUGGAUUAGACUUAGGCAAUUAAUAUGAAGGUUUGAGUAUAGCUUAAUUUUCAAUUUUUAUUUUAUUUUUACCAUUGAUAGUGUAAUAAGAUGUAUUUUAGUGUAGAGAAACGUUAUGUGAUCAAAUGUAUUAUUAAUAUUGUGAUGAAAUGAAAUGAAGCACUUCAAUUAUGUGUUAAUCUUGCUACUGUCGCAUUACAUUUCUAGACUUUUGUGUAAAAAUACGUAUAUCAUCAUAAUCAUAUUGAUUACAUAAUAUAGCAAGCAAUACAUAACGUAAAUAAAUGCAGCAACCACUUGAGGAAGGUCCUAUUCAAUCUGCUUCUUCUAUUUUGAUUCUGGUCUACCCUAAAUUUUAGUGUCAUUUAACUUUCUUCCUAUCUUUUCAGCAAAUUAUGGAUGCACUCUGUCUUGGACCUGACAAUCACAAAAGUUAUGUGUUAGCUCUACAAAUUUAGCUGAGGUUCUUUCUAUUCAUGUAAAUAGUGUUUUAAGUGCAUAUUUGAAUUUGCGGUGAGGUUGACAGAAUCACAAUGAGCAACCGGACCGUAAUUUUGCAAAAGCUAUAGAGUGUGGCUUUUACAAAAUUACUUUGCCUCACUAUGUAAUUUUGUCAAACCCACCGCCGUGAUAUCAAACAUAUAUAAAACAUCAUAGAACAAAAAAAAACUUAAAUGUGAUAAAGAAAAUAAGGUUUUAGUAAAAGUAUUGACAAAGAAAGAGCUCAAUUUUCACUUACCUCAGUUGGAAAAUCCCACAACCACAAACACAUUAUUAAGGAACCGAAAAUAAGUGUGCCUCCAAGCGCUGUUGAGGAAUAGAGGACCACAAAUACACCAGAAACCCACUGCAAAUCCAACACCCAACCCAAAGUAGAGUGAUUGUGUAAAAGAAUUCUCAUCAUUAUCAAUAUCAUUGUGUCCUCCAUGUAGGUAUGACCCAUGAUCACAUAUUGGUAGAGGAGCUCCACAAAGUCCAGGAUUCCCAACAUAGUAGGAAGCAUCAAAACUUUGAAGUUGAGUCCCAACUGGGAUUUGCCCAACAAGGUAAUUGUUUGACAGAUUCAAGAAACUCAAGAAGGACAAAGUUGAUGUGGUAACAGGAAUUCCUCCAACAAGUUUAUUGUCGGAUAGAUCAAGAGAUUCCAAGUUUUUCAUGUCUCCGAUGUCUCUUGGUAUCUUUCCUGUGAAAUGAUUUCGAGACAAGUUCAAUGACUUGAGUUGAACUAGAUUGAAAACUUGUGAGGGGAUUUCACCUGAUAAGUUGUUAGCUGAAAGGUCAAGAGUUCUCAACAGUCCAUAGUCAUAAUACUCUAAGUCUCGCCCUUUUGUAUACAAUUUGAACUCAAAUGGAUAAUGACUCGUUUUCUUUGCUCCACCCAUGCCAGUGAUGUUACUUAUGCAUUUGGGAAUAGACCCUGAAAGUUUAUUGUGGGAAAGAUCCAAUUGUAUCAGUGAUGAGAAAUUGCACAGUUGUGGUGGAAUGUUACCUUCAAACUGGUUUGAUCUCAAUAUCAUCACCUCCAUACUACGUGGCAUCUUCACUGGUACGGUUCCAGAGAAAUUGUUUUCUCCAAUAUUAAUGAAUUGCAAAUUUGUUAUGUUAGAUAGGUCCAAUGAAAAAUUACCAGACAAGCUGUUGUUAUGCAAAUCCAGUAUUAUGAGAUCGAUAAACAAGUCCAUGGAUGGAGGAACUUCACCAGUUAGCAUAUUACUUUCCAUGAAAAGGAAAGAUAAGCCUUUCCAAUACUCCCAACAAUCAGGAAUUUCUCCGGUUAAAAGAUUGAAUGAAAUGUCCAAAUAAUCCAAACUAUUUUCCCUACCUAAUCUGUGGCAGAACAUAGGGGAAAUGGUUCCAAAGAAAGAAUUGUGUGACAAAUCCAAAUAGAUGACAUUUGCUGAUAUAUGUGGGAGCCCUCCUCUGAAAUUAUUGUGGUCCAUAAAUAGAAGUUCCGAGUUUAGCGUGACAUUUGAUAAGUCUGCACUCAUGCUGUUGUUAGACAAGUUAAGGUGUGUAAUAUUAGUUACAAAUCUCCAAAAUAUGUCUCCAUCUAUGGAUGAAACUCUAGAGUUAGGAAUCUCAAGAUAUUCUAGUGACCUUUGUGUAUAUAUCCAUGUUGGAAACUUAGGACCUAGAAUUGUAUUGCUUAAACUUAUCCCGUUCAAUUGAAAUGGAGGAAUCCAUUUAGAAUCCAUAUCAAAUGAAAUCGGUGCACUCAAGACCAAUGUUUCUAAACUAGAGAGAUUGGAAAAAUGUAUUUCAGAUAGAACACCUGACAAGGAACUUCCUCCAAUGACCAAACUCUUCAAAUUAAAGAGUUUUCCAAUGCUGGUUGGAAUAUUACCGGUCAGAAAAUCGGAGCUAACACUUAAGUCAACCAAGGAAGAGAGUUUUCCAAGAGAUGAAGGGAUAGAACCGCGAAACAUGUUCUCAGCUAGACCAAGGUAUUUUAAAUUUUCAUGUUGCCCUAACCAAUCAGGAAUAGAUUCAUUUAGUUCAUUGUUACUCAACCUUAAAGUUUCAAGUUUUCGAAGACUUAACAAGCUCUUUGGUAUUUGUCCUUUUAAAAAAUUGAAGCUAAGGUCAAUAUGGGAGAUAUUCAUAUCGUUGCCGUGUUCAAACAACCAAGCAGGUAAUUCAGAAUCGAAAUGGUUUGCUGAGAGAUCAAGAGUUGCAAGUGAAUUAGUAAAACUCACAUGCUUAACGGAUGCAAAGAUAUCGGUCAAAUGACAACUUGAUAAUCUCAGUUCUAACAAUGAUACAUGCAACAUAUCUAUGGACUGAAGCCAGUUUGUUUGGUUUUGAAGAUUAAUUUGACUAAGGUUUAGAGAUUUGAGUGAAGAAAAUUUGGAAAGCCAAUGAAGAUUAUCCAAGUGAAGAUCAUCGUUAAAGGAUAAGUCUAGGUACUGAAUAUUAGACAAAUUAUUAUUAUUAUGAUCAUUUGAUUGGUUGAAACUACUUAGAGUUGUAAAGCCAUUCAAGCUUAAGUCUAAGUAGGUCAAAAAUUCAAUUUGAAACAAAGACUGCAAGUUGAUUUCACCUUCCAAGUAUUGUUGGUGUAGAUCAAGUGUUGUAACUCUACCUGUGAUGUUGUCACAUUGAACUCCUUUCCAUGAACAACAAUUUUUUUCAUUAAUGGACCAAGAGGAAAGCUUGUUGGAGGAAUGAUUCUCCACACCAAGUUUGAAGAGCAGCAAUGCAGAACGAUCCUUCUCAUUGCAGUUACUAAUCCCAAGUUGUGUAUUGCUACUAUUGCACCUUUCAAAUAUUGUUGUAGAUAGCAAUAAUAGCAGUAGCCAAACAAUGGGAAUCUGUGAAGUGAAGCCUAACAUGGUUGAUAUUAUUUAGUUUGAAGUGUUACAAAUUUGUGUGGGUGGUGGUGAUGGGUUUUAAAGGGUUAAGUUUGUUGGUGGUGUUUCACUAUCACAACUCUAUCUAUUUCCUAUUUCCACAACCAUGUGGACGUAGCACUACUUAAAAAUAAGAAAUAUUCAACAUUGGUUCGUGCGUUGAUUAUUCUCCAAUAAAAAGAUAGGUCAAUUCAUUGGGAGGGGAUUGUCUCCUAUGAAAGUUUCAUCCAAUGAAAUCUCCUCCACUCAUUUUUAUUUUUUUGCAAUAUGUAAUUUAAAUUAUUUAAAAAAAAAAUUAAGGGUAGGGAUCAGCGUCAGUGAAUUUCAAAUGGGAGAGGAUUCGUGCCUCAAUUCAUUUGGGUAAAAGAGAUUGAGUAACAGCUAACUUUUAAAAAUAAGAGGGUUAAUUUUUUGUCCAAAAUCACCUAGAUCACUUUUUCCUAUUCUUUUGUUUGAAUAACUUAUUUUCACGUGUAUUUACUUUUAUUUUGUCAUCUUAAUUAAUGUUCAUUUGAUUUGUUUGCCGUCUUGGUGCAAUAUUGUUUUGUUUUUCCUUCUCGUUGCCGUGUUUGUUCGGUUCAGAACAAUAUAUAUAUAUAUAUAUAGAGGAGGGAUAUUUUGACUCCAAGAGUAAGUCUCUAAACUUACUCCAAAUCUUUGCCCUUAAUUCUUUUUAAUCUAACGGUUUUAAAAUUUAUUUAACAUGAACCCCUUUUCGGUUUUCUUCCACUAAACACAGUAUUUCAAUUCUUGAAUUUGUUUCAACUUUUUAUCACAAAACAAUUUUCAGAUCUUUUUAUCGCACAGUAUAUGCAUGACUAAUUCAAAUUAUUAAUUCAAUUGCCAACAAUAAUUAUCCACAAGCAUCUCACCUCUUCAAUUGGUACAUAUGGAUAGCCUAAGAAUUUUGUGUUCAUCCAAAGAGAAGAAGAAUGAAUCUAAAUGAAAAUUGACGAAAUAAAUACGUUUUGGGAUUUAUCCAAGUUUAAAAAACCACUCUUAAAGAAUAAAAAAUGGAGACAGUAUACAUAUGACUAUGAUUUGAAAUCAAAUUUUCAAAUCAUGAAACGGAGAAGGUUUAUAUCUAUGAUGAUGAUCAUGAGUUUAAUGUUGUCUGCCGUUUUGUCAUGACAAGCUUUUGCAGCGUUAAGCGUUUUGCCGUUUUCCAGUGCAGAAAAGAAUUAAACCUCACCCUAACAAUUACUAUUAUUCAAUCCUAACCAUUAAUUGAUAUUGAGAUUAAGGAUCAAGAUUUGGAGUAAGUUUAGAGACUUACUCUUGAAGUCAAAAUAUCUCUCCUCAUAUAUAUAUAUAUAUAUAUAUAUAUAUAUAUAUAUAUAUAUAUAUAUAUAUAUUAACUUUGUUUCAAUGCAACUUCAAUCAAUGAUUUUAAUGUCUUAAAUAUUACAAAUCUGAAUACAUGAGUAUUUCAGACAAUUUAAGUUCUUCAUAAUUGUAGACAUUUUACUAUUGUAUGUUAAUAGUAUAUAUGUUGUGAGUUUUUCGCGAAUUCAAUCCGUAUUUUAACGAUUUAGAAUUUGUGUUGUUUGAUGUAUUUCUAUUAAAAAAUUAAUAUAAAUUGAACUUAAAUUUUGUUAACAAUAUUCGGCUAAUAAUAUGGCAAAUCCCAUAACUGUUUACAAAUUGAACCGUGUACCACUAGUAUUCAUAAAAAAACAGCAGCAUUAAGCUAAAAAUAUGGAAAAUCCAAUUAUCACCCCAACCAUAAUUCUUGCAAAGUAACCCAUGUUUUGUAGCUCCAGCUGGCGGACCCUGGCAAAUGAUUACCGUUGGAGUUGCUCUAACAAAUUUUAAGUUUGGAUAUCACACCUAAUAAAUGUAUUUUAAAUUAAGAGUCUGCUUAUUUUAACUUUUUAAAAAAGAAAUUUAAAAGUGUAUCAUUUUUUUCUAUAAUUUUUUUAACAAAGAAUAUGUAAAGAAAGCUUUUAAUGAGAAAAUGGUUUAAGUUUAACCAACUUGUCGUAAAAAGUCCAUUGAAGUAUUUAAUAGUUUUCCAAUGACUUUUUCUAACUUUGAAAGUUGCUUGACUCCUUUGAUUCGCUGUGCAAGUGACAUAAUGUCGAUAUGUCUAUCAAAGAGUUCAUUUCUACACUUACUACUUUACUAGUACCCCUAACUUAGAAGACACGUUUUAUUAUAGUUGGGCACCCCCGUUACAAAAUUUCUAUGAAGUAUGAAGGCAGAUCUUGUCCAUGCAAAGUGAAAACAUUGUCAUUGAAUCAACUCCUUAUUCCACGUUGACUGCUUCAAUUCCUUUCGAAGUUGGGUGAAAUAUUACAUCAUCUUGCCUUGUUAGAAACAUUUAUGUUGAAGAGAAUUUUUCUCUCAUCCUACUAACUUCUCACACGUUUUUUAAUUGAUCAUUUUCGGAUUAUAAUCAGAACCGUGUUUAAUAAGCUUUUUCAUUAUAAUAACAAAAAUUAUUAAAUGAAAUAAAUAAAAAUGAUAAAACUUAAAAACAAAUAAUAUAAAUGGACAGAAUUCAACACAUUUUUUUACCAAUAAUUCAUAAUAUAUUACAGAAGAAGGUUUAACUCACGAUUUUCACACAUGGCAGCAUCCGUAAUCUGGUACAUAAUAUCAAUAUGGACCGUCCCUUCAAAAAAAAAAAAAUCAAUAUGGACCGAUUUGUUAUCCCAUAAUUCCAAUAAUAAUAAUAAUAGCAACCAAUUAAACCCAAUAAUUAGUGGGACGAAUAAAUUAGUAACAAAUGGGACAAAUUAAACCAGCCAAUGGAAGAAAUGUCGACGUUCCAGAUUUAUGGGCUUGGUUUCGUUUGAAAGAAAGUCGUAGACUUCCAAUUUUAGAGGCAAGUAGGAGAAAGAAGCAUAUCAACAAGUUGAAUAUAAACCAUAAAGUUAACAACCUUAGCUCAAGGGGAGUUGAGUGCAUUUUCUAAACUGGACGGGGUGUGAGUGUCUUUUAAUGAAACUUUAGGAGAGAUUUGUGUAAUUUUCCCGAUUAAUAAUGGAGAUUUAACCUCACAAAUAUUAAGUUGAGAAGACAUCUGUCAUAAUUUCUAAAAAGCACAUAAAUUGAGGGGGCCUAAAAAGAAAUGUUCAAAUUACAAAGGCUCUUUUCUUGGGCCGCUUGGCCCAUAUGAAAUCAACCCAAACCCAAUCCAAAUCCCAUUUCAGAUUCUCACUUUCUUCCUUCUUGUUCUAUCUCACCCAAAGCUACAAAAUCAUCAUUCGCUUUGCGUUGAGUUCAAUUUCGAUCGAUCUAUCUAUCUCUCUGCUCCUUCUAUCCAUUUCUAUUCAUUGCCAAAACCCUACGGUAAAUCUCUCUCUCUCAAAUUACUCAUGUAGCUAUGAUAGAGAUUAAACGACGCCAUACCUGGAUCUCUCUUUUUUUUUUUCUUUUUUUUUUUUUCUUGCUAAUUUUUGUUUUACUUACAUUUUUUUGUUCUUACUUUACUGAUGUGAUUAAUACACCGUAAUUUGGUUUACCUAGUGUUUAAUUUUUUUCCUUAGCUGAUUUGUUUUGUUUUGUUCUUAUUUCAUUUAUGCUUCAUGAUUAAUGGAUCUGAUUUAAAACCUUUGGUUUUGUACUUUGAUGGUUUUGUUUGCAUGCAAUUAGUCAAAUUAGUUCAUGAAAUUGCAAUGUCCUUCGUAUUAGACUUUUAGAAAAGAAAAUUAUGAUAAAGGUUUUUGGAUUUAGUUUUUGAAUGUGCAUUUAAUGGUUGAGUUAGUGCCUGCGGUAUCGACAAAAUUAGACUUUAAACUUAGAUUUGGUUGUUAGGAAAUAAUGUUAAUGAUUCCGUAUAUUGUCAUUAAAACCGGUGCUGUCAGUUUGUUUGAACCUGUUUGACCGUGAACUGAGAUCCGGUCUUAGUUUGGUCACAUGUUUGAAUUUUUUAUGUUAUCACGUCAUACCCUGUGGUUAAACCCAAACCAGAUAGAACUGGCUCCAAAGAUCCCGCUGAGUGAAAAUAUGAACAUUCUGUGGUUUUGUCUUGCGGAGCUCCUUGUACAAAAGUUCAUCCGUAGUCAAACAAUGUAACACACAAAAGCCUAGUUGUACACAUACUUAGGAGAAGGAGAAAGUUUGUUGUGGGAAGGAGAUGCAGAAGGAAAAAAAAGAUAUGGAGAAAGACAUUGUGGUAUGUUUGAUGUGUGUGGCGGCUAUUGUAUGCAGAAGACGACAAAGAUAUUUUGCGGUUAUGUUUAUGUGGGCUUUUUGUACUUGACCACUUUACUACACUUUAAUUUCGAGAAUAUAUUCACUUGGCCACUUCACUACACUUUAAUUUUGAUAAUAUAUUCUAUACUGAGUCAUGUUUCACCAAAAUAAAUAUAUACCGAGUCUUGCAAUUUAACUAGUAAGCCGCCGGUUUGACCAAUGACCCAUUUACGCAGUAUCCUAACCAAAAGUAGACGGCAUCUCCGAGUUUAAGACCAUUGAUCCGUAUUUUUAGAUUCUAAUUUCAUGAUUUGUUUAUUUUAAUAAAAUCAUCUUUAGCAUUUAUUGUCGACUUUUACUCUUAUGGAGAUUUGUUAUUGAAUUUGUUGCUGUUCGUGUUAUAUGCAUGUGUGUUGUUUCUUUCGUUAGACAGUCGUAUUAAUCCUUAAAACUCUAAACCCUACAACAUUGUUCAUAUCGGUUCACGAAUAACACGAAAUAUGCUAAAUUUCCCUGAAUGAAAUUUUGUCUGUGUAUUAAGUUUUCAUGAUAUCAAAUGUGAAGACUAACUUGACUGAAAUAAUAUACAAUAAGGGACUUUGUGGACUAAUAUGACCAACAGGCAACAGUAUAUAUAUUUCAAGGGCUAAUUUGAUUAUUUACUCAUCUUAGUUUAAUAUUGUUUAAAAACUGCUAUGGCAUCUGAUGUUAAUAUUUUUGCUCCUAUCUAGAUUUGAUAUCACUGUUGGAAUUAGCUUUGAUUCACGGAAAACUUCUCAGCAUCUGCAGUUGUCUUGCGUUCAAGGAAAUGGAGUUACCAACUCUGAGAAAACCUUUCAUCUACUGGGUUUUCUUUUCUUUCACUGUGUUUGCUCAAGUUAGCAAUGGGUUUUAUCUUCCGGGAAGCUACAUGCACACUUAUUCCAAUGGAGAAUAUAUUAAUGCCAAAGUCAAUUCGUUGACAUCUAUUGAAACCGAGCUUCCCUUCAGUUACUACAGCCUCCCUUACUGCCAACCCCCUGGUGGAAUAAAGAAAAGUGCUGAGAAUCUUGGAGAACUUCUUAUGGGUGAUCAGAUUGAUAAUUCACCCUACCGAUUUCGAAUGAAUAAAAAUGAGACUCUCUACCUCUGUACAACAGCACCAUUAAAUGAGCACGAGGUAAAGCUACUCAAACAAAGAACUCGUGAUCUGUAUCAAGUGAAUAUGAUCCUUGACAACUUGCCAGUUAUGAGGUAUACUAGCCAAAAUGGGGUUAAAAUCCAGUGGACGGGGUACCCUGUUGGGUACACUCCAUCUGAUGGCGGUGCAGAUUACAUCAUUAACCACCUGAAAUUCACUGUAUUGGUUCAUGAAUAUGAAGGUAGAGGGGUCGAAAUUAUUGGGACUGGGGAGGAAGGUUUGGGCAUUAUUUCUGAAGCUGACAAGAAGAAGGCAUCUGGGUAUGAAAUAGUUGGUUUUCAUGUUGUCCCAUGUAGUAUUAAAUAUGACCCCGAAGCCAUGGCAAAGCACAAAAUGUAUGAUAGUAUCUCUUCUGUAAGCUGCCCAAAUGAGCUCGACAAAUACCAGGUAAUAAAAGAGCAAGAGAGGAUAUCAUUCACAUAUGAUGUUGAAUUUGUGAAAAGUGAUAUAAGAUGGCCAUCACGUUGGGAUGCUUAUUUGAAGAUGGAGGGUUCUCGAGUUCAUUGGUUCUCAAUCCUAAAUUCACUGAUGGUUAUUAUUUUCCUUGCUGGCAUUGUUUUUGUCAUUUUCUUAAGAACUGUAAGAAGGGAUUUGACAAGGUAUGAGGAAUUGGACAAAGAGGCACAAGCUCAGAUGAACGAGGAGCUUUCUGGGUGGAAACUUGUUGUAGGUGAUGUAUUUAGGGAGCCUGAAUGCUCAAAGCUUCUGUGUGUAAUGGUUGGAGAUGGGGUUCAAAUUCUUGGAAUGGCAGGUGUUACUAUUGUUUUUGCAGCACUUGGUUUCAUGUCUCCAGCAUCCCGAGGGAUGCUACUAACUGGGAUGAUCAUUUUAUAUCUUAUCCUUGGAAUUGCCGCUGGCUAUGUCAGCGUACGUCUAUGGAGGAUCAUUAAGGGAACAUCAGAAGGGUGGAGAUCAGUUUCUUGGUCUGCUGCAUGUUUUUUUCCUGGCAUUGCUUUUGUUAUCCUUACAGUACUCAAUUUUAUUCUAUGGAACAGCAACAGUACUGGUGCUAUACCUAUUUCCUUGUAUUUUGAGCUGUUCUUCCUCUGGUUCUGUAUUUCAGUACCUCUGACCCUCAUUGGCGGAUUUAUGGGGACAAAAGGAGAGCCAAUCGAAUAUCCUGUAAGGACCAAUCAGAUUCCAAGGGAAAUUCCUGCAAGGAAAUAUCCAUCUUGGCUUCUUGUUCUUGGUGCUGGAACUCUUCCAUUUGGAACCCUCUUCAUUGAGCUUUUCUUUAUCCUCUCUAGCAUCUGGCUCGGGAGGUUCUAUUACGUGUUUGGUUUCCUGUUGGUUGUUCUUCUAUUGCUGAUUGUUGUUUGUGCCGAGGUGUCGGUGGUGCUUACAUAUAUGCAUCUGUGUGUGGAAGAUUGGCGGUGGUGGUGGAAGGCAUUCUAUGCUUCCGGUUCUGUUGCUCUUUAUGUAUUCUUGUACUCCAUUAACUACUUGGUUUUCGACCUGCAGAGUUUGAGUGGACCUGUGUCAGCUACCCUUUACCUUGGCUAUUCACUACUCAUGGCAAUUGCAAUCAUGUUGUCAACUGGCACCAUUGGCUUCCUUAUGUCAUUCUACUUUGUGCACUACUUGUUCUCAUCAGUGAAGAUAGACUGAGGUUCUGGCUGUAUCUCUUAUUACCCAUGUAAAAGAUCAAUCAAUUGAUAUAACUUCUACCGAGUUCUUUUUGUAGCUUGAUUGCAUUGCAGAAUAGGGUGGAGGCUGAUGCUUUAGUGAUUGCCUUAAACAAUCAUCAAUCAAUUUUAUAAUGCAAUGCGGUCUGCAGUUCGUCUCUGAACAUAGUCAUUCAAGGACUAGUGUUUGAGCUCAUCAUGUUUCAAGUACUCUAGUUUAUCUAAGUUUCUUUAGGAAGUUGUAAUUUAGUCUGUGUUACAUUUCGUUUCAAUAUAUAGAAAAUUGUUAGAUGGAUAAUCAGCUUUCAAUGUGAUGUUCAUUAUGUUUGUGGGUGUUUUUAUAUCUUCUAUUCGUUCAAGGAUAGGGAGGAAGACCAAGUAUUAUACUUAUGAUGAUUUAUUCUUAUUUUAUCUAUACCUAUUGUCCACAAGCCACAAUUUUGGCUUGUAUUGUACUUAUAAUAUUAUUUUUUUUGCGAAAUUAUUUUAUAACUUGAUGCUUGUAGAUUUUAGUUGAUAAUACUCUAGAUAUGGAAAAAUGAAAAUAUUGAAUAGGAGCCUUGGCACAAUAUUUGGAUGCCUCUGUGAGGUCACACUCACGGGUUAAUGUAAGGGUACCUACUACAAUAGAUUCACAUUUCCCUUGAUCCCUACUGUGGUGGAGCUCUGUAUGUUGCACUUUAUAUGGGAAAAUAUUAAAUUCUAGAAGAAUAUAGUUAGUAUUCCUAUGGCACUCUGUUUUACAUCUUGUGUGUGUGUGUGUGUGUUUUAAUAGCAUAAUCUAUUUAAUGCAUAUAUGUGAGUUUGUGUUUUCUUUAGUUUUCACUUUUCAUAUAAUUAGUUGCAUUAGUGAUGCAGUUUUUAAUAUCAAGCUGCAGAUAUUGUUAACGAUUAAUUGAUUAUGCUGAAGGAUUUCUCAAGCAAUUUAGCAAACGUUUGUCUAUAUCAGAUACAUCUGUCAAAAUUGAGUUUACCUUGUGUCCCUCCCAAAGGCUACACUCAGUGGUAGAGCAAUUUGUUUUUUUUUUUUUUGUGACAUUUUUAUGUGUAUUAGAAUGUGUGUCGUUAACAUUUCUUAGAAAUGUUUAAUGAUGUAAACAGACAAUUAUGGUAUGACACAGGAUCAGUUUCUUCCGAACCUCAAUAGUCAAUACUUUGUUGUCACAGUAAACUUUUAUAAACUUAAGUUUAUAAAAUAAAGUUGAAUCAAAUUGACGUUUGCGAAUUUUAAACCCAAACAUGCACUAAAAAUUUCUGAUAAGAGCAUAUAUAUGUUUCCAACGCCAAACCUCUAUUUACGAAAAAGAUAAAACAAAGACAACCAAAAGUUUGUUAUGACCUCAUGUUAUUCCGAAAAUAAAUGAUAUUUGUACCACUUUUUGACAACUUUUGAAACAACAUUCUCUCUCAUAUUCACAUAUAUUUUUAUUCUCUCUUCUUCUUUCUUUCUCCGUUGUUUUUGUCCAAUAACAAGAGCAGAAAAGUGAUGAUCACCAAAAUUAUCUAAUAUUAGUUGUACAAAUAUCAUUCCUCUAUUCUGAAAGAUCCAAUGUUACCAAAAAUGUAUCCUAAUUCUUGGUAGGAAGUUAAGGUUAUGAAAACAACAAUAAUUUAUAUAGAAAAAUACACAUGAUAGGAAUUAUUAUUUGACCGUACAUACAAUACAAUAGAAAUGUUAAGAAUACUCUUCUUAAUAUUCUUUAUUUUUGACACAAUUAAUACUCUUUAUUUAUAAUUGAUUCAUCAUGAAAUGUCAAUAUAUUUUUUUAAAUAUGACUUUGUAGGGUAAUAAUAUCAAUCUUUUUUUUUUUGACCAAAUAAUAUCAAUCUUUUAAAAAUAAGAUUUAUGUGCAUUGAAAUGAGAUAUGCAUGUUCAUUGUUUUGUAAAGGCAGAAUUUCAACGAUCCUCCUUCACCCAUCCGGGUUUUGUAAUCUAAUAAUCUAUAUAAUUUAAGGAAGACAAAAAAGAACGGUCCAAAUUGCAAAUCAUAAACCAAACAUACCUCUACUCUCUAGCGGACAAAUAUUGCUUUGAUACUUUCACGUGAUCCCAUUGCAAUUUGCAGAACCCUUUCCUCUAGCCUUAAAGAAUAUCCACUUAAUUAGUAGUAUAUCUUUCGUGUCACUUUCUCCCAGCGAAAGUUGUUUUUCUACAGAUGAUAAAUUAAAUAAUACACAAGUCUUUACAAUUUUAAACACAAAAAAAGAUUCAUUUUUCUGCAAGGGGGAAGUGACAGGAAAAAUAUUGCAGAAGAUUUAGCCAUAGUCGAUAUCUUAUAGCUUUUAUUUUAUUUUAUUAUUGGUCUAGUAGAUAAUACAAUACUCAAAUAAACAUAAAAAGGGGAGUGUGGUGAAUCGAGAUUGAACCUGAAAUCCUACGUAAAAUAUCAUCACAUUCAAAUAACUAGGUUGAAACUAUGCUAAAAUAUAAGUAUUGAACAUAACAAUAUAAUAUUAGGUAAAACAACACAAAAUAAAUUUUUAUAGUAUCGAACAAUUUUUGUUGUUUUAUACAAUAUUUCCUCCGUCUUAUAAUAUAAGUAAAAAAAAAUUCAUUUUCUUUGUCCCGAAAUAUAAGCAAAAAAGACAAACUUUUAUCCUAUUUAAUCUUGUUUUUCUAAAAAAAUCUCUUUUUCAAGAAUUAUUUUGUUUAUUCUCAUAAAAUUAAAUGCAAAUUACAUUCAAUUUUAUCGCUCUUUUUCAUUUUUUCUAUAACCAAUAGCCAAUGAAAAUUGUGUUUACAUCUUCCUAUAAAACUUUUUCCAAAGAAAACACAAAAAAUUAUACUUCAAAUUCUUAUGUUUUAGUUUUUUUAAUAAGUAUCAUUUUUUUUUCAUUUCUUAUAAUUUGGGGCGGAGGGAGUAUUGGUGGGCAAAAUACUAUUUCUGUAUUUUGGACAACUUAUACGUAAGACAAAAAAUUGUGUUAUGGUUUAAUGAGAGACAUGAAUUUCAAUUCUUAUCAUGUCCCUUGCACCCUCGAGUUGUUGUCUCGUCACUCAAUCAUUUUUACAAUCAAACUCAGUACAAUUAGAGUUGUUCUAUCCUUUAGUUUUUAGCAUAUUAAACACAUCCUACAAACUUAUAUCAUUUAUUUAUUUUUUGAACAAGCUUAUAUCAUUUAAGUUUAGGAAAAUAUUUGUGCAUUCUAGACAUUGAAACAACAAAAAUUAAUUUUUUCUACAUAAAAUUAAUCAUUUAUUUUUAUUUUUAAUGUGUUCUGCCUUAAGGACACUCGCUAGCACAACCCUUUGUAGCUUAUCAAUUUCCUUCUCAAAUUUACCAUUGCCAUCUUUAUUAAUCAAAAGAAAUUAAAAUAUUAAUUAAAUCUAUCCUUUUUACCUCAUUUUAUAUUUAUUAGUAAUUAAGAUUUUUUUUAUGCUUAAUUACACUUUUGGUCUCCGCAUUUUGACCAACUCACGAAAAUGGUCCUGCCUCUUUCAAAUCAAACAAACCCGUCCCUAAACUAUAUGUUUUUUUUUGCAGUUUUAGUCCUACCUCUUAUUUUCAACUCCAGAAACGCAGAGAAAUGACCGUUUUAGACCUACCCCCUAUGCUCAGCCAUGAAAUAAAGAAGGAAUAAAGCAUGUGGGUACAAUGAAUCCACUUUAUUCAACACACUAACCAAAAAAUCCUAAUUUCUAAGAUAUGUUUCAAAUUAGGGUUUUUUUAGAUAGAGUAGAUUCUUUGUAUCCACAUGCUUUAUUCCUUGUUUAUUUCAUGGUUGAGCAUAGGGGAUAAGUCUAAAACUGCCUAAAACUGCCAUUUCUCUACGUUUCUAGAGUUAAAAAAUAGAAGGUAAGACUAAAAAUGUAAAAAACAUGAUAGUUUAGGACGAUUUUGUUCGAUUUGAAAGAGGCGGGACCAUUUUCGUGAGCUGAUCAAAAUGCGAGGACCAAAAAUGUAAUUAAGCUUUUUUUUAUCAAAUAAACUAAUGGCUGGAGCUCACACAUUUUAAAUAUAAAGAAGUAGGGUGUUCAAAGUCCCUAUAUAUAACAUACAAUGUCCUUAAAAAAAAAAACAUACAAUGUCGCUACAAACUAAGCUAAACACACGGAUAAACCAACUAAUUUUUUUUUUUUCCUUUCUUAAACAACAUAAAUAAAUAAAUAAAGUGGUAUAUAUGGGGUAAAAAUCGAAUCAUGAAUGAUGAAUAUAUUAUAAAUAAAUAAUAAUAAAUAAACAUUGUACCAAAAAUAACAUAAGUAAGAGAUGAAUGUAGAGCCACACAUUGAUUUAUUUCUUUGUCUUUGCAUUGCAAUUGCAACAGAGUGAGUGAGAGAAUUCACACACACUCAGUACAGACCUCGAAGAGCCAUCUAUAUGGCUUCAAUGGCUUCGAUCGGUGUUCUCAAAGUACCUUCUUCUUCAUCCUCAUCUUCUUCUUCAUCAUCAUCCAAAGCCAUUGCACGCAACCUCUCAUUCACUUCAUCACAGCUCUGUGGUGAUAAGAUCACCACAGUUUCAACAAGAAGAAGCUAUGGAUGCAGCAAACCCUUCAUUGUUUCUCCUAAGGCUGUUUCUGAUUCCAAAAACUCUCAGACUUGUCUUGAUCCAGAUGCUAGCAGAGUUAGUUGACUUGUCUUUACUUUUGUUUUCCGACUUUGACUAUUUUUGGUUUGAGUGUAGUGAGAGAUAGAGAAAGUGGGGUAUGUUUGAAAUGAGAAAAAUCAAUCUUUUGUUUGUUUUCGCAAUGUUUUAGCAAUUGGGUAUGCAUAAUUGGAGUUUGUUGAUGAUGGGUUUUCUUGAAUAUUGUAAUGUGUUUUUGGGUUUCUUAAAUUAGAUCAGAUUGGAAAAAUGAUGAGUUUUUGACAUAAAAUUGAAAUUUUAAUUGAGUAAGAUGUUACGUGUUUGAUGGGUUGAGUUUCUUUAUUUGAGUUUUUGUAUGUGGUUGGUUCUGACUCAAUUUGUAUGCUUUUUUAAAUAUGUUUUGUUGAGUUUACCUCAUAUGAUUGAUAAUGUCAAGUCCAUGACAUUAUUUGCAUUAUCACACUAAUUUGAAAUGAUCCAAAUCUAUGAAGCACGGAUAAAGACACGGACAGUGACACGCCGACACCGAUAAUAAUUUGAGAAUAUAACAUAAUUCAAUGGAAUCAUAUGUGUCAUUGUCAUGUCGGUGUCGUACACGGACGCAUGUCCGACACGGGGACACACCUAAUCCAAGGAAUGUCCGUGCUUCAUAUUCAAAAUGCAAACUUGCCUGUUUCCUCAUUGUUUGUGCAAUUGAUUAAUGAUUGUGCAUAGUAGGAGUUUGUUGGUACUUGAUUCACACAAUAUUAUCAUGUGGCCUCUGGCUGCUAGAUUGGUGAAACUUGAUGCUAGACCAAUACAAAGCAAGAACUAUUACAUGGAAAAUGUUAACCCUGUAUUUUUAUUUAGGCAUAUUUGUUAGGAACUAUACUUGAAUUUGGCAGGGUCAGUUGUGAAUGUAAUGUAAUGAUUUUUAUGAUGGUUUUCAGAGUGUGCUUGGUAUUAUACUUGGAGGGGGUGCCGGGACGCGUCUUUAUCCAUUGACCAAGAAGCGGGCAAAACCAGCUGUUCCUCUUGGAGCAAACUAUAGGCUGAUUGAUAUCCCUGUCAGCAACUGCCUAAACAGUAACAUAUCAAAGAUCUACGUCCUCACACAAUUCAAUUCAGCAUCCUUGAAUAGGCACUUGUCCCGUGCAUAUGCGAGCAACAUGGGUGGUUACAAAAAUGAAGGUUUCGUUGAGGUUCUUGCUGCACAGCAGAGUCCUGAGAAUCCAAACUGGUUCCAGGUAAUAAGCAACCUUAUUUAUGUUUUCUAUUGUUACUGUUUAUUGCUAUGAUCACUUAUGGUAGUCUAGAACUAUCUUAUGAUUUUGAAUGCUUUCACUAUUACAGGGAACUGCAGAUGCGGUGAGGCAAUAUUUAUGGCUUUUCGAGGAGCACAAUGUUUUGGAAUACUUAGUUCUUGCUGGUGACCAUUUGUAUCGAAUGGAUUAUGAGAGAUUUAUACAAGCACACAGGGAAAGUGAUGCUGAUAUCACUGUUGCUGCAUUGCCAAUGGAUGAAGCACGUGCCACUGCAUUCGGUCUAAUGAAGAUUGAUGAAGAGGGGCGUAUAAUUGAAUUUGCCGAGAAGCCAAAAGGAGAACAGUUGAAAGCUAUGAAAGUGAGGCCAUAUAAUAUGCUCUAUUUUUAUGUUAUUAUUUGUUCUUUAGUUGUAACUGCUUAAAGAUUUCUGCUAUGACUUUUCUGUAUUAGGUUGAUACUACUAUUUUGGGUCUCGAUGACGAGAGAGCAAAGGAAAUGCCUUAUAUUGCUAGUAUGGGUAUAUAUGUUGUAAGCAAACAUGUGAUGCUAGAUCUGCUCCGCGACAAGUUUCCUGGUGCAAACGACUUUGGGAGUGAAGUUAUUCCUGGUGCAACUGAACUUGGGAUGAGAGUAAGAAUUCCUUCUAUCUGUUCAAUACAAAGAAAAUGUGUAUAGUUUUGCUAGAAAAGUUUUUCAGAUCUUUAGCAACUGUAUCAUUGACGUAUUUGUGAAUCUGCUUAGGUGCAAGCUUAUUUAUACGAUGGAUACUGGGAAGACAUCGGUACAAUUGAGGCUUUCUAUAAUGCAAAUCUGGGAAUCACCAAAAAGCCAGUACCGGAUUUUAGGUAAGUCAAUGUUUGGCCUUUUAUUUAUUCAUCCUACUGUCUGUUUUAUUUUAACCAUAAUAACAGUCAGCUUGUGUUUAAUGUUUGUUGGGACAUUGGUUGCAGUUUCUAUGAUCGUUCAUCUCCAAUCUACACCCAACCUCGGUAUUUGCCUCCAUCUAAGAUGCUUGAUGCUGAUAUCACCGAUAGUGUUAUUGGUGAAGGAUGUGUAAUUAAGGCAAGCUUUUCCAAAAAUUUCAUAUUUUUCCUUAGUCCAUUGUUACUAGUAUGGCACAAAUUUGUACAUUUCUUGGCAAAGAUAUCUAAAUGAAUGAGACUAGUUAAUUUUUUGAAAAACAACCUUAUUUUCAAUAUUUUGUUCCACAGAACUGCAAAAUUCAUCAUUCUGUGGUUGGGCUGCGAUCUUGCAUAUCAGAAGGUGCAAUUAUUGAGGACACAUUGUUAAUGGGGGCAGAUUAUUAUGAGGUAACAUUGCUAAAUAGCUGUCACAUUGUUAAGUUAAUAGGAAUUGACUUUAGUUUGACUAGAAGUGCUAACUUCAGUAUUGGUUUUCUGAUUGGUGUGCUGCAGACAGAUGCUGAUAGGAGGUUUUUGGCUGCUAAAGGCAGUGUUCCGAUUGGUAUUGGCAAGAAUUCUCAUAUCAAAAGGGCAAUUAUUGACAAGAAUGCUAGAAUUGGAGACGAUGUGAAGGUUAUAUACAGUCUCAUCAGAAUUUUUUUCUCAAUCAUAUUCUUUCUUUCCAGUCUAAACUGCACUGUUCUCUCUUUUUUCCCUAUCUUGCUCCACAUGCAUGCUGGAAGAGUGAGGGAGAUGGGGUUUACAAAACUAACUUUUUGAUAUUUAAUCAAGUUUACAUGGAAAAACAUUCACUCAUAACUUUCAUCUUGUUUCAAUUCUCAGAUCAUUAACAGUGACAAUGUGCAAGAAGCUGCAAGGGAAACCGAAGGUUAUUUCAUAAAAAGUGGGAUUGUCACAGUAAUCAAGGAUGCAUUGAUUCCAAGUGGAACUGUCAUCUAAAGUCCUCUCUAGUCUCAACUAUUUCCUCUUGCUGCUGUGCAACACCUCAUUUUCACUGCUGGAAGGUGUUACAAGAACAGCUCUGCUUCCGCGCUGGUUUUCUGGUGCACAUUAUAUUUGGCUCGAAAGUAUAUAGAGUAGAAGACUCUUUUGGUAGUCAUGAUGUAAAUUUAAUUAUUCGGUCAAAUAAAAGCUUCUUUAGUCUGCAAUGCAUGCUCUUUUGUAGUUUAUCAGAAGGGUGGAAUAAUAUUCACUUAAAACAAUGAAAAGGAAUACAAUAAAAGCGUUGGACACUAGCUUCUGCUGAUGUAAUUUGCUUCUUGUAGGUCUUUCAAGACCUUUUUCUUUUCUAUUUCAACUCAACUAAUAGAUAUUAAUUCACCUUUUGUAACUUUCUAAGACACUUGGCCAGUUAAUUUGUUAUGCAUACCUUUUGCUAAGUGGAGUGAGGGCAGAACAGAAAAUAUAAUUGAGCCAGAGAAUAGAUAUGUUAAUCAUAUUUCUUUAUCUUGAUUAUUGGAAUGCUCUCCAACGACGGAUGGAAUAUAAAUUGAAUUUUACGAACCCAGUUGAUAAAAUUUUGUUUAGGUCAGAGAAAGAAAACUAUUGAGAAAAUGACUUUGUUAUAGGGACACUGAUAAGUUGUUUGAUGCUUGAGUUUUCGUUAGUGUUACAAGUUUCAACAUCUUUUGAAACAUGCAACGAUUCCUAAAAUUCAGUUGUAGUCCCAUAUUCAAAAUGACGUGUUUUUAUUUUCCAAUUUUUUAUGUAUGCUGAUUUUCAUGAUCUCUGAAUAUUUCGUUAGAAUUCCCUUUGAUGUUUUUGCUUCAAGGGAAUGCACAUUCCCACAAAAUAAAGGAACACAAAUGACAUUUAAAAUCAGAGACAAUAACAAAAAUUUAAGACCCGAAAAACAUAUUUAAUCCAAAAAUUUACAUUAUCAAUGUGUAAUUACACAAGAUUGUUUUGCUUCUAUAAAGAUUACUAGUUGUUGAGAGAAUUUUAGCCAUUUUAUAACAUCAUGUGUUUGCCAACUAUUUAGACUAUCAUUUAAGUUCAAUUUUUACCUCUAUUGAACCAGUGUAUCACAAAUUCCUUUGUUCGAAUAUUCAGCGCAUCAUAUGACUUCAAAAACUAAAAGUUGGUGAUUAAAUUUUCCGAACUAGGAUAUUUAGUUAAUAGAAUAUCCCAUUUUCACAGUUCUUCGUACAGUUGAUAUAAUUAAGUCAGAGGUAAAUUGAAAUGACUUCGAACACAAUUAUUGGAGGCAAUCAAUUAUAUACAUAGAACUCCAUAAAAAACAUGACUAGGUCAUCAAAUUUCAUUAGCAACUCCUAUCCUUCCUCCACUUUUUGCUGUAAUGUAAUCAAAACUCCCCUGUUGGUUGUUACCGGUAAGUAACUCAGGUCUGCACAACUUCUACUUGCAUCCUGUGUAGCAAAACGGUUAUUAUUUCAAAUAAUCUAAAAGAAGUUCAUAGUCAUCUAAAUCAUAAUCUUAUGGCUACAUUUCUGUGAAUAUUAGUUGAAACAUGCAUUUUGAAUAUAAAGCUACUAACUUCUAUUAUUUCAGGCAAUGUAACCCGAGGGUGAGUGUGGUAAAAAGGAGAAAAAAGGAGAAAGUAUGUUAAAAUACUAAUAACAGUUUAAUGGUUCUUUCAGACAAUAAAGAGGAAAGGAAACCUUCAGUCACUAUCAAUUUUUUUUAGGGAAAACAGAAUUUAGCUAGGGAAUGGAGGACGGAGACAGACGAAUACAGUUGGAAUAAAGGAAAAAAAAAACUAGAUGAAACAAAAGAGCAUUUGCAACUGGCACAUAUGCAAAGAGAAAAAAAUUCUUUAUUGGGUCGCCGCUCAAUGUGAGAAAGAAAAGGGUGAAAAGGAUCUGAAUACACCUCUCAAGGAAAAUUAGAGAGCUGUUUCUUACUCUCCCACUUUCUCUUCACAAGUUUUUCACCCCUCUACCACUUCUCUAGCCCUCCCUUAUACUCCUUCCCCCUCCUAACUGUUAUACAGUUCAGUCAUAACAGCCUACAACUAUUUCUCCCAACUACUGAACCGACUUCUAGAAGGUGUAAUGGUACAAGUAGGUAGCAUUAUCCCCAAUUUCUCAUCAUAUUCUUCAUAUCAUACAGCCUCUUUUACCAAUGGUCUUGUAUAAAGAAGCUACAUACUAAGGCCUUCUAAUAACAAAUCCCCAGACAAAUGUCAAAACAAGUUCGCAAGCUGAAAACUUGCAUGUUCCUCUCCAACAAAAGGCACAAGAUGAUUGCAUAAAUGAAUAUCAUGAAAUAAUCCUCUCAUUUUCACAAAAUACUUAAUAUAGAAUCGUCAAAAAGGUACUCAAGAAUACUAAAAUGAUUGUUCCAAAGAAAUUAGAAAAGUGAUUAUUUUCCAACGCAGGAAAAAAUGCCUUACUCUUUAGGAGUUCAUUUUGAAUAUUAAGCAAACAUCACAUCAGAAUAGAGGGCCCUGUCGUACUUUAAAUAUGCAGUAACUAAAAGUCAUCAGUGUUACUUCGAUUAACAAGACUGACAAUACCCUAUGAAAGUGUGUGGCAGACAGUAUGUGCAUACGAGAGCAAAAGUGUAAUGAAAUAUCAAGGUGGGUGAGUGGAUGCAUAGAAAAAAGAUGAAUUGUAAAUAAUGCAUCUGAAAGAAAGUUGGAAGAACACCUAUUAAGAAGAGACAAAAACAUUUUCCCCAAAAAAAAUUCUUUUGUAUGUUUGUUUAUCCAUGAAAUUUCCAAUAAAGCUACCUCAUAGCAGAAAACCCAAAGUUUCCAGGACAUACGAUACAAUAUAAAACAAGAAAUAAUGAAAUAUAACCUAGAAAUUCACUAAUUAUAAAUAUCAGUUGUAUCUUGGUAAUUUAACCUUGCUUGGAGGUAAUUUUCCUCCAUUUAUCCUUGAGAUCAACAGGAGUACGAGUCUUAUCAAACACGCAGCAACCAAAUUCUAAAAUUUUCCUCCAAGGUAUAUUCUGAUCUUCUGUUGCAAACUUCAACACUCCUUCCUGCAAUGCAAAAAAUAAAAGUAACUAUUAAUUGAGAAAUGAAGACCUUGAGCAGUUAUAAUAGCUAAGAUGAGUGUAGUUCUUGCCCAGUGGUAUGAGUUUGGGACACCAAAAGAGUAAUACGUAGAUUUAAGAUCUGAUCCAUGCUACUUACAAAUCCCCCUCCCCCUGACAAAUUAACCACCAAGAAUUUUCCUAUAGAAAAUAAAGCUAAGACGAAUACUCUAUACCUUGAUCAAAUGUAAGCAUACCAUAAUUGAUUAUAUCUGCUUUACAACUUUAACGUUCAUAACAAUUUCUGAGAAACUUAAAAUGUUUACCAGGAAGUUUUAAACUAACAACAACAACCAAGCCUUAUCCCACUAAGUGGGGUCGGCUACAAGGACCAAAUUACGCCAUAAUGUUCGAUCAUAAAAGAGAUGGAUCAUGCAUUGUUCUUUCCGUAAUUAAACCAGAAGCCAUCCAAAAUCAAGUCAGAAGUAAAGGAAUUAAAUUAGAGCAUGAUAUCAAUAAGGCAUUGCAAUGAAAACCUUGAGAACUUUUUCUUCUUCAGCUGUCCAAUUCAAUCUCUUACGUUUUCCAGUCAGUAUAUUCUGCUUCGUGCUGCAGUAAAAAACAAUAACUCAUUUACACAACCAACAAUACCUAAAGACAAAUCAACUCUCCAUCAAAAUAUCAGCUCUAUUCUACAAAACACUGACAGAAAAAACGGAUAUCAAAUACAACACUGACACGUAGACACGAGUAAUAAGCUGAUAAAAUAGAACUGAUCGAAUGACGAAUAUAACCACAUUUGGGGUCUGUUUGGUAAGCCACAUAUUCGAGCUUAUAGCUUAUGUCUUAUAAGCUCAUUUGAUUAAAAAAGACACGUUAGGUAACUGUCACUUUCUCACGAGCUUAUAGCUUAUUUUUACUAGCUUAUAGCAAUUUUUAAUAAGCUAAUUCAAGUAGCUUAUAGCUUAUCAUAUUUUUAUCACAAUUUUACCCUUGUAGCCUUAAUUGAAAAAUAAUUAAACAUUAAUUAAAUAUAUCUUAUUUAUGUCAUUUCAUACUUAUAAACUAGUUCAACCACUAAUGCUAUCAAACACUAAAAUUCAAUCAUCUAGCUUAUCUGCUAAGCUAGCUUAUCAGCUAUCCACUAUAAGUUCAUUCACUAUAAGCUAGCUUAUCAAGCUAUUCGCUAUUUUUUUACCAAAUAGAGCCUUAUCACGCCUUCAAUCUAAAGUGUCAGUGCUACAUAAGAUAUAACUACUACUACUACUACUUAAUUGGUGUUUACAUGAGAAAUUAAACUAAAAUUGAACAAAUCAACAAAAACAUGAAUAAUCAAAUUUCACAUUCAUUGAACUUCAGGUUGAUGAAUGACUCACACUCGCUUUCGUAGACUUGAAGUUCUGGAGCUAGUAACUUCCUCCUCGUCUAUGUCAUCACCACCACCACUACCACCACCACCACCACCAUUUUUCCGUUCCCUGAGCAAUGCUUUUUUCACAGGAGCAGCCUUACGUUUAACACUGGCACGAACUUUCUUCUCCGCCACCGAAACCUCAUAAUCAGAAUCUUUAGUUUCACUCACUGAACUACCUGAUACAGAAACCUUUUCUUCAUCGUUUUCCUUAUCAUUAUUACUUUCCUCUUCAGAAUGAGAAACUUUUGGUUCAUCCACUUCCGGUUCAUUCGCUUCCGGUUCAUUCCGGUUUACAUGAUCCUGAACCGUUUCCGGUUCUGGUUCAACAGGUUGCUCUUCCUUAUCCUUAUGCACUGUUUGGUGUUUUUCUAAAAAGCUAGAAAGGGCUUUCUUCGCUAGAACCGCUUUUUCUCUUAACUCUCGAGUUUUCUUCAACGCGCGCUUGUACGCACAAUAAGGACAAAAGAAGUUUCCAGAAUCAUCGAAUUUAGGUUCGGAACCGAUGCAAGUGACGUGGACAGAAACGGGGCAAUCGGUUUGGGAACAUACGAGCAAUUCGCCUCCGAGUUUGUUGCAGGUAAUGCAAAUGUUAUCGUCUAAGGAAUCAACGGGUACGGUUUCGGGAACGGAAUCGGGAAAUGGAGUGUGAGUGUGGUGGUUGUCAUCGCCGUCGCUGUUGCUGUUGUAGACGGUUGCAUUGUGGUCGUCGUUGGUGGUGGAGAGGAGAGGAAUGGGAGAGGCGGUUGAAGGUGUUAUACUACGGCGGUGGCGAAUACCGCUGACGACGGAUUUUUUUCUCAUCGCUCACAAUUCUUGUGCUUUUUCAGAGGGAAAAAGACGAAUGAUUCUAAAACCCAGAAAAACACCCAAAAAUAUUUUAAAAAUAUGAAUUAUUGUUUUUAAUAAAUUUUAAUGAGAAUUGCUAAGGACACACCACUAACACUCUCUUAUAACACACAUAUCAAUGACAAUUAACCACAUCACCCGCUUAUUUUAAUUCCUUGACUGGUAACCGGUACUAGAGGUUGCUAAAUGACAUUUUUUAUUUUAGGGUUAAUAGGUUUUUAUCCCCCUGCCAUUUGGGCGUCUUUUGGUUUACCCCCCUAUGAAAAAAAACUUGGAGAUUCCCCCCUGUAAAAUAAAGAUUCUUUGGUUUACCCCCCUACAGCCAACAGUCAGCAUCUGACUGGAUAAAUUUAAUGAUUUGGCAUGCUGACUAUGUAACGAUGGGUGACGUGGCACUGCCACAUCAUAAUUUUUUAUUUUUAUAAAAAUGGAUUUUAGAUGAAAUACCUAAAAUACCCUUAAUGAUAAAUUAAAAAAAAAAAAAAAAACCAUUUCUUUUUCUCUCUUCUUCUCUGCGUAAAUCCCCUUCUCUUCUCUCCCAUCUUCUGUUUUUGUUCUUCCUUUUCUUCUUCUUGAACUUCUCUUUCAUUAACAACAUCAUCUUUUUGUUCUUCAUUUUCUUCUUAUUGAACUUCUCUUUCAUUAACAACAUCAUCAAAUCUAAAAGGGGGAAGGAAUUUCUGUCAACUUUAAAUUAAACCACAGCCCUCUUUUCAUAAACAACACAACAACACAAAUCUAAUAUUUCAUUAAAAAAAUCCAAACAUAAUAACACAACCGAUCCAUGUCGAAUUUUUGUGCUUUCUUGGUUUUUUCUUCUUCUUUAUUCAUCCCUUUUUAUUUUUUGGUUUGUGAUUUGUAUAACAAAAGGAUUAAGAACCCAUAUUGUAUGUUUGUGUUUGAGAAGAAGUGGAAUGCCUAUGUUUGAGAUUUGGAGAAGAAAAUGGGUUGUUUGUGUGUUGUUGUUGAUUGAAUCCGAUUCAACCCAUUCAAAUCCGAAUUCGGUGGUGGAUUUGGAGAAGAAAAUGAGUUGUUUGGAUUUGUCAAUGACUUUUACGGCGACGGUUGGUAUUUGCCGAGGAUGAUGUGUAACGGCAGUGAUGGUGGCGGUGACGGUGGUGAUUGUUGCCACCGUUUCAUUUUGUUUGGUGAGAGAGGAAAAGAGAGAAAUGGGACUGUGUGUUUGUGGAGGGUGUUUUCUGAUUUUUUUUUCUUCUAGGUUUUGUGAAGUUUUUAGGUUGAAGAUGUUGUGUUGAUGAUGGUGAAGAACAGAAGAAGAGGCUCGAUUUAGGAGAAGAGAAAAAAAUUUUGGAAUUUUUAAUUUAUCACUAGGGGUAUUUUAGGUAUUUCACGUUUUAAACAUACUUUUAAAAAUUAAAAAUUAUGACGUGUCAGUGCCACGUCACCCAUCGUUAAACAGUCAGCAUGCCAAAUCAUCAAAUUUAUCCAGUCAGAUGCUGACUGUUGGCUGUAGGGGGGUAAACCAAAGAAUCUUUAUUUUACAGGGGGGAAUCUCCAAGUUUUUUUUUCAUAGGGGGGUAAACCAAAAGACGCUCAAAUGGCAGGGGGGUAAAAGCCUAUUAACCCUUUAUUUUAUUUUACUGCAACUCAUCGUUUGUCUAUGAAUUAAAAAACAAAGACAAAAGAUCUAAAACUUCUUCCAGCCUGUCCACUGCUCCUUUCCAUCCGAUCUGUCCAUUGCUCAUGCCAUCCUUCUCUGCCGCACAAGAUCUAUAUCUUUCUCGUUUGAUUUGACCCAUCUCGUCUCUUUUUCAUUCCGAUCUUGUCUUCGUUUUCUCAUUUUAUUGAUUUUGUUGGGGUGGAGAUUGCACGAUUCAAAUUUAGUAAAGUUUUAUUUGUUUGAUUGAUAAAAUCUAAAGAAUGCUUUUGCACAUUAUAUUGAAGGCUUAAACUCACUUUUUACCCCCUAAGUUUGCAAAAGUUGCAAUUUUGGCACCCUAUUAGAAAAAAUGGCAAAAGCUACCCCCCAUGUUUUCCCCCUUUUGCAAAACGUCGAUUUUGACCGAGUCAACCAUAUGUGGCAUGCCACAUGUGUAAAUUUUUAAUUAAAAAAUAUUAAAAUUGUCACGUGUGUAUCUUUUGAAUUAAAAAAAAAUAAAAAAUGGAGAGGCACGUGAGUGAGAGAGUCUCUAUGCUCUCUCUUCUUUCUUUUCCUCCCAAUUCUUUCUUCUUCUUCCUUCUUUCCUAAUUGCCGCCUCCCUCUUCCCUUUUUCCGGCCAUCCAACAUGGUGCUUCCAACCAUCCUUUGUCAAACAAAAUACAUAAUAUUUAUUCACCCUUCCUUCUCUAUCUCAUCAUAAAUUUAUUUUUGGAUUGAAGAUAUUUUGAGUUUUCAAACCACCACCUUCAUUGUUAGAUCUAGACCACCACAAAACGUUUUUCGACAAAUUGCCACAAUAAAAGUACUCUCCUUCGUAUUCCCUACAAAACCCACAAAAAAUCAUGUUUGGAUGACAUUUCUCCGACGACCACCGCACCGGAAAACAUCACCACCACGCCGGAAUUUAAAUCUAUUGUUUUCAGUUUGUUUUCCAGAAGCUACACUUCUUAUGACAGUUGCCGAUGAUGAACUGCUACCUUUUUCCAUGGAUUGCUUCUCAGUGUUGAUAAUUUUAAUAAUUUGCAAGUCUUGGUUAGGAAAGAAGGAAGAGGAAGAAAGAAUUGGAAGAUUUUUUUUUUGCAAAAUGCAUUCUUUCCAGCAUUAUGGACAAAAGAAACAACAAUGGUGUUAUGUUCAUUCACUCACGUGCCCUCUCUUCUUAAUUUUAAUUUUUUAUUUCUUUAAUUAUACAUGUGGAAUUUAUGGAUUAAAAAAAAUAAAAAAUAAAAAAUAAAAUAUCCAGGUGGCAUGCCACAUAUGGUUGACUCGGUCAAAAUCGACGUUUUGCAAAAGGGGGAAAACAUGGGGGUAACUUUUGCCAUUUUUUUAAUAGGGGGUAAAAUUUGCAACUUUUGCAAACUUAGGGGGUAAAAAGUGAAUUUAAGCCUAUUUUGAAAGGGUACAACUUAUACAAAAACUUAGGGUCUUUUUGGGAAACCCAAAAAAAGAGCUUUUAGCUUUUAGCUUAUAGCUUAUAAGCUCGUUUGACAAAAAAAGCUCUGUUUGGUAAUACUUUUUCACCAUGAGCUUAUAGCUUAUUUCACGAGCUUAUAAGCUAUUUUUCAGAAGCUAUUCCAAGUAGCGUUUGAGCUUAUAGCUUAUAGCUUCUCACUUUUUCUUCCAAUUUUACCCUUAUUAUUUCAUUUAAAUUGUAUUUUUAUCCAUUAUAAUUUUUAUAAUUAGUUACGUAAUAAAGACUACUAUCCCUUUAUUCCAAUUUUUGUAUAUAUAUCAACUGGCCUUUUUUUUUUUUUGGAAAAAAUAUAUACCUUUGUUUUUUUUUACGAAACAAAAUACUAUUAUUCUAUUAGUGUUACUUUUUUUUUUUUUUUUGAGGUAAGUGUUAUUUUCUUUAUUCUCUGUUAUUAGUAUUACUCUAUUAGUGCUACCUUUUUUUUUUUUUUUUUUUUUGAGGUAAAUGUUAUUUCCUUUAUAAAGUAGAAACACUUAAAUGAUAAUAAAUAUAAGAUAAAAUUUUAGUGAAUAAAAUUUAAUUUAAUUUAUAAUACAUAUGAUAUAUUAAAUUAAUAAAUUUAAAGUAUUUUUUUAAAGAAAAAUUAGUUUACAAAAUUACAAAUACUUAAAUUAAUGAUAUAAUUUUUAUUAUGAAUUAAGAAUACCCUUUAUGUCAUUUUACAUUUAUCAGCUAGUUAAACCGCUAUUUUUACCAAACACUUCAGUUAGCUUAUCAGCUAAAAGCUAUCAGUUAGCUUAUCAGCUAUCCGCUAUUUUUACCAAACAGAGCCUUAGAGAUUGAAAAGUAUGGUUACGUUCCAUUAUUUUUUUCUCUUAUGCAUCUUUUGUUUUGUUUUGCUUUAUGAAAGCAAACCAUUUCUGUGAAGUGACCCAGUUUUGUGGGAAGUUGAGUGCAGUGCAGAAGAUGAACAAUUAAAAUCUUUAAUAAUAAUAAAAAUAAAAUAAAUGGAAACACUCACAAGGGUGAAACUGGUUUGUAGGUAAAACUAAUUAAAAGAGUUGAUGACAUGGUGGAUCGUUAUUGGAUGUGUUAAAAGAGAGUGUUAGUGGAUUUAGGGUUUAGGCAAAUCACAUUAAGUGAAACUUGCCAAACAAGCUAAAGAAUUGACACGGUCCAAUAGAUGUGUAACGAGUUGUCAAAAUAAUAUAUCAAUGAGUAAACAGUCAAUUUUCCUCUUGAAAUCGUAAGUUUCGCCAAUUCCCCUAUGAAAUUAACAAAACUUCAAUUACCCCCCUAAAAUUGCAUAACGUUAAUCAAUUUACCCCCUCCGUCAAAUUUUUCUGUUAGCUGUUUACGGUUAAGAUCAAAUACCCCCUCUGAAAUUUUGCACUUAUGUGCAAAAUGCCCCUUAAACUUGAUUUUUUUUUUUUAUCCUUGACUCAAAAGAUAUUAAAGGCAAACAAUUAACAAUUAUUGAUCAUAUAAAUCUUUAUGGAAUGUAUGUUUAUGCAGCUAUUGGUCAUAUAAAUCUUUAUGGAAGAUAUAUUACUCUCAUGUGUUUUAAAUAUAUAUAUAUAGAAGAUUUUUUUUUACACAAGUUGGUAAUUAUGUUAGAGUAUGCAAUCAUAAAGUAUACAAGUCUUUGAUAAUUGUGUAUCCAUAAAGAAAAUUCAUAGGUUAAUAUCUGCAUAAGGAAGAAGAAACAAGACUUAGGUUUGUGAAUUUGCAACUUAAUUAAUGAUAUAAUUUUUAUAAUGCAGGAAAUGUCAUAUCUAUUAGCUGCAACAUGUUAAAUAGAUUAUGUCAUAGACCUUCUGCAUGAAGCCGGUAUAUCACAUUGUACUACAAAGUUAUGUGAUAGAUAUUAAUUUUCUGCUGCUAUGACAUUCUUGUCUUGGUUUAUUUCAACAACUUGAUAUCUUUUUAAUGUUUGGUUUUUAGUUUUACCUUCUUUGUAAAAAAUUUAUUUUGCUCCUUGUUGAUAAAUAUGAAAUAUAAAUGAAAAGACUACACAUGACAAAACCAUGAUUUCUUUGGCAUAUAUUCAUUCAUUUUCUUGUGAAUAGAAUUUUUAUGACAAUAGGUACAAUAUAUUACUUGAAGAACAAAAUGUAUGAUUUUUGGUAAAAAAAAAUCUAAAAUUUUAAGUUUAGAGGGCAUUUUGCACAUAAGUGCAAAAUUUCAGGGGGGUAUUUGAUCAUAACUGUAAACAGUUAACAGAAAAAUUUGACGGAAGGGUAAAUUGAUUAACGUUAUGCAAUUUCAGAGAGGUAAUUGAAGUUUUGUUAAUUUUAGAGGGAUAAUUGACGAAACUUAUAAUUUCAGGAGGGAGAUUGACUAUUUACUGAUAUAUCAAUAUAUCAUAAAAAGUUGAUUUAUUGAAUAAUUUUUGAAUGUGUAACGGGUAGUUAAUUUGAAAAUGUAAUUUUUACAAAGUAGUCUUGUAUAAUACUUUGGAUUCCAAAAUAAAUUGUCACAUUAGAUAUCAAUCUAAAAUUUAGAUCCGAGCAAAUGUUAUAUUGUUUGCAACGUCUAUCAUAGUUUGCAACAAAACAUAUCCUUUGAUUGUUUUUUUUAAGGGCGGUCAUUUCUAUACGGCUUACCAAUGAAGGAUUAUUUGAUUCGACGUGGAAAUAUACCGUAUAACUAUUAUCUGUUCGGAUGGCUAUGUGAAGGAGGAGAGCGUUGAUCAUGUAUUUGUGGGAUGUGGUUUUUACGGUAGCAUAUGGUCUCUGAUUUGGCAACAGAAGUUUAUGAGGUGAUUCUAGAAAAAUUCAGCUUUUGAAACAUUUGAUUUGGUUGGCUCGUAUAUGUGUUCUCUAAAAAGAAAGGAAUUGUAGCAUUUUUCAGCAAAAUCAGUUGCCCUUACAUCAUCUAUGUGAUAAAGUGAAACUUCUAUUUUGUGGUGGUUGAAAUCCAAACACAAACACUUAACUUUGAUUUUCAUCAGUGAUGGAUAAAUCCCUUCUUCUGAAGUUUGAACCUUGUUACCUUGCUAGAACCAUGUUUUGCUUCCUAGCUAGGUGUUUCAUUGUUUAUUUCUUGUAGUUGUUUGGUUUGUAACAUAACUUCAUAUUUUUUUGAGUCUUAGCUUUGCACUCCUUUUGCAUGUUAGGAUCUCCUCUUCGUUUAAUAUAUUUCAAUUUAACUUCUUAAAAUAAAAAUAUUAGAUAAGAUUAAUUUCUAUAUAUCUUCCAUGAUUCGUUUAUAAGGAAUUUAUUUUAAGUCUCAUAAACUACAAAUAAGUGUUUUCAUAUUGUCACAUCAUACUUAUGCAACUCAUACAUAUUUUGCUCCAAUAGUAAAUAAUUAAUUAAUUUAUUUCUACUUAAUCUUGUUUCAAAUUCAAAUAUUAAUUAAUUUAUUUCCAUAACGUCAUAUCUUAUUAAGAUACUUACAAUUUUUAUGAUACAAAACAUCACCAUUAAACUCAUUAGUUUAUUAGAAAUUAAUAGUUCAAAUCUUUUUCUUUACGGUAAUAAUAAUCCAAAUCUUAAUAGUAUAUAUAGUAUGUAAUGAAAUUGUUAGUUGAUUAGGUGCUUUGUUUUUAUUUAAAAUAAAAAUAAAAAUUGCAUUGUUUAGAAAAUAAGAGAGAACUAGGCUAUGUUUGCGCCAUCAGAGCCACGUCGAUAAUGAGUUUUGAUGAAUUCUUAAUCUCUUCUACGAACUUAGAUCUAAAACAAAAGGCAGAUUCUAUGACCAAAGAACAAGAAAAUAUAAUUUGUUAGUUAAACUUCUCUUAAUAAAACUUGUUUAUUAUCUGCAUCCGUUUGAGUUAACUCCCCUUCUGAAUAUUCAUCCACAUAUAAGUUGGUUUGGACAAUGGAAUUGUGAAAGGUUAGUUUAUACUUUAUGUUUUAAUUUCAUUUUUCUUCUAACUUUCCACUUUCCACAAUUAUUAAAUGUAUAAACUUGUGAAUUGUGAUGAUAUUUUGUCACGUUCUAAUUGUUUUCAUGCAGGUGUUAGUUUUUUUAUCAUUCAUUUGGUAAACAUUUCUACAAAGAAGACGUGAAAUUUUGAAAACAAUAUGAAGAGGGCUAUCUCGGUACGUCGUAACAUUUCCUUAAUUGCUAACUUACAUGCAUUCUAUGUUGAUGUCUAAUUGUAAGUACGGUAUAGAUACACAUUCUCUUUAUUUCUCAAAAGAAAUCGAAGACUCAGUCCCGUGACUAUAAUCGUGUAUAUAAAAACUUAAUGUAUGUCACUAAUUCAAGAUAUGUUUUUAUACACACAAUUAUAUCAAUGCAUUUUUCUACUUUAUUUUUUUUUGUUGGCUUUCGCACCGGUUUCCGACUUUGGUGGACGACUAAUCUGGCUCAUGCGCACUGGCCAAACGUUGUUCCCCUUGGAAAUCUAAUCCGAUAUUCCACGGGUACGUCCUUGGAAGAAGCUCCUUGCCACUGGAGCCCAAGCAACUUGGUUUACUUUCUUUAUAUAGUUAGGAAUAUCAUGUGUUAAGAAAGAUAUGGUUGUGCAGGUGGGAUCUUUAGAGGGAAGAGGUGUGAUAGAACUCGAAAACGCGAGCUUACUUAAUCCUUCUUCAUUUCCUAAAAAAGAUGCAUCAUUUGGAGAAGAAGAUUCACCAAUUGAUCAUGAGUAUAGGAAUUUCUCACAGGAUGUAAUAAAAAUUAAGAUGCUUAGUAGCAUAAAACUUGUAAUCCUUUCAACCAAGAUAAACUUACUCCUGCCUUUUGGUCCCAUGGCAAUUUUGGUAGAUAAAUUGUUUCAUAGUCAUGUAAGUUUCUUUGUUCAUUUGAUUGCUAAAUAUUCAAAUUCAAUUGUAAAUCAUGCUACAUUUGAUUUCUUCAAAUGUGUUUCAGGGUUGGGUCUUUCUUUUUAGCUUAUUAGGCAUUAUACCCUUGGCAGAGCGUUUGGGAUAUACGACUGAGUAAGUAAUUCAAAAUUUCACGCUUAAGAGUUUUAACGUUGCUGCAUUCCUAGAGUUGGAUUCGGACCCAGGAUACUAAACAUUUAUUUUAAUUUUUUUGUUGUUGAUGGAUACUAAGCAUUUAAUUGCACAUAAAACUGUUGCUAACUUUGUUUUUACUAAAAUAUUAAGAGUGGGAAUAAUUUUGUGAUGUAAGUAUUGCAACUAAAAUAAAAACCUUAUUAUAAUCAUCAUUCAUAACACCUUAAUUCUUACCCCUCUUUUGUGAAGAAGAUGAAAAAAUGUGACAUUUAUUCUGUUUUCUCAUUAUUAUUUUGGUAUGCAUGUUGUAAUAAGAUCAAUCAUAUGUGAUGUUUAAUACAACAUGCUCAAAUGGAAUUUCAUAGAAACUUAGUUUAAGAAUUUGAUUAUAAUGGAAAUUUUGGUCUUCCUUUGAUGCAGGCAACUAGCUUUCUUUACUGGACCUGCGGGUAAUCUUAGGUUUCCCUUCAAUUACAUCCUAAUUUGUUUAACUUUGUGCAAAUCUGUUCAUUGAAAUUCUUCUGAAGUAGCACCACUGCUAUAGACAUUUAGGGAUGUUAAUUUGCACCUAUAAACGAGAAUCUCCGAGGAAUUUAAGUGUUUUUGCCAAUACUCGCUAACAUAAUCGUUAGCAGCCUAUUUUAAUUACUUCAUUUCCAAUAUGACUUUGUGUUGCAGUUGGUGGUCUUUUAUACGCCACAUUUGGAAAUGCAACAGAAUUAAUUAUAUCAAUUCACGCCCUCAAAAGUGGAUUGGUUCGUCUUGUUCAACAAUCGCUACUCGGUUCAAUUUUAUCUAACCUAUUGUUAGUGCUUGGAUCUGCAUUAUUUGCUGGUGGAUUAGUAUUUCAUAAGAAGGAACAACUAUUUAACCAUGUAUGGUUUUGUUCAAUUCAAACAAUUUCGCUUUCUCUGAGUUUAUUUUCUUGUAUAUAGCAGAAAAUUGACCUUAACUGAUCAUCAGGCAGAUGCAAACGUGGAUUUCGGAUUAUUAUUGAUGGCGGUAAUGGGACUGUUAUUUCCAGCAAUUCUCCAUGCUACACAAACAGAAUCAGAAUAUGGGACAUCUCAGUUAUCUCUUUCAAGAUUUACUAGUUGCAUUAUGCUUGUGGCAUAUGCUUCCUAUGUAGUGUUUCAAUUGAAGAUUCAGAAGAAUUUAGAACUUUCAGUUCAUGAGGUUAAGCCUUAAUUGUUAGUUAUUAAUGCAAAUAAUGAUAUCCAGGUUACAGCGAGAAUCGUACUAAUAUUAUUUUUGAUCUAUAAUUGUAAUUAAUGAUUUUUAGGACAAGAAUUUCAAUGAAGAUGCUUCAAAUGAUGCAGAAACUCCUGAGAUUUCAAUGUGGGAAUCAAUGAUAUGGAUUUCAAUCUUAACAGGAGGUAUAUCUAUCUUGUCAGAAUACUUGGUUAACACCAUAGAGGUAAAUUAAAAUCUUGUUUAUUUCAUUCCAUUAUAGAGCAUAUAUCUUUUGUUUGAUUUAAUAUUUUUUUUCUUCCUAUUUUCGACUUAAUAAUAGCAUAUUCUUUGUCGUCAAAAAAAUCUUAAUAUUUGUUUACUUUUUCCUUCCUAAUAUUUGUGUUUUUAUGGGAUAAGUUAUUGAAAUAACAUAUAAUAAAAUAUUUUCAGGGGGCAUCAAAACAGUUUCAAAUGCCAGUGUCAUUUCUUAGUGUUAUUCUUCUUCCAGCAGUAGGGAAUGCUGCUGAGCAUGUUGGAUCUGUUAUGUUUGCUAUCAAAGACAAACUUGUAAGUAUUUUGACUACUUACAAGUUUCGUGAUUUUAACAUAUAUGAAAGGUUUUGUUAUAAAUUUAAGGGUAAGUUUUGUAUUAUUUUCCUUUUUUUUAAUGUAAAAAAAAAAAGAAAGAAAGAAAGAAAACAACAUAAAACUUACCAUUAAAAAUGGAUACAUUAAAAUGUCACAUUUAAUUUAUAUGAUGAAAAAAUAAUCUUAAUGAUAAAUGAAUAUGAGAAAAAUUAAGAGUGUGAUUUUCCUCUAUAAUUCACUGGCUCUGUAGGACAUAUCGUUGGGCGUGGCUGUAGGAUCUUCAAUACAAAUAUCAAUGUUUGUGGUAAGAUUUUGUCAACGAAAUUUCUUAUGUUUUUUUGGUUUUUCCAUGGUUUGUUAUAGUGUUUCAUAGUUCCUUAACUGCGGUUUUUACUCUAUUUUGUUAUGAAUCAAGUUUAAUGAAGCAAAACAAAACACAAAUGUGAUUCAGGUUAUAGAACUCUUAGGAAAUGAAAUUGAAUAUAACUGAAUAUUUUGAGAUACAGAUUCUAGCUAACACUCUACUAAUCAUCUUAUUCCAUAUGAAUGGUUAUUACUCCACUCCCUGCAGAUUCCAUUUUGUGUGGUCGUUGGAUGGACGAUUGAAUGUCCUAUGGACUUGAAUUUUAAGCCUUUCGAGACAACUUCACUUUUCAUGUCAGUUAUCAUAGUUGCCUUCAUGUUGCAAGUAAGUCAAUCACUGAACUAAAUUCCUUCUCCGUAAUUUGUUGAGUAUACUACAAAUGAUUUUGUACUAAGUUUUUGUCUUCAGUAAUGUCUUAUAUGAACCACUUAUAUCUUUAUAGACUUGAUCUUUACUGUGUUAGGACUAUUAGUGUUAAUUGUUUAGUUAGUCCUUACUUGGCACGUUACUUGUAAUACAAGUAAGAACAGAGACAAUUAAUCCCUUGUGUAAUUGGCUAUAUAUAUGCCAUGAUAGUAUCAAUAACAAGUGGAUAAUCACAUUUAAACCUUACAACUUGAACUUUGUUUCGAAAUGCAGAAUGGAACUUCAAACUACUUCAAAGGGAUUGUGCUUAUUCUUUGCUAUUUGAUAGUUUCUGCAAGUUUUUUUGAACAUAUUGAUCCUAUGUUAGUUGGUGAGUAAUGAAACCCUUCCUUCAUCUUAAAUAGAAUAUUUGAAUUCAAUUGUAUAUGGUUUUAUAAAGUAUAAGCUCUCAGUGUUUCAUUAAAAGCUCCAAAUUUUAUAUUUUUCAGAAGAUAAUCCCUCGACUGCCGGUCCAUAAGAAUCAGUUGCCUUUAAGGUCUCUCUUGUUUUCUUUUCUCCCAUUUCUGAAACGAAGGAUUGGUUUUGCGACUUCGUGGUAAAAUAUCAAGUUAAAGAAUCUUCAAGACCAUAGGCUAAAGUCGAAAAUAAGAUAUGUAUAUCUAACAGAGGAAAUCACAUCACAAAUUAAGAAGCUCAUGAAUAUUGUUCCAGCUUACUGAUGUUAAACAUUGGUAGAUUUUUCGACUUGUCCCCGCUUAAGGUUUAUUUUGCACCAUUGAGUUGUUGGCUAUCUACAUUUGAUACUCUAUUCUUUUUAUGUACUACUUUCCAAUACUGAAACAAGAUGAUAGGCAACUGUACUUGUAUAAAAUAAAAAUGAUAGGCAAGUGGCAACUGUAGUAACUAGUAACCAAAAUCCAUGUUGUACUCAUGUUCAGUAUUAUAAAUUACAUCUAUCUAUAUAUAUUUACCUUAGUUUUUUUCUCUUAAAAUCAUGUAUAACGUACACAUGUACACGUACCUAUACUCGUAUCUGGCGCAUGCCCGUAUCCAAUACAUGCAAUGUAUGAUAAUUGAUCACGUCAGGUGCAAUCACCGACAACGCCCUCGCAACAAAUUAUGGGUGUCAACAUAAAUUGUAUUAAAUUUUAAAUUUCUCAUUAUUUGAAAAAUUAAAUAAAUGUCAGAAUUGUUGUGGAAUGUGAUGAUACUAAGCAAGGAGACAUGGCUAAAGUAGUUCAUUUGGUGAUUGACAUUUAAGGUGCUGGCUUAGUAGGGUCAUAAUGAGAUUGAUGAAUGAAGGUAAUUCUAAUGAGCAAGGGGAUGUGACCCAAAAAGCUCGGAUUAAAAUAAAACAUUGAACAACAUCGGAAUAUGGUUGAUAUCAAGGUUUCCUAAAGAAGUGGAGUGACCGGAGUUCGAACUCCGGUUCCUGCAUGUAAAAUGCAAUAUCCUAUCAACUGAGUUAAGCUUACAGGGAUAUUUUAAUUUAUUUAUUUUAAUUUUUUUUGUGGUGAUUGGGAUUCGAACCAUGUACAUUACAUGUUAUUAUUAUGCAUUGUCUAUAUAAACUAAGAUAAGACUCACAGAGUCACAAUAAUUUUUUUUUUUUUUUUUAAAGGGGGGUUAUUUACGUUGUCUAUCAAAUAAAUAUUUUACUCUUAAAAAACAUAUGUCACUUUAAAGUAUUUUAUUCAGUUCUAAAAAUAUUAUGACGACAUGUUUUUAAGGCUCAAAUCGUCCAAAAUAAGACACAAAUAUCUGACAUAAUUAAGACAAACUAAAUCUAAAUUUUCUAAAAUAAUACAUUAUUGUAAUACAAAACUUUAUUCAAUUUAUCUAAAACAUUACACUUUUGUUUUUAGGGAAUCUAAAACAAUACACAUAUUAUCCAACAUAUCACCAAUUUUUUUUUUUUUUUUUUUUUUUUUGUACAUAGCACAAAACAUAUUGAACUUGAAACUUUACGUUAAUCAUACAUAUUUAUGCAUAACUUGUUUGUUGUCCUCUUUAAAUAUUACUAAUCUAUCCCUAAAAAAAAUAUUACUAAUCUAAUUUUCCCGACCUGCAUCGAGACUGGAUCCACACGGGAUAUCAAAAAUUUCUAAGUGGUAUAAACUAGGGUUUGGAACUCAGGCGGUAGGCGGUGUUUCACUCCAAUCACCGCCAACUUGUAAACAUGUUGGCCGGAAUGGAGAGGGUUUUUGACUAUUCUUCACCUUUCAUCCGUUAUCUCCCACCGUUGAUGCCCAAUGGAGGCCGGAGGAGAUCAUGGGUGUCGACAACGGCGCAGCAAAUGUCGUCGAUAAUUAACGAAGCUUUGACUUAUUGCCUAUACGGAAUCAUAUAAUAUAAUUUAUUUCCAAACAAAAAUAAAUUUUUUAAGACUUUUUUGGUUCUAUUUAUUUUCUGAAAAACUAUUAUGAAUGUAUGAACAAAAUACUAAAAAAAGAGAGCAUAGAAGAGAAAAAGGACACAACGAUAUAUACUGGUUCCCCUUCUAACCUAAGGAUAGUCUGGUCCCCUCAUACCACAUGAAGGAUUUUCAAUAAAACGUAAUCUUUGUUACAAAGCAAGCCUUACCCUAAGGCCAACAAUCUUUCUAAAAAGUACAAGAUAGCACCCCACUGUCCUUACAACAAGAAUCUUCACAAAACUCUGAUGAAAUUCUCACAAACAAACAAGAUAUCACUACUAUCUUUAACAAGAAUUUCCACCAAUCUUAUAAUCUUUUGCCUCUUUCCCCUAAAAAAAAACUUUUGGCCUCUUUAAUCUCUGUGUUAUGUGUGUUGGAUGAUCAAUUAAAAAAAAAAAAUCAUUAUACAAAUUAAUUGGUCUCUUCGUUCAAUUAUAGUAAUUUUAAUUUUUCAUUUAAAUUAAUUAUCUUCUUAAUUUGUGUGAAAUAGUAAAAUGUCGUAAAAUUUGAAAAGUGGGAGUAUAAUGGAAUUGCAACUGAUAGUUUUUACAAGUGAUUUUGAACAUACUGAUCCUAUGUGAGUUGAUUCUACGUCAGUUGGUGAGUUAUGAAACCUUUCAUUUUAAAUAGACAUGUUAAAUAUUCUUUUUCGUUACAAUAGACAUGUUAAAUUAAGUGUUCUAUUAUUCAUCUGUUUCAAUAAAUAAAUAAAUAAAUAAAGUGUUCCAUGACCAUUGUUCACUCCUUUUUUUUUCUUCCAGAAUAUAAUCUCAACUGUUGAUCCGCAAGAGUCGGUUGACACAGAGAAAUAAAUUAUCUUCUCUUCUUAUAUAUUAAAGUCAAGACAUAAGUAUAUUUUAACCCUAAUUUUAACCUAAACCUAUUGCAUAAAUUUACUAUUUUAACUCUGAUGCUAAAUUUCUUUGUUUAACCUUAUUGAAUUUUCCCCCUUCUCAAUUUCUCGAUACAUCUUCUUAUAUAUUAAAGUUAACUAAACAUAUUUUAAAUCAAUUAUACAAAUUUCUUUCAACAUAAUUUUUGUAUCUUUGUUAGUGAUAUAUAAUAUAUGAAUUUUCAAUGUAAUUGACUCACGAGAAAAAGAGAUGUGUGCAGUGCUUUUGGCAAAAUCUCUUUGUUAUUAAAUUAUAGAUUGCUGCUCAAUGUCACUAAAAAUAUUUUGAAUCAAUUAUACAAUUUCCUUCUAUCUUCUUAUAUAUUAAAGUUAACACAGAAGCAUAUUUUAGCCCUAAUUUUAACCUAAACCUAUUGCAUAAAUUUACUAUUUAAACCCUGAUGCUAAAUUCCUUUGUUUAACCUUAUUGAAUUUUCCCCCUUCUCAAUUUCUCGAUACAUCUUCUUAUAUAUUAAAGUUAACUAAACAUAUUUUGAAUCAAUUAUACAAAUUUCUUUCAACAUAAUUUUUGUAUCUUUGUUAGUGAUAUAUAAUAUAUGAAUUUUCAAUGUAAUUGACUUACCAGAAAAAGAGAUGUGUGCAAUGCUUUUGGCAAAAUCUCUUAUGUUAUUAAAUUAUAGAUUGUUGCUCAAUGUCACUAAAAACAUUUUGAAUCAAUUAUACAAUUUCCUUCUAUAGUUGUAUUUAAAAUUAUGACAUUAAAAUUACAAGUUGGGACUGUAUUAUAAAAUUUUACUUUUGUCUACUACACUUACAAUGUAUAUGACCCGUGCGGCAGCACGGGUGGACGAUCUAAUUUUGAUGAAAGAGAAUUUUUGAUUUUAGGGUUAAAUAUAUUUUUUGUUUCUAUAAAUAUAUCAAUUUUUCGUUUUAAUCCUUCUAAAAUUUUCCUUCAACUUUUAAUCUCCAAACAAUUUUUCAUCUUCACUUUUAACCCCUCCUUUAAAGUAAACUCAGAAUUCAUAUUUUUGAAUAAAAUUUUGUAGAAAAAAUUCAUAAUAUUAUAAGAAUCUCACCCCAAAAAAAUUUAGAAUUUUUUAACAUAUGAAUAUUUAUAUUUUUGAUGGUUAAAAAAUCAUAUUAAAUUUAUGUUUCGUUAAAAAUUCUAAUUUUUGUUGGGAAAGAUUUUUACAAUAUUCUACAUAUUUUUCCACAAUUUCAUUAAAAAGAAAAUACAAAAAUUAACUUAAAAAUAGAGACCAAAAGUAAUGAUUGAAAAUUUUAUAACGAUUAAAAGUUGAAGGAAAAUUUUAGAGGGACUAAAGCCAAAAGAUGGUAUAUUUAUAGAGACCAAAAACAUAUUUAACUCUUUUAAAUAUUGGUAGACUUGUUGACUUGGUCCCACAUAAGGUUCCAUUGAGUUAAAUUUUGACUAUGUACCUUGCAACCUGACUAAACUGUUCUUAUGGUUGGAUAAAAUAAUGCAUAUAUUUAGUGUUAUAGUUAAGGUUUAAUUUAAUUUCCCUCGCAUUGACAGUUUAUGCAAUGCACCCUUAGUCAAGUCAUAAACGUUUGCACCACAACAAAGUGAUUGGUAACUUUUCAUGCAUAUAUGGAAUAAUACGAUUAGGCAACUGAUAAUCAUUGUAUUAAACCAUAUAGGAAAUUUACAAACAUUCUGCUAAUCACCCAUAAGCACUUGCAAACAUCCCCUAAAUCUAUUUAACAUCGUAAAAGAGUUAAUGCAGCAAUUGAUAAAAGAAAACAUUGUCUCAGAUGUCGGAGUAAGUGACAUAACUACUUAAGAACGACAGCUGCAUUCCUCAUACCUAGGUAUCUUUGCACAGACUCGUUUGGAAGCGAUCUGAUCAUCUUGAAAACAUCAGUAUUUGCAUACCGGAGAUUAGUCUUAGGAUCAUAGUAAGGUGCCUGCAAAGUGAACCGAUUGGUUAAUUCUCUAGUGCAAAUGAUUAGUAUGCCAUGGUAUAAUUAUCAUCAUCGUUAACAUUUUCUUAAUUAGUUAAAUAAUUACUUAAACGGACAUACUUCACACCAAGUAAUAUAAUACCCAUAGAAAUUUUUUAGUAGUAUGUUGUUUUAGGCUUUUAGCAUGAAGUUAAUUCAAUGGGUAGAUGAUCAACUGGUUUGAGCCAAGAGAUGAAGAGUUGGAGGUCUUGGGUUCAAAUCUGGACAAAGGAGUGAAUAUUAAUCUAACUACUAACAUUUUCUAUUAAAAAAACGUUAAUUCAAUGGAAAAUGUUAAGGUUAGUCAAGCCUGCAUAACAAGGUGUUUAAAAGGUCAGCAUCACUAUGGCAUCCAAAAAAACCAGUGUGAAGUUCAACAAUUACAAAGAAAUCGAGUUCAAUCAGUGUGACUAAAUAAGAUAUUAUUCAGGUUGUUCACAUUAUCCUAAAUCAAUCUAGUAUUUGUUGCAAAAUUCGUUUUCAGCACUGUCUUUCGAGUAAGGAAAAAGGAAAGUAUAAAGAGGAGAUAAAUAAUGCGGUAUACAAUUACUUCACAAUAUCCCACCCAUUUCCAACUAUAAAUUAUUCUUAAUUUCAGACAUUUAUCAACUAAGAUGCUAGAUCUAAAUCUCAACCAAACUUGUACUUUUAAAUUAGAUCAAGCUGAAAACAUUUCAACUCCAAAACAUUUCCCAUGUCUAAGAAUACCCAAAUUAAACAGGCACUAAUGCAAAAAGAUAAACAUCAGGUUACAGGGAAACAAACUAAUAUCCACUCAAACAAUUUAGCAGUGUUAGUGAUAUGCAAGUGGAAGAUAAAAGCGCCAUGGACAUUAAAAUAAAUGUCAUAGACAUUCAAGCACAUUAUCUCCCGUUGUUCAUUUAAUAUCUUGAGCUGUGUGAGAUGAAAGUGUACAAGGGGGGUGUUGUACUAAAAGUUCUGGGCAUGAAUAUGAGAAAAAUAAACAAGGAUUUUUCUGGCAAAAGGCAAUAACUGUUGAACACCAAAGGAACGGUAGAUUGAGCACUCUACUGCACAUCCUAAGAUGAAAGUAAAAUAUAGUUCUUUGAGAAGACAUAGCAUGCAAAAAAUUUCAACACAAGUAGAAUAUUCUUUUACCACCACAAGUAAUUAGAAGAUAAAAUCACAAAAUUUGAAUAUUAGUACAAAAGCAAGAUGUGUGUGAAUCUUAAGCUUCAAUAUCAAAUGCUAUCAACAGAUUCUUAAAUAAGAUGUUAAAGUAAUACUAGUGACAAGAAAAAGGAUAGAAUACAUUAAGGGUGUGUUUGGAUGGAGGGUUUAGGAGGGGAGGGUUUAGUUUUCAUUUUUAAAUUACGGACACUAUGAAAUGUUUUUUAAAAAGUUAACAUAUUAACAUAAUAACGAUCAUAUAAUACUUCAACCACACUUGAUUUAUUUUAGAAAAAACAUGUUAUAUAGUCCGUAAUUUAAAAAAGAUAAGUAAACCUUCCCCUCCUAAACCCUCAAUCCAAACACACCCUAAUAGAACAUAAUUAGUUUCAUAACUUCUAAAAAAUAAAAAUAUGUGAGAAUAUAAAGAUUUUGCAAACUUCUUCCAGAAAUGAAAAGCAAUUUCUCUUGCAGGGAAACACCAUAACAAAGAUCACUACAUACCUCAUAGCCUGUAAUAUCGCAAAUUCUCUUGCAUGGAUGCAUAGAAGGGGGUGACUCAAUAUUGACAUCUGCAGGACAAUUCAAUAAAAAAAAACAAUUUAGAUUCUUUUCCAUGGAAGACACACAUAUAACCACAACAAAAAUUGGCACAUAGGAGUAUCCGACGUUGAGGUUAAACAUUAAAAUUCUUCCAAUUGUUGCUUUAGUAUUCCAAAUGAAAGAAUAAAUAACAUUAGAGUGAAAAAAAGUGCAAUUAGAGUGAAGAGAACAUAUCCACCAAAAGCGAAAAUAACAACAACAAACAUGCCUUAUCCCACGAAGUGGGGUAGGCUACAUGGAUCAAAUUACACCAUAACGCUCUAUGUCAUGGACCAAAUACGAAAAGGGAAAAUACAAAUAACAAAACUAAGAAAGUAAAAAAGUCUAAGAGCAAUGUAACAC